rnacentral:lncRNA from 1 species
CUGCCGACUGGAGGAGGAAUGAACGCCAAGGAAAGGUCCCGUGGCUAAGAGGGCGCUGGGACACUGGCAGGCAGGCAGGCACAGGGGGCACUGGCAGCCGAGCACAACAAAGCAGAAGAACGCGAGGUGCCCCGGCUGUGGAGUGUGCGUGGCCCAGGCUUGCCAUGGCAAGUUUGUCAACUCCGGACUCUGUGGCCAGAGCCUUGCUGCCCCCAAAGUGAUGGCAAUGCAAGGUCUCCCUCAAGGGGGAAAGCGCCCACCCUGUCCCCAGCCCGCUGCAAAAUGCUCCACCGAAGGCCAGGUAAGGAGACACCAACCCACACCCCUCCUAAGGGUGUCCCCAGCGAAUGGCCUCCCGUGAUGUACAAUCCCCCAGUCCUUCGGCUCCUUGGCUGUCCUGGGUCUCUGUGGACCUGUGCCUGUCCUUCCUUGGUUUCCUAGUUCCACCUCUGCCCUCCUUCGCUUUCGGUCAUGGGUUGCCCGCCCUUUCCCCUUUACCGGAUCCCUACGGCAGGGGGAGAAGUUCGGGGAGGUGGCGUGAGGUUAAGGGUUCUCUCUUCUCUGAAAUCUCAAAGCUAGUGCCAGGACUUGAGAGGCAGGCAAGGCUGGAAGGUGGGUGGAAUUCGGGUUGGUGAGUGUGCCCGCAUCCGCCGCCCUGCUCCCAAACAACCCAAGCCGAAACCCAGCGCAGCGUGCGUGCGCGCGAACACACACGCACACAUCGGAUUUUUCCACCUGUGGGGCCUCGCUUUUGUGUUGGAAGCGCAAAUGAAAACACGCACACGUGCAGACACACUUCCAUGUUUUCAUCUUCCAGGGAUUCCCGAAGGGCAGGAGUGUAGGCAGGCACAGAAGGGUGGGUCUUGGGUACCCUGGCCUACUCCAAUGCACAGGGCUGGUAUCCAGGUGAUAGCAGAGUUUGGCGCCUUGGGGGCGGGGGAUGGGGGAGACGGAGUCUGGUGAAUUUGGCAAGUGCAGUACUGUGGCACGAGAAACCAACUCUCAUCUGGGAGAUCAGCCGUCUGGGCCACUGCCUGCCCAGCCCCCAGUAGGGUUGGCUCCCACCUCCCACUGCCACUGCCCCUCCCCCUCCCCUUAUGCACCUGGUCCCUGACCUUGUCUGCCCAACCCAGGACCUUUCACUCAGGUGGCUCUUUUCUCCCUGCCAGUGUCUGCCUCUGUUCACCAGGAGCGUGGACCCUGUUGCUAGUGGCAACUGCCUGUGCCUAAAGCUCAGCCCCUAAGCUGCUUAAUGUUGAUUGAUGGGCAGAAAUACGAUAUUUUCUGGAGUGGAGCUGAGCGGUUGUGGGUGCACUGGCCCUUUUGCCUCAGAGCCUUGCAGACCGCCUGGGAUGUGGACCCUCCUCUAAGCCCCCACUCCCCACCACCAUACCCCAGCGCCUUAGAAUAAAAGGGACUUUUAGGUUAUUCUCAUCUAUCCAGGUUAAACUCGGUGCAGACAUUGCUUUUCUUCUGAGUAACGGGUAGCUACCUUGGCAUUUCUUUACAUCCUUGAAGCUUCUGUUAAGUUGGAUAAAAUAAAAGAGCCCCCUUUUGAUGGCUGUUGCCACUUUCUUUUUAUUUUUUCUCCUCACCUACUCCUACACCCCACUUUACACACAGGCAUCUAAAGGAGAUCACCCCUUUAGUACCCAAAGCUAUUCUUGCAAAUGUUCACAGAAGCAUUCUUCUGGAUUUAUUUCCAGAAAUGAAAUAAAACAUUUUAUAUAAAUAACCUCCUUUUUAGUCACUUCUUUCUUGCUUGUGUCUCUUCCCUUCUGAGACAUAUAGUUUGUUAUUUCCACACCUAGAAAUACACAGUUUAGGGGAAAAAAGAUCUUUUCUUAUAAUGCUUUAUUUGAGGGUGACCAUUGCCUAAUUAAUCCCAUUCACACUAUAGCACCCCUUCCCUUUUUUUGGUUUGGCAGCCUCCUUCUCCAAGCUAUCAUGAUUAUACAGAUUUUUUUUGACUGAUAUGAAUUCAUGUAUGCAUCUACUCCAUCAUCUCCUCCCCUUAUUGCAAAGGACUAGAUUUCAUUAUCAAAGAAAUUAUUUUUAGAAAAAUGUUUGUUCUGCAGUAUUUCUUCCCAGCACCACAUUUUUUUUUUUUUUUGGCAGAGUAUUUUAAGUUGUCCUGCUUAGUUGUGGUUAUUGUUAUUAUCAUUGCCUGUGCAGGUAUUUUUGGAAAUCAUGCGAUGUUUUUGAGUCGUUCAUUUAUUCAUUCAAGCAGAAUUUCUUUGAGGGGUUUCCAUAUGUUGGACAUCAACAUAGGCCUUGGUGUGGGAAUGAAGCCAAGAGAAGGCCCAAAUGUGUACCAGUAUUUUAAAGCCACCAUUUCAGCUGCGUUGUGAUUAUGGCUAUGAUGGUUAAUAUAAUAACAGCACACUCCAUUUGAUUAGGACUUUACAGUUUACCAAGAGCUUUCAUAGGCAUUAUCUCCUUUAAUCCUAGCAGCAAGAAUUUUAAAUAGCGGGGAUUCCACCCAAAGGUCCAGUAAUGCUCACCAAUCCUGCUUAGCUAAAAAGAAAGAGAAUGUUGCAAAUUAUCCCAACAGCUGAUGGAGCUUUAAAACACAGAAUAAACAAUUCCGAAGAAGCUUAUGAAGCUUAGUUACUGGAAUGUAACUUGGAGAAAAUAAGUAAAAUGCAUGUAACCAAUAUAUUAGCAGGAAGGCAUCCUGGGAAGAGACUCCAUCCCGCAACCUUGGUGGCCCAGUGAGCUGCUGGCUGUUGGAGGUGGAGGCUUUCCAGGGCCCUGGACUGCUGCCUUAUCCUAGGAUCUAAAAUGGGAUGAAAGUGUUAGCACAAAGUUGCUGGGAGACUAGCAAAUUAAGCAAAAUGAGUAGGCAAUGAUGUUACUUUCUUUAGCUACAAAGCAUUCUUGAGAUAUCCGCAAGUUUCUAGCAUAUAUUUACUUGAGAAGUGAAGCAAUUUUCUGUACUUAGAGAAUAAAAAAAAAUGAGUUUGUGUGCCUUGUCUGAGCCAUAAUGAAGACAAUUGAGGUUUGGAGCAUUUUUACCCAUUACUUUGAAAACUGGGCAUAUCUCACAUGGAUAAAUGGCAGUUUCUGUUUGUGUGUGUGUUUUUUUUUUUUUUGAUACAUAAUUUAUAGGGAGCCAGUACUGUAGGGCUUCAUGUAGAUUUGUCCCCUUUCUCUGCUUCUUGAACAUGCAGGGUGCAGGGCAGCCCUUCUGUGACUUCAUUGUGAGUUUCAUUUGUGACUUCCCUUCAGAAAUAGUUUCUGGAAUGAUAGGUGUUAGUUAAAAAAAAAAAUUGGCAUUUCAGAUAUUAUGCUACUGUACUUGUAUAUCAUUGUAAAGUUUGGUAAACAAGGUAGUAUAAGUUGUUAGGGCUAGGUGCUAGCUCUGGGUUUGCCUGGAUUACAUAUAAGCCAAAGAGAGAGUCACAGGGUAAGGCUUAUUGUGAUGAAGGUUAGAGAUAAUCAGAGAGGCAUUUACUGUUUCAUAUCCUGCAACUUCAUGCCACUCAUAGAUGUGUAGGUUUUUUGCUAGAGUUUGUUUAGUCAAAACUAUUAUACAUUGAGUAUCUCUUACCUGAUGUGUUAGCUUUGCAUCACUGUGACCAAAACAUCUUACAAGUACAUCUCAGAGUAGGAAAAGUUUAUUUUGGUUUAUGGUUCCAGGGUUUUUUCCAUGGCCAGGAGAAUCCAUUGCUCUGGGUCCAAGGUAAGGCAGAACAUCAAGGUGGAAUAACCUGGUGCAGGAGCACAGCUUUAUUUCUGGCAGCCAAACAAAGAGGAAAAAGGGGGAAGAAGAGAGAAGGGUCCACGAGAGAGAUGAAUCCUUCCAGGGCACCCCCCAGUGACCUACCUCCUCCAGCAACACCCCACCUGCCUAUAGUUACCACCCAGUUAGUCCAUUCAAACUAGAAUGAACUGACGAGAUUACAGCUCUCAUAAUCUAAUCAUUCACUUUAAUAUUCCUGCAUUAACGCAGGAGCUUUUGGAGAAUACCUCAUAUCCAAAUCAUAACACUGGAAAUGCUCAGGAUCAGAAGUGCUUAGGAUUUCGGAUUUUUUCUUUUUAAAUGAGUACUUGCACAUACAUAAUGAAACAUCUUGGGGCUGGGGCCCACAUACAAAUGUGAAAAUAAUUUAUGUUAUAUAUAAUUUAUACAUGUAACCUGAGGGUAAUUUUGUAGAAUAUUUUCAGUGCAUCUAUGUUUUGACUGAAGCCCAUCACAGGAAGUCAAGUAUGAAAUUUUCUCCCUGUUGACAUCAUGUCUAUGCUCAAAACAGUUUGAAUUUUGUAGCAUUUUGGAUUUUCAUAUUGUUGAGACUCCACCUAUAUUCUGUAUUUGACAUUCUAGGAUAUUAGUUUCAUUCAUAAAUGUUACAAAUUUUAGUUUACCUAUGUCUCUAGGUUAGUUAUAUGUCAAUGAAAAGGGCAUAGUAAAAAUAUCUGUUGUCUAUUUAGGAAGUAAAAUUGGACAUAGUGAGGGGGGUAGCCCUUUUCUAAGGAGAAUUCAUUAACUUUGGAUUCUGAAAUGACUUUUAGAAAGAGGUGGGGUUGAUUCCAGCCUUAGGCAUACUCUGAUAUUUUUAAUUUAACAUGAGAGAUUUUAGCAGGGAAAGUUUUCGGCACUACACUGAUAGCUAGUUCCUCCUGGAAUGGGGUUGGCUGUCUUCUCCACUGUCCUCCAAUCUAGUGUUCCAUUAAUUAUUCAUUCAUUUGAUAAAUACUUACUGAGGUGCUGUUUUAGAGAUUAAGCCACCUUGCUUCUAAGGCAUAACUGUGCCAUUUCUUGCUUAUCCACAGUCUCCUUACAGAUACCUGAAAGUUUCACCCUUUGGGGUACAUGUAGGUUUGGUUUAAAGGCAGGAUAUGGGUGUUUGAGAGAAUUUCCUACUGCGUGGAGUAUAGUGUUGCUGGCAGUAGCAGCUGCGAGGGCUGGAAUUGCAUCCUGGGAAUUGCACUCUUUUAUCCUCUUUCUUAAGAGAAACUGAGAAAGAUUUCUAAGGUGAACUCAGUUUUCAUGUAUCCUUUCAGCUCAGAUAGUAGGUAGCAAUGCAUUAAAUAAACAGCCCCUGUGAAUUUGUCACUCAUCUCCAAGUGUGGCUCUUUCAUAUUAGUAGACAUGACAUGACAAGGUGCUUCAAGGAGGAUGCUGGUACUUAGAUUUUCAGGUAACCUGGCAGGUGGAAAGAGAUGAUAGGGAGGGAAAGAAGCAAAUCAUUUUUUAUUGUGUUGGAAGGUAUUGAACAUAAGUCAGAGUCUGUAGGGCUAUGGGUAAAACUGGUGUCACAGUAGAUGGAUGUUUAGUAACUCAGUGUUGCUAAAGUGGCCUGUAAUAUGGCUUUUGGUUAUGAGUUCAAACUUUGGAAUUCUUAGAGACCUGGACUCGCAGCCUGAUUUUAUCGCUCACAAUUUAUGUGAUUUGGGGUUAAAGUUAUUAAUCUAUUUAACCUAUUUCCUCAUCUGUAAAAAUACAAAGAAAAGUUAUGUGCAUUUAUGAAAAGUUAAGAGUAAAUCUAACAUAUAUUAAGGGUUUAGAAGUGCUUAACAAACAAGAAACACAACAGAUCUUAGUGGCUGUGGUCUUCUGAUGUUUUCAUGUUGCUUUGAAAAAGGUGGCAUUUUUCAUGUAUCAACCUCAUCUCUGAACCUCUUCUCAGCACCAUGCAGAAAACAACCAUUGUAAAGAAGUUAUAGUUUAAAGCAAUUGUAGCCACUUCCAGAGGGAGCAUGAACCCUCCACAGUGUGACAGGAGAUGAUACCUGCCCUUGAGAAGCAACAGGUGUCAGUCAAUAAGAUAAACGUUUUAGUUUACAAGGUAAGCCUAGAAAGUUUCAGUUAACAUUCAGUUCACUAAAUGCCUAUGAAAGGCUCUGGACUGGGCUGCAAGAAAUGCUAAAAUGAAGGUUGACAUGAGAAGUAACAACAUAAUUAUUAGGAACAUUGAAACAAACCUACCUGUCACUUAUUAAGCCCUGGUAUGUGUCGGACAAAUACUAUAAUCACACCUUUAGACUUUUCACAUCUUUGGACUUCAUACUAAGUCUUUAUCUGUGAGAUGAUCUCAUUGUCUCCAUUAUAGAGAUUUAUAAAGUAUAAACUUAAGCAUCAUACUAAUAUAUUAAUAACAUAAUAGAGCAUGCAAAGUGCAGCAUUAUCCUACCAGAUAAACCUACUGCAGGUGGAUUUCUUUAAUGUUUUGAGUGAGUUGUUUGGGGAUCUUGAAUGUGAUUCUUUAUUAACUAUGCUAUCCCGAGUUGUAUUAGUUUCAGCAAUCUCUUGAGCCUACCACCUAUUCACAGCAUUAUAGAAGUGAGAACAAGGAAAGAUUGGGUGUUGUUAAACAGCCACUGAGAAAUUUGUUCUUCCUUUUUCUAUCUUUGUUCAUUUUCAUUGCAAAUGCCUCCACGGAAAAAUAUCUUUUCUCUCUUGUAAGGCUGUCUUAGAUCACAUUGUCUUCAAUUUUGUGAUCCUAUUAUCCUAUGACAUGAAAUUUAAGCUACCAACAUUUUCUCCUCAUUUAAUUCCUAGCAACUUUUGCAUGUGUGCACAAGCCAAGUAGUAAAUGCAGUAUUAUAAGUAAAGUUAAAUUAGCUCAGCUAACUGGCUCUCUGGUCAGACUGAGCAUACACCACACCUCCUAUGUGAUAGGUGUCUCAAUUCAACUAUUAUUCUCUUCACCUGUUUUUCUGUUGAGAUUGUAUAAAACAGACUGUCCAUGCAAAAUUCUGUCAUGGUGCUUUUAUUAAAGGAGACCUAAAUUUGGCUGAAUGACUACUACAUGAAAAGGGAAUCACAUAGGCCUAUCGACUUUGUUUUGCAUAUGAAUUUUAAUCUUUAGUAUCUUAUAGGGAAAUGCGAAUUAACUCAAGAAGGUAAGGAUGGAGAUUUACAGCCCACCUUCCACUGUGUUCUACUAUAAAGGAAUUACACUGUAAAAAUUUUUAGCCAAACCGCAUUUCUAUAUACAGGCAGAAGGUCUCCUUUCCUGCCUUCUUUCAUUAAUUUCUGUGUUCAACAGUUGACUCAACAGACUUAUUAAGUGCCCACCAUGUAUUAGGCAAUGGGUUAGGCUUAGAAGACUGAUUGCUACCAGCAGUGUGUAGUCUUAACACUGGACUCAAUUUAGCAAGACAGAGUCAUUGGUUCUCAAACCAGUAAACCAAAAAAAAAAAAAAAAAAGUCAAACAUUGCAUGUUCUGCCCUCUUAUUACUCUUGACAGCCUUUAGAUAAGACUUAUUUUAGGCUAUCUUAUCCUUGUUGUGUUCAUAAACAACAUAAAAUUGCUAUUUCCUAAGACUUUGAAAAGGUAGAGGCUUUUUUCUUCCAUACCUCAGUUUAUUCUAAUUUUUCCCUGAGACAUUUCCAGUUGUUGUUCUUUUUUUUUUUCUUGGUAUUUGACACUUAGUCAAAAUUUAAUAAAUAACUGGUGACUAGAAGGAAGGAAGGGAAGAGAAGAAACUUACUGUAUUAGGAUUUAGCAAAUUAUCUGACUUGGGAUUUAACAUACUCCAGAAGGUCUGACCCUCUUUUUUUUCCCUGUAAACCACUGUAUACUACCUUUGAUCUUAUCAGAGGCAAUUUUUUUUUUCCCAUUGGGCAAUUCCCUUUGAAUUGGGUUUGGUGCACAUGGCCUUGAGGUUACUUAUUUGUUGUUUUGGCAUUGGGGAUGUUUUCAUAGACAAUCUAGAAUCCCGGUGCAGCAUUGUAGAAACUCCUUCCUUACCCACUCUGCCAAAUUACUUCUACUCUGAGAAUUUCAUUCUAUUACAAUAUACCUCCCCCUUCCUUUUCUUACACUGAUACAAUUGGAGCAGCCCACCUUGUUUUCAUUAAAUGAUAUUUAGCACCUGCAUGGUAUAAAAUCUUAUUCUAGGUUUCAUGAAUUUAUAGUAAUUAGUUGUAAAAUAUGAAUCAUUGUGAGCUGGUGAUAAAAGUAGUUAUCUAUUCCAAAUUCCCCCUAGGGCUUACAAUUUAGGUGGAGAAAGGGAUGCCAUCAUACGGAAUACCGAAACCUUAGUGUGGAGCUGCUCUAGAAACUUCAGUGCAGCAGGACAUUGGAAGAUGGAAUGAUGGAUGAGACAGUGAGGUUAGGAUAGACCUGGGAAGGAGGACAGGAGCUGACCCUGGUGGUACUUCGACCUGAGGGGCAGGAGAGCGUAAUCCAUCAGUCAGCAGAGAGCCUGAACUCAGGAAGGACACGAACAGCACUGAAAAGGGGGUUCUGAAGGUUUUACAGUAGCAGGACCCAGUGAUAAAGGUUGUAUGUUAAGUAAGUAUGUCAAACAGUUUGGACUUUGUGUUCUGGGGCAGCUUUACCCAAAAUGCAGCUUUCUGUAUUACUGAUUCUACUGGAUAUUGUAGGGGUCUUAAUCAAAACAAGUUUCUGUGAUUGAAAAACUGAGGAAAAACUGGGAUACAUUUUAUUGAAGUUUUCUCCUGUGGAAUUUCUUAGAGGGUAUAAUAUGCUAACCUACAUUAUUAAUGUCUAAGAGCUUCUCUAAAUAGUUUUGAUCACUGAAUCUGUUUUUGAUGAAGCUCCUUGGGAGGGGAGUUGUCUGUGAAGACUAUUUUGGGAAAUGUUGUUAGAAGUCAUUGAUUUUGAGUCAGAGGCAAUACUGGGUGGCUGGUGUUGGAACAUGAAUUUUCAAAUGCUGCAAAGGAUGGAUCUGACCAGGGAGUGAUGAGGGAACUUUGACUCUGUCUAGAUGGAUGUGAUGAGGCCUGGAUUUGUUGCUGAAGCAUCUGAAUGGGAAGGAAGGGACAGAUUUGAGGACCUAUUAGAUAUUUGGGUAAAAGAACCUUCAUUCAUCUGUGAAUGUCCAGAUGAAAAAAGGAUUGCAAAGAUAGAAUUAAGAAUGGCUCACAUUUUUGAGAUGUCUACAUUAGGAGCCUGAGGUAGCAAUCUCUGUAUGGAUUUCUGACCUUCUUUAUCCUUGGCAUAAUCAUCAAAGACCAUGAGGUACUCCAAGAGUACUCAGAACCCAAGGAGACAGGGAUGUCUUUGUAGACAUGUCCCUUUUGUAGCAACUGCUCUGUUGUCAAAAUGCUUUCUUAGUAUAAAACACUGAAAACACAAUUUGGCAAGGUCAAGCUAUGUGUCAGACGUAAUAUUGCCCUAAGUGGUCCCGUGCAGUCCUGACCACUAUCUGUCCUGUGGUGUGGCUGAUAUACACCCAGGAAGGAAGUGUCUACCAUGUGAAACUGACUCUACACCCUGCCAUAGAGAAUCUGGCUCUUUGGCUUAAGUGCACUCUUUUCUGUUCAUCCUGAGGAACUCUAUCAGAAAGGCAGUGGGCAUAGUAAAAAGAUUAUAUAGGUGUUUCUGCCAACUCUCUUGCAUUUAUUCAUCUCUGGAGAUACAAAGAAUUUCAGCACACCGUGUUGGAACCCAUCAUUUAUCUGUCUCAUCUGCAAGGACUGGUCUAUAGAUUUGUUCACAAUCUUUACGUCCUGCUUUAGGUCUGGGCCUGAUAUUAUACAUCUGCCUCUUUAGUCAUUCAUGAAGUUAUGUAGAUUAAUGCUUUCUUUUCCCAUAAUUAUUUUCUAUCUAUUUGAGUAGAGUUCUUAACACUUUUAAAAAUAGGCAGUGGAAGAAAGCAGUAGUGUAAAAUGAAAAGCGGAGCUGUAUUUUCCCUCUUGAAUUGUUCAUCAGAGUACUUAUGGUAAGUUUUCCAGUUUUCUUACAUAUUUAUGAAUAUAAAUGAAUUUAACUGCUUAAUUAAUAACACCUGUAACCUCUGUGUUUGCUUCUUUUCAUGCCUACACUUGUUACAACUCCGUUCAUGUAUUUGGUAGCUUACAAAUGAUUCAAAGUAGUGGUGGUCAUUAGUGUGACUAUUUCUGAAUAUUUUUCUCCUUUAUUGUUUGCACUUCCAUAAAAUAUCUGAAUCCUUUUAAUUCUCCUGCCAUAUUGCUUAUCUGCAUUUCACAAGGGCCUUGAAAACCCUACGUUGUGUUUCUUUGUGCUUUUGUUUGAAAGAUUUCUUCCCACUGGUGUCUUAUUAAAUUAACUUGCGCUACAGAGAUAUAUACCAUUGUCCUUGAGUGUGUUGACUACUUCAGGCUGAAGAAGUUCAUGUUGAUGCAUAAAUUCUUUAUUUGACUGUCUACCUUGGAUAAACUCACUAUAUCAUUGCAAAAUCGCUCCUUUUUAAAGGUGGUGGUUAUAUGUGUGCCAUGUCUCACACACUGACAUCUAUAGAUGGAACCAUUGUGGUGGAUCCAACAGAGCUGGCUAGCUGUGGUUAUUUGGCUAGCCAGAAUUCGGGGCCUCAUGUUGCUGCUUAAUCCAAGGAGGCAUGGCACAUGAAGCCACAGCUGGGGAGGAGACUCUUAUCGGGGACAUUAAUAAAUGGCUUCUAGCAUGCUUGAUUGGAACAAGAACUUUUAACUGCACAGUGUAUUUUUCUUCCAUUAAUUUUGGAAUGAUAACCAAUGAAUGGGAGAUAAUGUCAUGUCUCUAUCAGUUCAUGUGCCCACAUUUAUUUUCUGUUCAGAUGGUUACAAUGCAAUCAAGGUAUUUUGCCAGAUAUUUUAUCCCUUUUUUAAUAAACCAAAAAUUGAAUAUGUUUGGGAAUAUUGGCUGUGCCUUUCAAAAUGUGGAUUUAAGAGUAUUUUUCAGGGCUGGGGUGUGGCUCAGUGGUAUAGUGCUUGCCUAGCAUAUGUGAGGCACUAAGUUUGAGUCUCAGACCACAUAUAAAAAAAUGAAAUAAAGGUCCAUUGACAAUUAAAAGAAAUAUUUUAUAAAGAGUAUUUUUCAGAGUUUUAUGAGUGUUAUUUGAUUAAAAAUACAAACAUAAACAGUAUAUUAUUAAUAUUCAUAAUAAUAAAACACCUUUUAGAAAGAUGGGACAAAAGACAUGCCAACUCAGCCGUAAUCAUACUAGAGUGUUCAUUACUUUGGGAGCACAAUUUUCCUACUGGGAUUGCUAAUUCAAAUAAAGGAUUUAACAUAGAGGGAUACUCAUAGUUUCUAUCUUUAUGUAAUUAGGUUCAGAAGAGUGGUUAAGGUUCCCAUUUUUCCAGUGAACAAAUGACAACAUGUCACAUAAAUAAGUGUACAUAUGUAUCAUAUACAUUAGAUUAACAGAGAUUAGUACACUUGUAAAAAAAAAAAAAAAAAAACUGAGUUGUGAAUUCAGAAUCAAAUAGAUUAGAUUUUAUUUCUAAUUCUAUCCUUAUUUAAAAAUGUUUAUUGCAUUAAGUAGAUUGUUUUUCUUAGUCUUAAUUUAGCCAUUGUUCCUUCCACUUUGAAAUGUGAACUGCAAUCUUUAGUUUAUUCAUGUAGGAAAAAACAAAUGUAUAGGCUUUGGGGCUUUGGAAAAGAAUCCUUUGAGAUCUUUAAGAGAAAGCACGUACUUGCUACUUAUCAUUUCAUUUUCAGGAGUUGGCACAUAAUUGACUCUUUAAUAAAACUUUUGUUCUUAAUUCCGUGAUCUAAGCUUUAUAUACUUAUCAUCUUAUUCUGCUCCUAAAUGUUACUUACAGUGAGAGAAUCUUAUGUAGAGUGGUGAAUACUUCCACUACUAAGUAAUGCCUUUGGAGGGCUGUUCUCAUGCUCUUAGCUGCCUGCCACUGCCCACCCAAGAGGAAAGAGCUCGUUCAUGAGAACACUUGUAUCCUAUACCAUUGAACAGAAGAGACAACUUUGGAUACUUACCUGGGCCCGUCUGUGUUACCAAUGACCUGUUUUCUACUUCAUUCCUCAUAUCUUGGUUGGAAUGAAAAGAAUGAGGUACAAACCGUGUGGAAAUAAAGAAUGAUCAAAAUGAAAUAUUGGAUAAAAAGGACUUUUGCAACACUGAGCCUUUCGUUUGUCCACCUCAGGACUGCGGACUAGACACAUUUCCUGCAGUCAUCACUAAUACCAUUUUUUCCUCUUCAGGAACAAAACUAUCAUCAGAUAGUGGAUCACACGGAUGGAAAAAUGUAGCUAUUCCCUAAAAACUAGAGGUUUUAUACUUUUUGUAGUUUUUUUCUCCAAAAAUAUUAGUAAGGAGGUGUUGUAUUAAAUAGUUGUCUGUGAGUUUAUUUUGCAUUUUUUCAAAAAGCGAUGUGCUCCAAAGUUCUUGAGACAAAGCAGUGUUUAUAUGAAUAUUUUUUCCUGGAAAGAGACAGGAAAAUACACAUAGUUUGUAUCCCGCUGCUUCUGUGAUAACUAUAAAUUGAUGAAAAUUCAAGUUCACUGAACAUUUCUUUACAUUUGUAUAGGACAUUUUUUUCUCUUGUUUGCAAAAGUCCUUUUUAUCCAAUAUUUCAUUUUGAUCUCUCCAACAACCAUAAAAUUCUAAGAAGAUAUUUCCUUUUUUAUGAAAUGAUACUUUGGGGAUUUAAAUUUCUUUUUCAGUUUCAUACAGCUAAUGAUGAGGUCAGGAGUCAAAUUCAAGUUUUGAGGCUCCUAGUCUAAAGCUCUUUUAAAUGUAAUGCAGUGCUUCCAUUUAUAUUUUUUAAAUUAAGUAAUUAACAAGUAACACUUCCUGCUCCCUGCUAGUUCUCAAUUCUUUAGCAGAAACCAGUAUGUCUGGAUCUGCCUGACCUUGGAUGACCUAACUUCAACCAGCCUCAUAUAUAAACUGGCAUCCUUCUGCCCAUAUCAAAUAGUUAUAAUGAAGAUUAAACUAGAUAAUGUAUGUGAAGGGUGAAGCAUAUAGUAGAAUUCAAAGAUCCCUUUUCUUUACUUCCUCCUUUUUUCCUAUAUAACAAACAAUCCUCAGAAUUAAUGUUUUAAAUGACUUCAGUGGUACUACCUCUCAUUUUUUGGGGUUGACUGGGUUCAUCUGGGUCCAUGCGCUCCUCAUGACCUGAUCUAGGGCUACCAUCAUCUGAGGUCUUCGCUGAACUGGAAUACCCAAGGUGGCUGACUCAACAUCUGAUGCUUCCAGGAGAAUGGGUAGAAGGCUGGGCUCAGCUGGGGUGCUGGGCAACUGGGUUUCUCUCCCUCCCCUUAUCAUUUCUCCAUGUGGUCCUUCCAUCAGGAUUGCUUACAUGAUUGCUCAGGAUAAACAUGGAAACUUCGAGACCCUUCUAAGUUUGAGUCCUGGAACAGGGUGUCACUUCUGCCACAUUUUAUAGGUCACAGUGAGUCCAGUGAGUCACAGGACCAACCUAUUUUCAUUGUGAAAAGAGGCUACAUCAGGGCAGUCUGGGUCAUGAUAGGUUGUCCUUGUUCGACUACUGUAGUCAUCAUCAUCUGAAAGUUUUUCAGUUGAUCUAGAGCCUUUGCAGUGGAAAAAUGACUGAAACAAUGCCAGCAUGUGAAAAGGAUUUCUGUUCUUCUUAAUUAUUCCCAGAGUUGAAGGAAAGCAGAUAACCUGGCAGUUCUUCUAAAGAUCAUCCUGGAGUGCUGCUUUCUUUCGUACUCUGAGGUACACCUGGUAAAGGAAAUGAUGAAAGACAUCUGGUUUUUCAGUGGUUUGGGGUAACACUGCCUCACAUUGGAAUUUAUAAUUUUCAAGUACUUAACAUAUAUUUUCUCUUUAUUCUCACCUUACUGGAGUGCACAAAGUUUCAGCAUGAGACGAGGAGUUCAAAUGACCUUUCCAAUGGCACAUAACUUAAAAAGGCAGAAAUAGCGCUCCGACUCAGAACUUUCACAACUGGGACACUGUCUCCCAUCUUGGUUCCAUUCUAAGGAUACAUAUGAUGGGAUGAGGGGCAGGAAGCCUAGUGGGAGGAGAGUGCUUGAAGUAAGCAUGGGGUGGUUAGAGAGGGCAGGGCUCUUAGUGCACUUCUUACUCCUGCCGUUGUCUGCCUUUAUGGACACCAGUGUUUAACUUAUUUUACAUCUUUCAUUUGUGGGAAAAUACUGUAUCUACCAUGGGAUAGGGAAGAAUUAUUCUUGCCUAAGCUCUUUAUGGGCUCAUCUUCAGUAUAAAGGAAAUUAUAUAAGUGGUCUAGCAGAGUGCCUGUCCUAUAGUAGGUAUAUAAGACAUAUUCAUUUUUUUUCCUCUCUCCAUUUCUUAAGUUGCUUUCUGAGGCAUGAAGCUGAACUUGGAUUAUAUUUUGAAAUGCAUUUAGCAUUUGCAGUACACUUUGUAUCAUGACCAAUGAAUGGAAAAGUUGAGGAUUGCUUGCCUGGCUGCCCAGCAGGAACUCUGUUAUGCUUACUUCUGAGACAGGCAACUUUGGCAAGGUUGGCAUCUCUGCCUGGAAACACAGGGCUCGUUAUUCUGUCACAGGACUAGUGACCUGAUUGAACACAACUGUCCAGAUCCUUACCCAUGUCCCAUUAAAGCUGCUGUCUACAGACCCUCUUCCUUGGAGCUUGUCGCCUGUUUGAGAAGAUGGUAAAGUGUGCUGGCUUGUUUUUGUAAAUGACUGUUUCAGUAGAAGAUUCUGGACAUGAGAUGAAUUCUACCAGCAGCAAGUAAGUCAUGAAUUUAAAUUUGCAGGCAUUGUGCUCUACGACUUCAAAAGCCUCCCAGACCCUUUUAUGGUUGGCACGGAAUGGAGGCAUUCUGCGUUUGUAUUUGUUGGUGCGUCUGGGCAACCUGGCUCUGGCCUCAGGAACCUGUGCUUUAAAAUGAGGUAGCUGAAUUCACUUCCCUGGGGCUGGAGGAAGUUCUUAGUAUACUUCUUUUGCUUAAAUCUAUGACAGGGUAGAAGAAAUGUAUCCUCGGAGUUUAAAGGUGACCAUUUCACAGCAGCAAAGCUCUGUGCUGUGGUCUCUUGUGAUCUGAUCUGACAGUUCAUGUAUUACAGAGAGGAAAGCAGCCUCAGUCUGUGGCAAUGCGUCUCUGAGUUUGUGACGUUGUUGGGAGAUCAUGCUUUGGUGUGUCUGCUUGUUUGUGACUAGAAAAAGAGCCCUGUGGUGACAAUGGAAGCUCAAAGUGUCUUUUUUCUCUGCAACUGCUCCUAGGCAUGCUUACAUCAAACCAAUACAAGCACAUGCAUUUUUUUUUAAGACCUCUGGGUAACGUGAUUUUACAGUUUUUCUAAGUAACUUUUAUUGUCAGGAACUCUCGCCUUAUUGCUUAUACAUGUCUUUCCCAUCUGAAAAUGAAGCCGCUGGUCUCUUGUUUGUUUAAUCGGGAGAUAUGGGGAUUAGAAUGUCACUAUCUUGUGACUAAGGAUAUUCCUGGUAUUAGGAGGACAUUAUUAACUCACUGUAGUUAACCUUAUCCCCCAUUUCAUUCACUUUUCGAUUCUUGAAUGAAACUUAGGUUCAUCAGAUACCUUUUGCCUAUUAAAUUAAAAUAAGACUGUAGUGGGUUAUGGCCAUGAUUGACAUUGAGAAAAUUCCUUAUGGUCUCACAGGCCUAAAACCUUGAUUUCAAAGAACCACUGCAAUACAUAAAAUGUGGUUGAUUGCUUAUGGGGCAGAAAUAUGCAUCUGUGUCUGGUCUUCAUUGCUAUGAAAAGGAAUAGGCUUUUUAAAUUAAUUUUUGGGAGUUCAUGCUUCUUUCUAUACACUGAUUUAAUUUGCAUUUUCUAAAUUUCAUAUAUAUGUUAAAUUGUCAGGUAGCAAGCUUCUGCUUUGGGUUAAGGUUGGGUAGAGUGUGUUGUGGAGUCAAUAAUGAAUGAUCUUAUGUGUUUUUUUGUUUUGUUUUGUUUUGUUUUUGGCAUCUGCCAUGUGCUAGAUGGUGCGUUCUUCUCCUUAAAAUCUAUGUGCCUGGUGAGGUCAGACCCAUGUCACCAAAUACAGACCAGAAUGUUCAUAUAAGAUCUGAAUGUCGUUGGGAGAGCUCAAUGGCAGUCUCAGGGUCUGGGUCAAAAUUCGUUUAUCGGUUUUCUGUUUCACUGUGUGAUAGGGACUAACAGCAGAUGUUUGCUUUAAAGGCUAAUAAAAGUAAAUCUGAGAGAAUUUGCUUCCAAUUUAGGUUCUUCUCCACUGAGAAAAUAGCCAGCAGUGCAGGAGGGAAGCGCCUGCCUGAGGAGCCAGUGGCCUUGUCCUCAGCUGCCUCUACGUGUUUUGGGAGGCAUGCCUGGAACGCUUCCCUGCAUGCCUCAAGCCGUGGUCUGAGCUGAGCUGUCUGCUUGGUGGGUACCAGGGUGAGGCAGACAGCCCAGCCAUCUAAAGGCCCAUCCAAUGGCAAAUGUGAAUUGGGUUAUUCUGGCCUGCAGGUCCUGAAUGCACAAGGCUUGGGCCACUGGCCAGCAGCCUCACUCGCUCCCCGGGUCAAUGGUCUGUUGGACUGAGUCCCUGGAGGCCGGCCUGGCUGACUGCUCACUCCAUUUGCCAUGCAUUUUUCUCAGCCUUCCCUCCCUUCUUUGCGGAACUGCUCAGUGGUCUACUCACUGAGAGAUGAAAUUGUUUCUGAUAAACUUGAUCACAUAGCUGUAGAUGAAUAUGUACUUCUUUUCCUGAGGCAUAUCUGCACAUUAAAUCAGAACCUCAAAGGCUUGAACCCAGUGUUCGUCCUUGUGUCCUGAAGUCACUUCCCUGAUGUUGUCUCAAGAGCCAGGCAUUUUCAGAUGUCCUUGUUCUGUUUAAACUUCUCUCCUUAUGCCAAAGUGAAAAACAGCAAAACAUUUCCGUGGCCCACAAGUUCUGCCUGCCUGGGCCCUGGCUUCUCCUUGGCUUCCCUCUUCACUCACCUUCUUUUCACUGCUCAAAAAGCACAUUGCUGGCUGCUGGGCUCUUUUCUCCAGCCUAAUGACUCCUCAUCUUUUAGGUCUCAGCUUAAACUUCCUCCAUCCAUAGACUCGGUCAGAGCCUUUCCCAGCCCCCACCACCUGCAGUGUGCAUCCUGUACUUCCUUUGUGGUUCUCAUCACAUUCGUACCUAUAGUUUCAGGUCAGAAUUUCUUGUUAGAGUGUCAUGAACAUAGAGACAAUGUUUGUCUUGCUCAUUAUUCAGUACUGAUGGUAGAGCUAAAUGUGGAGGUCCUCAUUCAACAGUUACUAGAAGGAACAAGGAAAGAAAGGAAGAAGGGUACUUGGCAUUAAGCAGUCUGGGGAUGGUGGUACCUAGAGGGUGUAUGAGUUUCCUAUGGCUGCUGUAACAAGUUGCCACAAACUUAGUGGCUUGAAAUAACACACCUAUAUUACCUCUCCGUUCUGGAAGUCGGGAGUCCUAAAAUCAAGUUGUUGGCAGGGCUGCAUUACUUUUCAAGGCUCUGUGGAUAGAAUGAAGCCCUUCCCACCUUCUCAAAGAUGCUUGAAUGCCUUGGUUGUAGCCCUCUUCCAGCAACCGUAUCACUUCAACCUUUGCUUCCAUCAUCAUGCCUUCUUCUAUUAAUCUGGAAUCUUUUGGUCCCUUGUAUAAAAACCCUACUGAUGAUUCUGAGCCCACUCAGAUAUUCCAGGAUAAUCUCCCCAUCUCAAGAUCCUUAAUUGCACCUGAAAACUCCUUUUUGCCAUGUAAGAAAAAGAUUAACAGGUUCUGGAGAUGAGGAUGCAGACAUGGGUUGAGGUGGAGGUGGGGACAUCAUUUUGCAAAUCACUACUGGAUUAGCUGUUGAAGCAAACGUGUCAGGGGGCAUAAUAUAGAUUUUGGGCUAGGAGAGGAGAGUGACUAAAAUGUCAGGCAUAGUUCAGGACAAACAAAUUUAGUGGCGUCUCUGAAAGAGAACAAAAAUCAGAAAGUAAGAUUAUGGGCAGCGUCCAGGGAUACUGCUAAUCUAAAACGGGGCAGCAAAGGGGGAAUUAUUAUUUUUUUUCAGGAUAGUGAAGUUGCAAAUUGAAAUUGAGGAAGGAAGAAAUAGAAUUUCCCAAGGACCAGGGCUGCUCUGAUGACUUGGUGGGAGAAUAAGCUAGAGCAGCACAGCGUUGAGUAGGCAUCUGGGCUGGAUCUCUCUGGAUAAAGGAUGUUGCCAUGAAUCUCUGAAUCUCUGUUACCCAACUGUAUAUAGAAGAGAAUUUUUCUUGAAUCUUGAUGCCACGUUUUACAAGUUAGGGAGCUAAGGCCUAGGAAAUUCAAGUAGGUUGACCAAGGACACCUGGCUCCAAUGCUGCCUUUCUUCUAGCUGUUGGAUACCUCCUCUGAAAUGUUCUCACAUGAUCCUGUCCUACGUUCAUUGCCCUCCUGUAGGAGGCACAUGGUAAAGGAGAAUCCCCAUCUAAAACUAGUAGAUUGCCUUUUGAUGGAGCCUUGGGCGGCUGGUUUGAUGAGAGAUGGACAAAAAGAAACCCUUCCUGAGAGUGUAUAGAAGGAAGUGGAACAUGCCGAUUUAGGGAUGAUCACAAGCAGUGUAGCUCAGUGGGGCACCUGUUGUCAACAGAGCAUUAUCCCACCAUCUUCUCAUGGUAUCUGUAAUGAAAUCCAGGGAGCUUGACCCGGGAGGCUGAUAUGAAAGGAUUGAUCACUAGUGUUUCCCUUUUAGUGCCGAUGGAGCCCAUUUUCUUCCUGGGCAGUAACAAUAGUUACUCCAGAAUAUCCACACUACUACUUGGGAUGAAUUUCUCAGCUGCUUGGAACACUUCAUCAACAAUAUGAUUGGUCUAUUAGCACGCAAUUAACACAUGACCUUACUGGCAAAGAGACUACAGAUAAUCUGACAGGAUCUUUAAAGUUUUCAGUUCCCUUCUCCUAGUCCAGUAACCCAUUCGAAAUACUUCAGAGUGAUUCUGGAACACGUAACCUGAGGCAAACAUGACUUAAACUAGCCACGGCAGAAAAGGAUGUGGUAAGGGGGAGGGUGUCGGAAAUCACAAAACCAUGGAGAAGCAGACAUAGACAGAACAGGAAGGGAAUAUACACCUGAGAUGUUCUGUGCCUGCCUCCGUGCGGUUGCCAGGUUUCAGAAUGAAUGUAAGUCUUCUCUGCUCCUCGGAUACACUUUUGUAAAGAAAACAUAUAUUCAUGUAUUUAAGUGGGUCUUUAACUGUUAAUGGAUAUCCUCCCACAAUAAAGGCUUUGUGAGGCUGAUUGGAAUGCUUUUACCACAUAAGACCUUGGGUUCCUAGGGGAUUUUCCUUUUAAUUUAAAGUGAUGAGGGUGGGUACAUAGGUGGAGGCUGCUUAUUGGAUUUUAAUUUUAUGCUAUAAAAUUUGAAAGGGUUGGGAAAUUUUAUGUGAUUAUAAAUGAAUAGUGCAAAACGUUAAGGGGCUAGGAAAUUAACAAAGAACAAAAUUGCUAUAUGUCAAGUAUUUUUACUGUUUCUUCGUUUUUAAUGUCAACAUCAUUAAUGAGACUAUCAUAAAACAUCCGUUAGUCUCACAAGAGCUAAAUUUAUACAGUGAAAAUUAUGUCGGGAAACAUGACAGGUAAUCGAUUAUUUUAAAUAACAACUUGGUAUAGAUUUAAGGGGUACAGUGUGAUAAUUUAAUGUACAAAUACCAUGUAGAAUGAUCAAGUCAGAAAAGUUUCCAUCGCCUUUAACGUUUUUAAAAAAGUUUUAAUACAUAAUGGUACAAAUUUAUGGGGUACAGUGUGAUAUUUCAAUACAUGUAUAUAACAUGUACUGAAAAAAUCAGGGUAAUUCAUGUUUCCAUCUCCUUAUCAUUACUUUGUGUUUGCAGCUUCAAGCUUUUCUAGUUCUUCAUAAGAUGCGUAAGAAGUCUGUGAGUGAUAGUCACUCUACUGUGCUAUAGAACAUUGUACUUACCAUUUCUUCCCAACUGUUUAGGUACCUGUUAUCCAGCUUCCUUAUGUCCCCCUCCACCAGUAUCCUUCCCAGUCUCUACUAAUCACUACUGAUAGAGCCAUUGUCUUUCUGUAUCAUCUGACAUUUUAUUUAAUGCAAUGACCUCCAGUUCCAUCCUGCAAAUAAUAGGAUAACUUAAAGAGUAGUUACAUCACAUUUCUGCCCUAAAUUUCAUUAUUUGACUCUUUUUAAGGAGAACUAGGUAGGUAACCUGUGAUUAUAAAUGAAACACAGUCUUAAAGACAAACUAACAUUACUUUAAAUAGUAGGUGGAUAUAAAUGAUUCCAUUCACAAGAUCUCAAAUUUUUGCUAGCUUCAUCAUGCUGAAAGUAUUGAAUUUAGAAAAUGGUUAAAUUCUGGCCUCAUUUCGUAUUAUUAAAAGGAACCAUAGGUUGAGGAACCUCUGGGAAACAGGGCAUCCAGGGAGGAGUAAAUAACUCUAAGACGUUAAGCAUAAAUUGAGUGGGACUCAAUAUCUUCAGAGUGCAGAUUUAACACUGCCUGGCUGCUCACUCAUUUACAAUGCACCUAAUUGUCAUUUUGGCACAGACUUUAUUAACCCUUUCUUUGUUCAAAUAAAUUCUGUAGAAUUGCCCUUCUAGAGGACUGUUUUUCAAACUUUAUUGACAAGGCUACCAAAAGAAAUACAUUUUAUGUUUCAACCCAGUACACAUAUGCAUGCAAAUAUAUACACACACCAUAGUUUCAGACUUCAUGAAAUGGUGCUAAACCACAAAUUGAAAUGAAGGGCAAGCGUGAAGAGUUGGCCACUGCAUUUGGUACCUCACCUUGCUUCCAUUAUGCCUUUCCCCACCAAUCCCAGCCAUUGGCUGCAGGAUCAGUUGCAAUAACUAUGUAAGUUUCUGCUAAGGUCUGUGCAGUGCAAGUGUUUUCUAAUCUAUCUCAUUCUUAAAGAAUAUUAGUUGCAGCACAAUGGAAAUUUUUGUUCCUUCGUAAUGUACUGUGAUCCACUUUAAAGAGUUUUCAGAAAAAAAAAUAUAUACAUAUAUAGAUAGAGAUAUAGAUAUUAUUAUAUUGAAGGAAUAAAUAUGUCAUUUUUUUUUGUACUGGAAAUUGAACCCAAGUGUGCUUGACUACUGAGCCAUAUCCCCAACCAUUUUAUUUAUCAUUUAUUUUUUUUAUUUUGAGAGAGAGAGUCUUGCUGAGUUGCUGAGGCUGCCUUUGAACUUGGCAUCCUCCCACCUCAGCUUCCUGAGCCACUGAGACACUGGGAUUACAGGUGUGCCCCACUGUGCCCUGCAUAGAUAUGUCUGUUUUUUAUUUUCUGUAACAAGCAUUUUUCAUGUUGUUAUUCCAAGGGUGGAUGGUGAUUUUUUUUCCCCCUCUAGAAUACAUCUUGAUUUUCAGUGUUUUCUUUUCCAAAGGCUCUUCCUUACCUGCCUAACCAGGAAAAUGUAGUCUGUUCACUGUCACCUGGCAUUGUCCUUAGGAGUCUCCCUCACCAGAGAGAGAGACUACUAUUUCCUGAGACUAUGGAUUCAGAUACUGUUCUUCAUUCCAUUCAGCACUCAAAUUUGCCAUUUCCUUGAGGAAAAUCUGUCUUGAUGAUUUCAGACCUGCACUAUCAUGCUUCUCAUUCCCUGUAGCUCAGCUGUUGGAACAUACAAGAGUUGGCUGCCCCAGCAUUAUAAUCAUUCCAUAUCUGCUAUUUCUAUCUCCUUUUUUUCUGUUAAAUUAAAUCUUUAUUCUUCUCUUUCUCUGAGUUAUAAACUCCUGAAGAGCAGGGUACAUUUUUCUAUAUUUCUUAUAUUUUCAUCACUCCUAAAAUCCUGGCCCCGGUGUAGGAACUCGCUGAAUGCAACAAUGGAAACUGAUUGUGAUGUGUUACCUGUUCCUCAUGCUUUCCCUCUAAAUUCUCUAACUUUAAAACUGUAUCAUAUAUCCAUUGUAAGUAGGGAUGGUUUUAAUUCUAAUUGCUAAAGAUCUUGAACAUUUUUUCAUAUAUUUGUUGACCAUUUGUAUUUCUUCUUCUAGGAAGUGCCUCUUCAAUUCUUUUGGCCAUUUAUCGCUUGGGUUAUUUGGGGUUUUGGUGUUAGAUUUUUGAGUUCUUCAUAUUUCCUGGAGAUUAAUGCUCUAUCUGAGGUGCAGGUGACAAAGAUUUUCUCUGAUUCUCUAAGCUCUCUCUUCACAAUCUUGAUAGUCUCCUUUGGUGUGAAGAAUAUUUUUGGUUUGAUACUGUCCCAUUUAUUUACUUAUUUAUUGAUUGAUUCUUGAUUUUACUACUUAUGCUUUAGGAUUCUUGUUGAAGAAGUCUGUUCCUAAGCUGACAUGGUAGAGAGCUGGGCCUACAUUUUCUUCUAGUAGGUUCAGGGGCUCUGAUUGAAUGCGUAGGUUGUUGAUCUACUUUGUGUUGAGUUUUGUGCAGGUGAGAGAUAGGAGUUAAAUUUUAUUUUGCUGCAUAUGAAUUUCCAGUUUUCUCAGCACCAUUUGUUGAAGAAGCUAUUUUUUUCCCAAUGUAUGUUUAUGGCAUAUUUGUCUUGUAUGAGAUGACUAUAUUUGUGUGGGUUUGUCUCUGUGUCUUCUACUUUGUACGAUUGGUCUUCAUGUCUGUUUUGGUGCCAAUACCAUGCCAUUUUUUGUUGAUAGGCACUAAGGGCAAUUAUCAAGAAAUCAAGUAAUAAUAAAUGUUGAUGAGGAUUGAGGGAAAAGGUACACUCAUACAUUGCUGGUGGCACUGAAAAUUGGUACAACCACUCUGGAAAAUAGUAUGGAAAUUUCUCAGAAAACUUGGAGUGGAACCACCAUUUGACCCAGUUAUCCCAUUCCUUGGCAAAGUACUCAAAAUCAGCAUACUAUAGUGACUCACCCUCAUUAAUGUUUAUAACAGUUCAAUUCAAAAUGACUAAGCUAUGGAACCAACCUAGGUGACCUUCAACAGAUGAAUGGAUAAAGAAAAUGUGGUACAUGUACACAAUGGGAUAUUACUCAGCCAUAAAGAAGAAUAAAAUUAUGGCAUUUGCAGGUAAAUGGAUGGGACCAGAGACUAUCAUGCUAAGUGAAAUAAGCCAAUCUCCAAAAACCAAAGGUCAAAUGUUCUCUCUGAUAGGUAGAUGUUAACACACAAUGUCAGAGUGGAGGGAGAAUAGAAGUUCAUUGGAUUAGACAAGGGGGAAUCAAUGGGAGGGAGGGAGGAUGGGAAUAGGAAAGACAGAAUGAAUUGGACAUAACUUUACUAUGUUCAGGUCUGAAUACACACCAGUGAAACUCCACACCAUAUACCACCACCAGAAUGAGGUCAUAAUUAGAAUAAGCUAUACUCCAGGUAUCUAUAAUAUGUCAAAAUAUACUCUACUGUCAUAUAUAUCUAAAAUGAACAAAUAAACAAAAGAAUAGAGUGGUGCCUUUAAUUUUUUGAAAUUAUUUAACAAAGUGUAACCUGCAUUCCAAUGAGCACACAAAUCCAAAGCAUAUUGUUUUUUCACAAAGUGAAUACACCCAUGUAAUGGUAUACAAGUAAGGAAAAGAAGUCAAGAAUACACUUUGUAUCCUGUUGUAGUCACCAGCAAAUACUAUCAUGAUUUAUAGUGCCAUAAAUUUGGUUUUUUCCUGUUUGAGGUUUAUAUAAGUAGGCUAUUCAAUACUUUUAUUUUGAUUUUUGCGGCUUUUUUCAUUUAAUGUUAUAAUUGUGAUGCUUACCUAUAUUAUUGCAAGCAGUUUUAUAUAUGUCAUAUAUAUUUUUAUGUUUUUUAGUUAUACAUGGACACAAUAUUUUGUUUGUUUUUUAUGUGAUGCUGAGGAUCAAAGCCAGUGCCUCACAUGCGCAAGGUGAGCACUCUGACACUGAGCCACAACCUCAGCCCCUGCAAGUAGUUUUAAAUUGUUACUGUGCGGUGUUCUAUUAACUGCAUAUACCAUAGCUUAUUUAUGAGUAUUGAUGGGCAUUUGAAUAUUUUCCUGGCUUAGGGUUUUUGUGGAGCAUGUAGCUAUUGAACAUCUUGUACAUAUUUUUGUUAAAUAUUUUCUUGGCUCUUCAGUAUACUUAUGUUUAGGUGUACUAGGUACGACCAAACAGUUCGCCAAACUGAUUGUACCAAUUUAGAUCCCACCAGCAGUGAAUGAGGGUUUUGUGUUCUCUAUGUCCUUGAUGAUGGGCAUUUGGUAUUUUUAAGUCUUUAUGUGGGUAUAGAUAUUAAAAACGUAUAUUUUCCCAUUCUGUGGCUUUCUUCUUAAUAUUUUUGAAUAUAUUUUUAUUGUGAAAAAGAGAAGCCAGUUUGCCAGGCCCCCCUUCAUGCUUAGUAUUUGCUGUGAUCUAAGAAACUUUUGCUUAUUCUGAGUGGUUGAGUUUUUUUUUUUUUUUUUAAUAGUUGUUUUGCUGCUUUCUAUUUUCUAUGUAUAGUUGCACUCCCUCAGGAAUUGACUUUCGGUUGGUGGUAUGGGCUAAGAAUCAGGAGUCAUUUUUCUCCUAUGGACUUCCAGAACCAUGUAGUGAAAAGACCUUUCUUCCCUAAGUACGUCCCCUUGUCACUUUUGUCAGAUAUAAUUAUGUGAGAGCCUGUUUCGGGUUUUCCCUUCUGUUCCAUGGGUCUUUUUGAUUUCUUUUUUUUUUUUGCUUCAAAGACACUGUAUUGAUUCUUCCUUUGCAACUGUUCUUAAUGUGCAGUGUAAGUCCUGUAAUGUUUGUUGUUCAUCUUUAAGAUUGUCUUGGGCAUCAUAGAUUUUAAUGUUUUGAGUGUCAUGCUAACUGUGCAUAAAAUAACACUCUAUAAAGAGUCCACUGUCAAUAAAUUUUAUGAGACCAAUGGGAGGUUAAAGAUAAAGGUGACAAUGAAAAACCAAUGAGAGAAAUCCAUGCAUGUUGGAAGAUGUUAUUCUGUCCUGAUUUUGCAAACUUCAAAAUUCCUGAAUUUGAUGAGGGGAGGUCUUAUACAGAGAGAGAGAUUCUGAGGGGAUUUGACUAGGUGGUGGGAAGACUCUAAAAAUGAAUUAAGGUGAUAGUUGAAGUAGGAAAAUGAAUACAAGGAAAAACAGCUUUAUUAAGUUGUGUGCCAAAAUAAAAGCUUAAAUAUAGUUAAGGAUAUAAAAUAAUAAAAAAUGAACAGUGAAAAAAAACCCAGAAAUUGAUCUCUGGAGAAGGUUCCAUUUUUGAGUGGGGUGUGAAUAAAAUCUGUGUAGAAAAAAAGGCUUUAGUGUUGCUUUAUUUUUUUUAACUUGUCAAUCAUUUUCCUACUGAGGGAGCCACAAAAGACAAAUCUUAAAUAGAAGGAAACUCUUGACCCCCAGUUUUAGCUCCUGUCUAAGUACAUGUGUGGGCACAGAAAGGAAAAACACAUGGACCAAUGACAUUGCAAGUCAUGGUGAUUAUGUGCAUUUCUACCUCAGAAGAGGAGACAGAGGGGAAUAUAAAUAUGCAAACAUUGUAUUACUUGGAGUAUAUAAGGCAGAUUUCACAGACAUUACUUCUUAUUAUCUGGACAUUCUAUUUUUUUUUUUUUUAAGUACUGGGGAUUGAACUCUGAACUCGGGAGCAUCAGAAGCACUCAAUCUCUGAGCCACAUUCCCAGCCCUAUUUUUAUUUUAUUUAGAGACAGGGUCUCACUGAGUUGCUUAGGGCUUCACCAUUGCUGAAGUUGGCUCAAACUUGGUGAUCCUCCUGCCUCAGAAUCCCAAGAUACUGGGAUUACAGGAGUGAGUCACUGGCUGGAUCUCUGAGUAUUAAGACUUUGUGAUGGUUAAUUUGAAUUGUUAACUUGAUUGGAUUAAUAAAUGCUAAAGAUUAAGAGACUUCUGAGUGUGUCAAUGAAGGUGUGUCUAGAAAUGAUUGGCGUGUGUUACAGUGAACUGAAACAGAGAGUCUCCCUAAGCGUGGGCAGCACUGUCCAAUAGGAUGGUGACUUGGAUGUAAUAAAAGUUGGAAGAACAAGGAAGCAGCAGCAGGUGCAAGCUCCAUUCUUCUUGAAUGGGUUCUUUUUUUUUUUUAAUAUGACAGCGGAAUGCAUUACAAUUCUUAUGACACAUAUAGAGCACAAUUUUUCAUAUCUCUGGUUGUACACAAGGUAUAUUCACACCAAUUCAUGUCUUUAUAAUGUACUUUAGAUAAUAAUGAUCAUCACAUUCCACCAUCAUUUACAACCCAUGCCCCCUCCCUUGCCCUCCAACAACUCUGCCCUAUCUAGAGUUCGUCUAUUCCUCCCAUGCUCCCUCUCCCUACCCCACUAUGAAUCAGCCUUCUUAUAUCAAAGAAAACAUUCUGCAUUUGGUUUUUUGGGAUUGCCUAACUUCACUUAGCAUUAUUUCCUCUAACUCCAUCCAUUUACCUGCAAAUGCCAUGAUUUUAUUCUCUUUUAUUGCUGAGUAAUAUUCCAUUGUGUAUAUAUGCCACAUUUUUUUUUUUUAAUCCUUGAAUGGGUUCUUGAUUGCUGCUGUGAUUGACUAAGGAUAUCAGACUCUGGCGCCUUCAUUCUUCCAUGCCAACUCUGGCAGUGAUUGUCCAGGGAGUUUUCUGAGCCUUCAGUCUCAGAUUUACAUAGCAUGGUUGAUCCCUCUUAUUCUGAGGCUUCAGCCUUUUGGACUUUGCAGCUACUGAUUCCUCCAGCUCUCCAGCCUGUAGACAGCCAUUUUGGAUUAUCCAGCUUCUGGUCAUGUAAGCCAAUCUACUAAAUCUUCUUUUCAUACUUCCUGUUGAUUUUUUUUCCUCCAAAGAACACUAAUAAAGGCUCCUUGCAGCCUGAUUGAGAAAUACCUCCAUGUGUUUCCUAAUUUAAAUUCAAGGUGUCCAGUAAAUAUCAUAGCUCUUGCUUGAAAUACCUGAGCUAAAGCUGGAGAGGGCUUAGAUGAUUUGACCAUAUUGAAAAAUGAAGCUUCUAACCAUGGAAUCCACCAGUGUAAGGAAGAAUUUGAUUUUAUGUGGUUUGCCCAGAAAAGGGCCAGUUGGCCUUUGAAAUAUAGUUUCCAUAGCUACUGGGUGGAAUCAAAAGCAAAUGCUGUGGCAGAAUAUUUUUCUAUGCUACUUUUACUGCUCAUGGUAACUACUAAGGCAAGCUAUUCUGGAGAUGAAAUACUGGGAAGUGCUACAGUGAGUGAUUGACUUUCUUUUGGGGAAUUUUCUCAUUUUUCUGAGAUUUGACUAGAACUGCCUUUCUGUUAAAAAAAAAAAAAAAGAUCGUAGUAAAGGUCAUCUUUCCAGAUACAACUUUAUUGAACAAUGCCCUGCUAAUUGUGAUUUAAAAAAUUUGGACUACAGUUAAAUGAUAGAAGAAUCCAGGAUUUGCUGCUCCUGAAUAUUUUUUUUCCUUUAAGAGGAGUAUAAUAAAAUGAUUUCUCAAAGGAUCCUUAAAGUGUUUACUUUGAACUUUUCAGUAUAAUAUGGUCAGCUAAAAAUGCCAAGCACUUAACAUCUAAGAAACAUUAUGACAGUUUGCUUUUUUAUUUUGGGAUAUAAAAUAUACAUUGAUGUAUAUCAUGUUACCCUAGUUUUAUAGUCAUCUACCAUUUGUAUGAACAAAAACAGACAUUUAUUCCUUCAAUGUAAAAAUAUGUGGCCUUCCCAAUAAUGACUCCCAGGUAUGAGAGGAAGAUAAAUAGACAUUCACUUUGAUUUAUUGUUUAUGUGUCUUUGAAUUUGGGCCUGUGUAUUCUUUUCUUUCUUGUUUUUCAAAAAUGUUUUCUCAUUCAUUUAUAUUUCUUUUAAAACUGAUAGAUCAAAGUGACUAUUAAGAAAGGUCUGGCUGAUAGGCAGUGACAGUAUCCUUUUCAAGACUGCUUUGAAGAGUACAUGAACAUGGCUAAAAGUUGCCUCUCUGUUAUCUGUCUGCACCAAACCUUCAAUAAAUCCAUAUUCCAAAUAACAUGUAUGAUUUGGCUCAACAGAUACACUUUGGGGACAGAUAUGUUCCUGUCUCAUCCAACCCAGCUGCUUCCUCAAAGUCUCAGCUUCUAGAAGUUCUAGGAACAUUUUUGUUUGUCUCUGGGUAUUAUCUCUCAGAUAGAGCUAGGUUCUUGCUUUUAAAGCACUUUUACUCUUUGUAAAAUUUUUAUUGGUGUGUUAUAAUUAUACAUAAUAGUAGUAUUCAUUGUGCCACAUUCAUACAUGCCCUUAACAUAAUUUGAUCAAUCUCAUUCUUCAGUACCUUCCCUUUCUCUUCCCUUCUUCCUCCCUAGUCUACUAGCUCUACUCAAUUGAUUUCCCUUCUGUUACCUUUUUUUUUUAAUUUUUAAUGACAUGUCCUUUCCCUUUUGUUGUAGUAGAGUAUAAUUCCAGGGGUAGGUCAGAGUUCAUUUUUAUAAAUGUUCUAUCUAAUGUUUUUAUAGUUUAGAAAAUGCAUGCACUUAACCAAGUCAGAUUAUGAUAGUAUUUACUCUUUUUAGAAAUUGGGAUUAAGAUGUUUUAAAAUAGGGAUUGAGCUGUUUGGUCUUGGUCAAUUUUUAUUUAUUUAUUUAUUUAUUUAUUUAUUUAUUUAUUUAUUUAUUUAUUUUCGUAGUGCUGGGAUUGAACCCAGGACCUUGUGCAUGCAAGGCAAGCACUCUACCAACUGAGCUAUAUCCCCAGCCUCAUUUUAUUUUUAAUGUCUAAGAUAUCCCUGUAUCCAGAUCACUCAUCUCAUCCUGAAAUUUAGAAGACUGACCAGAGAAAGACCUUUGAUCAAACCACAUUCCUGGGGUCUUUGAAAAACAAAGACCUGAGACAGUAGAUAAAAGUAGGAGAGGAGAAAAAGGCAUUACUUCUUGGAAUCAGGAGGAAAGAUCACCAAAGACUGCCGUAUUUUAUGUCUCUGGGAACUUUCUUUGGAAAACAAAGUCAAUCCCAGGGAUACAACUUGUGUCAACAGUUGAGCACCAGAUAAAAUGCCUGAAUUUAUAAAUACAAAUUGUAUUUUGCAAACCUGGUGUAAAUAAAUCUUCUUGGGGAAGAUCCAAAAGUCAGGUUCCAGAGCUAAAAGUCAUCAGUGAUUUUCAUAAUGUCUCUAAGAUACUUUGAGCCUGUCAGUCAAAGCAUGAAAUAUAUGUCUGUAUGUGUGAAUUUUUGUUAAUUAUUGCUGAGUAAUACAGCUGAGCCUGAAAGAAAACCCCAAGAAGGGUAGAGAAGAGAGUUCUCUGACAUUUAAAAGCAAACAAUUUCUGGAAUGAAGUUCCAGAAAACAUCAAUAAUUGUUUAUAUGCAGUGUGUGGGAAUCUUCCGCACAAAGCAUACUAGCUUACUGGAGCUUCCAACUUGCUUUCUAAAAAGCCAGUUUUCUUUGCCUGCUAGUCCCAGACUUGAAACAGAAAGCAAACCCUAUGUUGAGGAUUAAAUUAUAGAAUAAGGAAAUGAUAAGGUAAGAAAGCUUAGAAACUCAUGAUUCUUCUUAAAUAUAUCAAAAUUUUGGCAAAAUUGCCUGUCUUUAAAGUCAGUGUUGUGGGAGGGUGGAAGCAAAGGAGAAAAAUAUAAUGUACUGAAAUGUUUUUCUAUUAAAUAAGCUGAAUAUCCCAUCCUGAAGGAAAAUAGAGGCAGAAGACAACCUUCUAAUGAGUGCUUUGUGAAUCAGAUUAUCAGAGCUUGCUUAGAGCAUUCACCUAGUAUUUCUUGUGGAGAUGGUUGGUGGAGCUGCCAUAUGCCAGCUUGGGUCCGGGCCAGGGAAGCACACAGGAGAGCUUUUGCAUUCUAGCCGUCCACUCUCGCCUGGCAAAAAGCACUUUUUGUAUGUGGUAUAAGUGGCCAAGUUAUUUGUACACAAUGGGAAGCUGAAAUUUCAUUUCCACAUGAAAUUAGUGAAUAAUGGCUUUCAAGUCUCACUGAAUAAGCAUGCCCAAGACACAGUCAGCAUUUGAAGUCUGUUCCGGACGCCAGCCAUCUGGAUGAAAGAUAAAUCAGUUAUGCUGCUUCUUUGAGGGUGUCAGAAGUGGGGUGUGGCAAAGGCAAAGUGUCUGGGUACUGUACUGAAGCUUUUGCUGUUCAUUGGGACUUUUGGUGUGAUCAAGGUUUGCACUUCUGUGAGCCCAUGUCACUUUUGGUAUGGGCCUAAUAUCCUGAGCCAUAAAUGCUUAUGCUUUCAUCUCCAAUUGAGAUAUAUUUGGCCACCGUGUACCUACUAAAUGUUUUUUUUUUAUUACUAAGAUUUCUAUUAUACCAAUUCUCAAAAUAUUCUUAAACAUUAAGUUUGGAUUUAGCCUCUAAGAGAGUAGGUAUUCUGUGUGCAUGGCUAACUUACUAUAGAGUGCACAGCUCUAGACUUAAGUGAUGGUGAGAUUUAUAUUUUUCCCAAGUUGUCAUGGGAAGGUUUCCUUUUCUACUGAUUUAAAGACUAGUUGCUGAAAGAUGAUUUGAGAAAAUCUGAUUUCAUUUUUUGGCAGAGUAUGAUUUUGUAAAGUAAGGCCACAGUUGUUUAAGUAGUAAGAUGUUGGUAACUUGCCCACAUACUAUAAUUAAAGCGAAGACAUGGAAACCAAACUGAGGGAAGCAGAUGGAAGCAUCCCAUAGGUAAGUAUGAAUGUUUGUUUGCAAAAAUGAAACAAGUGUGCCAGCGAGAUGUGUGAUCAUUGUCUUUCAAUUAUACCUGAUUUUGAUGUUUAAAAAAAAAUGUGGACAGAGCUGUGUUUCAGCUUUAUUUAAUGUGGUUUUAGUUUUCUUUAAAAAAUGCUUUGCAAUUUAGCACAUGAAUAGGCUAUAAAUGAAAUGUCGCAGGGUUUGAUGGAAAUUGGUUAAUGAGCUGUAAAAUAAUUGCUCAGUUUGAGAAUUUUUUUUGGGGGGUAUAGAAAAAUCAGAAUGUAGUUGGUGUGAUCAAAUACUUUAAAAGCAGCCUGGGACUAUGAUAGAAAAGAUUUAGAGUAUAUAGUGGAAAAAAAAAAGAAAAAAACUAUCAUUAGGGUUUCCUUAAUUUGCUAGAAUUCCUGGUAUCAAGUUCAUAGAAUGCAAUAUACAUCAUGAUCUGAACUGUUUGUUUCAUGCUCUUAAAAGUUUGUUGAUUCACAUACAGCUUUAAAUAGGCCAUCAGCUGGAGUUUGGCUAUCCUUUGCAAUUUGAGCUAUUCACUGAAACUGUAUUAGUUGUAAUGGGAUUUGGCUUGUAACUUUAUAGUGUAAGCUAUACACAUUAAUUAAUUUUGAGGCAGCUGCUCAUUAAAAAUUCUUUCUAGUAAACAUAAUAAGAGAAUGUAUUUUGGAGAAUGCCAGCACAUGAUGUAUUAAAUGGAUUUUGGUAAGUGAAUUUGGCUGAUUUGAUUGGCAGAUAUGAAUAACUAUUUAUGGGAAUCUAGCAUGAUUUUUAAAGCAAUCUUAAAAUGUUUUUUUAAAUUUUUGACUAUACAUAUUUAUGGGCUAUAGUGGUGGUGUUUUGAUACGUGUAUACAAUAUGUAAUCGAAUCAGGCCAAUUAGCAUAUCUGUCACCUCAAACAUUUAUCAUUUCUUUGUGCUGGGAACAUAGUGUUCUCUUCUAGCCAUUUUGAAACGUACAAUAAAUUAUUGUCCACUAUAUAUAGUUGCUCUACUGGACCAUGGAACACUAGAACUUAUUCUUCCCAACUGUAAUUUGGUAUGGUUAACCAGCCGCUCUUUCCCUUCCCAGCUUCUGUAACCACUAUUCUACUCUCUAUAUGAGAUGAACUUUUCUAGCUUCCACACAUGAAUGAUAACAUGUAGUAUCUGUCUUUUUAUGUCUGGUUUCUUUCAGUUAACAUAAUAUCCUUCAUGUUCAUCUGUGUUGCUGCAAAUACCAGGGUUUCAUUUUUUUUUUUUAUUGUGGGAUAAUAUUCCAUUAUGCCACAUUUUCCUUACUGGUCCAUUUGUCAGUAGUCACCUAGUUUGAUUCCAUUACUUGGCUAUUGUAAACAUGGGAGUGCCUAUCAACAUAUGAUUUCUUAUGAAUAUAUAUACACAGUAGUGAGUUUGCUGGAUCAUAAUGUAGUUCUAUUUUUAAUUCUUUGAGCAAUUCCCACACUGUGAAUUCCAUCAUGAUUGACUAUAAAAUAGUAUUUUAAAAUCCUGAUGAACUAUGGAUUUUGUGUUGAACAUAAGGACCUCAUAAAAUAAAGGAAUUGGUUUUCGUUAUUAACCUGGAUAGAAGAUGCAUGACAAGGCAGUACUCAUCCAACUAAGAGAGCUGAAGGAGGAAUUGAGAGACUCUUUUCCCCCCAUAGUUUUAUUGGCAUAUUAUAAUAAUACAUAAUAGUGGGAUGCUUUGUUAUAUAUGUGUACAUGCACACCAUAGGGAGAUGCUCCUUUAUCCUUUCCUCUUGCUUUUUAAUGAGAAAACUGAGACCUGAUAGGUUUUGAUCUUCUGAAACCAGUUACAAGGUACAAGAACUAGAAGCAAGACCUUGAUCCCUCAUACUUUAAAUGUUCUGCCAAACCACCUGGCAUUGAACUGUGUCCAGAGAAGAAUGAGAUAAGUUACUGCAAAACUAUUUCACUUGGAAAUAAGACUGUUUUUCUUUGAUGUGUAUCUAGUUGGGGCUGCUUCCAUUUUCUAGAAUUUGUUUAAAGAGAUACUGGACAAGUGUAAGAGCUUGAUAGUAGAGAUACUGAGCUGACUGAAGGAGGGAGGUUCAGAUGAUACAGUUCCUUGUUAGAAUUACAAUUUACACCUUGCUUCAUGUGGUCUAGGUUUUCCCAUUCGAUAUGAUUUUGAUUAAAUUAUGCAAUAACUCCCCAUCUCUGACCUAUGCUAAAAAAAUUAUUUCAGUAUCUGAGGUGCCAGGACCUCCAAAAUGCUUCCAAAUUUAUUUCCUUGGCCUUGGGAAAGUGCCUUUUGAUCGUAACCUAGUAAUGGAAUGCUGGGAAGAAUGAAGGUCAUAGUUUUUGUCACCUACAUUUUAAAAAUAUAGUAUCUAAUUUCUAUUUCUUUGGGGGGUAUGGAUUUUUUGGUUGUGAAUUCAGAAUAAUGGACUUCAGUCUGCCUAACUUAGGAAAAGUUAAAGGGGUGAGUCAAUUUCAUUUUUUAGAAAUAUGUGUAGUCAUAGAUGGACACAUAUUUUAUUUUAUUCAUUUAUAUGUGGUUCUGAGGAUCAAACUCAUGUGCUAGGCAAGUGCUCUGCCACUGAGCUCCAACCCCAGUCCUGGUGCGUCAAUUUCUACCAGCAGAGUGCUCAGUGCAUGCCUAUGCGGGCAAACUGUGUGGACAGACAUGUUCUCAAAUAAUCCUCCUUCUCUCUGAUACAAGUGGCUUCAUCCCCCAUGCUAAGAGAGAAAGGCGGAUGAGCACAGGAAUUGAAGUGAGAGAGAGAGAUGCAGUGGAGACAUGUUACAAUAUAUUUAUUAAGUUGUCAUGACAUGUGCCUCAUUGUUUGCCCAAGAGUAAGGUACUCUCAACUGUGUAAUAGAAACAAGAGGCUUGGUUAUGGUAAAAAAUAAACUCUCAAGCAAUAAAAAUGUAUUAAGAUUCAGUGAUUAAGAUUCAUUCUCCACAUGCUUAUUCAAGGGCCCAGGCUGAUGGAAGCUCUGCCAUCUCAAACUGAGUCGUUCAAGGUUACCCUUGGUUCCUCUCCAUCUAUCCUGGUGUUGAGAAGAAGAAAACUGAGUGGAAGCAUCUGUGGAAUGUCCCUAAGGGCUUAAUGUAGAGUCACAUAUGACUGUAUGCAGAUAUCAUUGGCUGAAAUUGUAACUGCAGAGGAUGCAGGAAAAUGUAGUUUAUCUCUGUGUCCAGAAGAAGAAGAAAUGGAUUGAGAUAAGUAUUUGGCAAUCAUACACAGACACACAUUUGUAUAUAUGAUAUACAAUUUAGUAUAUGUAUAUCAUAUGUAAUAAGCAUGGUGUAUGCUCUUGUGUGCACAGCAAGAUUAUAUAUAUAAACAAUAUAUACACACACACAUGGUCACAUAAAUGAAUAAGUAUCUGUUUUAAAUCAGUCCUGAGAUUGAAUGAGUGUUUUCUGUCAACUCCUUCACCUGGUUUAUUUUUGAAUGAUUGAACUCCUUUGCUUUCUCUUUCUGCUCAUGCUUUGGUGUCAGGAUCCGGGUCUUUUAUCAUGAAGCGUAGGUUCAGAGAUGUCUAAGCCUUUGUGUUACUUUUUGUUCUCCAUGAAAUUGUUGGUAUCCCUGUUCUAACAGGUAGAUUCACAGUUCUCCCAGUUUCAUGAGAAGGAUGUCCUUUGUGUUACUUUUUGUCUCCCUAGUGCCCAGAGGGGAGGGCCUCUGAGUAGAGAGAACUAAGGAAAGAGAUCUGGUGAGAGACAGACCUUCAAGGUUAUGUGAAACACAGACAGUUCAGUUAGAGCGGGCAUCGGGACCUCCUCCAUUUGGGGCAGCACAUGUGCAGGGGCCUCUCCCGACUGACCUUAAUUUCACUCCUUGCCUGACCACUACCUACCCCGCACCCCACCACCAAUUCUGUCCUGGAAUCUCUGCUUCCCAUGCCACCUCUUGACUUCUCGUUAAAGCUCCUGCCUUCCUAGAAGCAUGGGGACAAGAUUCUGUAUUCAAAUAGGAGGGGCCGUGGUGUUAAACAGCCUUCGCUUCCUUCUCUUUAUCACUACAUUCUCCUAAGAAAUAAAUCAUAUAAUGCAUGUGAGACAUUUAAUUCUGUGGGUGUGUCAUGUUAAAAACAAAAGCUGUGAUGAUUUUUACUACGAUAACUGAUCCAGUCUGAUGGACUCUAUGUAUUCCAUCACAUUUGAUUCCUAAUGAUCUUGGUUUGGAGGACUGGCCAAGGACUGGCCUUGCUAGCUCUUAGACUGACUGAAAUAGAAAAAAAAAAAAUGCAGAGCUGGAAGGACUGUGAAUCUGCCUGUUAGAACAGGGAUACCAACAAUUUCAUGAGAAGGAUGUUCUUUUUUUCUCCCUCAAGAAUGUGAAAGCAUUCUGUUGUUGGUCAGGGAGUGAUCCCCCCAGACUGUGCUGUUGUGAGGAGACCCUGGCAGUGAGGCCUUGGUGAUGGGCUGUUGUGUGUGCGGAUGUCGGUGAUUAAGUUCUCCCAACUGAUCCUGUUUCUCUUUAGGAACUUCAAACAGAUGAGCCAUUCAGAUCCUCAGCCUGGGAAAGGACAUUAAAUCACAGAUAUUUUGUAUUAUAAACAAAGGAAGAUCAGAAAGGAAUAAAACUAUGUGGUAGUACAAUGGAAUUGUCCCUUUUCUGAGAAAAGAUGAAGUGAGUGAACUGUCCAUCACUGGACUAAGCAAUCAAUCCCAAGACAUGGAACUCCCUCCGGUUCUUUCUCCCGUGAGCACAUCGUAGGUUUUCAUGGGCUAGGAGGGCUCACUCUGUGACAUCCUGGAACACCCAAGCAGGAUGCCUGCCUCUACUUUGUGGUGACCUUAGUCCCUUUCAAUUAGUUGAGGUCUGGAUGACAAAAGGGACUGAGGAUGAGGGUGAGCAGUGCUGGUAUCCCCCAGGUCUCCCUCUCACCUCCAUGGAUUUAUAACUUCAUUGUUUUUCAAGUUUUCAUAUGAACUAGAACUGAGUUGAUAAAGGGGCCUCAGAAGGACCCUUAACUGUGCCAGAUUGAGGUCCCCCCACUUUGGUUUUUUAAUUAAAUUAUUUAUCUUUAUUGGUUCUUUUCAGUAAUAUAUAACAAAAGGAUUCAUUCUGACAUAAUUACAAAAGCAUGGAGUAUAAUUUGUUCUAAUUCAGUGCAGGUGAGAUCCCUUUUUAGGGACUAUUUUCAGUCUUGCGUCAUCUGGGUGGCAUUUUCCCUCCUUUGCAGUUACAGCCUCGGUUGUAUUUGUCCUCUUUCAGACCUUCUGUUUAGACCCUUGACUACCAGAUAGCAAGCUUCAGAAGCCUGGUCCUGUCUUUUCCUGGGGAUUUCUGGUGGCUGGUUCAGAGUGAAACUUAAUAAAUGCAUAUAGGAUUAAUGAAUACUAGAUAGAUAAGUAAGUCACAUGUAAAUUGAUGCUUUUAAGGUCCUAAUAUUUUCUCUAAAUUCUUCUAUAUUUGAAAACUUUGGCCCCUUUUAAUAUCAUUUAUACUUUGUCCUACUAAAAUUUGUGGAAUAAAAGAUCAAUAUCUAGGGCUGGGGAUGUGGCUCAAGCAGUAGCGCGCUCGCCUGGCAUGCGUGCGGCCUGGGUUCGAUCCUUAGCACCACAUACAAACAAAGAUGUUGUGUCUACUGAAAACUAAAAAAUAAAUAUUAAAAAAAAUAAAAUUCUCUCUCUCUCUCUCUCUCUCUCAAAAAAAAAAUAUCAAUAUCUAUCUAGGGUCUUGAUUCUGAAUUAGUGAAAUCUAAAUUACAGUGGCCUUAACCAAUAGUUACUUUGUUAUAAUUGUAUACAGAAUUUAAAAUGUCUAUCUCUGCUUGGGAAUACCAUAAUUUGUUAUAAUUAGUGAAAGUACUAUUGUUUUUAAAAAACUGAAUGAUACACUCAUGUUUCCUAAAGUAAAUUCUCUAGUUUCGUCGUUUCUUGGUGUGUUUCUGUUCUUACCAGCCCAAUGUGUGGGCUGCUAGGACAGCUUUGUAAUUGAAACUUGCAGGGUAAUAGGACUUGUCACCAAUAAGCUCAAGUCCGAACUGCCAUUGUAAUUAGAUUUGUUGGAAGCAUUUAUGAAUGAAAGACUGUGAUUUUCUAGUUGGCAGAGUGGAUAGAAAACUUUCUGUCAAUGAUAACCUGAUCUAGAAUCCAGAUGCCUUUUGACUGAUGGUAAAUGAUAGCUUAAUAUUUCCCACUUCUAAUAAUGUUGACUUAAGUGAUAUAAUGAAAUUAAAUUUCAUUUUUCCUGUCCUUCUCUAUGUGAUAUAGUGGAUCUGAGAUUGACAGUUUUAAUUGUGUUCCUUAUCAGACACUUAAGAACUCUGGUUUUGCAUUGAGGUAGACGAGAUUCCUCAAAUGUCCACUUUCACUGGUCACUUUACCAGGUUGUUAACCUACAUUUCUUUAGAACCUAAAAAUAACAACAACAACAAUUGGCAGGGCAUGAACAUGGAAUUAGCAAUACUGAACCAUUGCUUCUAGAGGAAGAACACAGGUUCCUGUGAGCCUCUGGUCAAAAUAUUUUCAUCAGGAGGUGAACAUGUAGUCUUGUGUGAGUUUUACAUGUAUUUCUGUUUAAAGAUACCUUAUUAUACAUAAACUCAUUAUCAUUGAACUCCAGCACGGUAGUUCAUACCUGAAUGAAGCUAGCCUGAUACACAUAUUUUUAUCUAUAAGACACAUCACAGCCUUUUUGUACCUAGGAACACUGGAUAGCUCUUAAGCGCUGUGCUUGGAGGGGCAUUUAAACCAGGGAAGUCACCAACAGAAAGCACAAAAGUGCAAAGAGUAUGACACUAAGUGGAUCAUGAAAAGGACAACUGCAACACUGAGAAGUGCUGAGUGUCCCAUUGUUUGACCUCAGUUGGGAACACAAAUACUGGUACCAUGCAUUCUGUCCCUCUGUGCAAUUCUGCAAAAGACUGUGAAUGACCAUGGGUAUUGAUUUGGGGGUUGGACGUUUGUUUUAGUGAGAAGGUAGGCCAGCUUGUAAGUGUGGAAUGUAUGGGUAGUUAGAGUGGACUGGAUUAUCACCUGAGAUUUAAGAUGGAGAUAAUGAGACUCAGAUGUUAAGUAAUGCAGUUAAGCAAGCAUCUACUAAGUAUCCAGUGCACAUCAACACCAUUCAUCGUCAUAGAUCAAUGCCCUUAGUUGUUAUUUAGCCUUAAGGAUUUUUUUUCUGUAUUCAUUUAAGUGUUUUCUUUAGAAUGAAUGGCUUACUAUGUUUGUUUAUCGCUUUGUGCUUUCCAACAUUUGUUAGUCUUCUAAAACACAGGGUCAACCUUUAAAACUUUGAAUACGCAUUUGAAAAGUAAACUUGAUAUUGAGUCCUCUUUUGCUUUCCUCUAAGGGAAACUGCUUUGCUGCUAUUGUUGUUGUAUCAGAGCCUCAAAAUUAGAAUGGAUGCAUCUAUUCAAAGGUGUCCCUUCUUUUAAUAGCCAACAACCAAUUGUAGCAUGUGAUUGAAAGGAGAAUGGUUCCAUGAGUUAGAGGGUAGACUGUGAAGUUGCAUGUUCUGAUUCCUCAUCUAUCAGAAGGAGAAAUUUGUAAAGAUUUGUUGGCACAGUUCAUACAAAAGCAUAUAGGAUAGUAGCUGCCACGUGGUAACAACUUAAAAAGAUAUUAGCUGCAUAUUGUUAUAGUACUCUAUUCUACCAAAUUAUUAGCAUAGUUUUUGAAAUACCUCAUCACAUUGCACUUAGUAUGUAAAACUUGGUAUUUAUGCGUAGCUAAGUGUGCAUAUUAUGUAUACAAAAAUUUGAAGUAGGAAACAUCCAUAUUCAAGAAAUUGAAUCUUUUUAUGAGUCUGUUUAUAAACAUUCAAUUCUAUUUUAACAUGAUAUAUGUGUGUUCCAGCAAAAAGGAAAAAAAAAUGCUUAUAGGGAUGCUGUCCAGCAUUUGAAAAUAACUUCAUUUAUAGAGUUGAUACUAUUUUAUGCUUAUGAAUCACGAGCAUUUGUAUGAUCGUGAACCAGAGUAGCGUUUAACAAGCCGUAGCUCUUGGAGAGCAGGGACCAUAUGCUGUACACACUUUUGUCUUUGAAUUGACCUAUAUGUAAUAGGUCAAUGGCUCUAAUGUUGAAUGAAGAAUUACAAAGAGUUUUAUUGUCCUACUUUCCUCUGUUUUUCUGUAAACUUAAUUCUUUUAACAUUUUCUUUCCCCAGCCUCACUGGCAUGGGCCAAUUCUUACAGCCCUGCAGGUUUUCCCAGUGUGCAGCAGUUAUCCAUUCUUGGACUCACAUAACAGAGAAGCUGGCCAGUUGAAUGUAUUCAGUGUGGCUCCUUCUGCAAGUGCUUAUCUUGUUCACUGGUUGCUUUGUAAUUGUUAUUACUUUGAAAAAGUGUUUCUUUUUCAUCUGUACACUCAGUUUAUAUAGGAGAUUUUUUUCCAUUGAAUAUAUUCUUAUCAGGAUGUUUUUCUUCCAUUUCACAAAUAAUGGUAUUAUUAGACAUAGGAUGAAGCUCUCUUGCUGUUGGUGCCAGAGGAAACAAUACAAUAGGCAUGUGCAGUGGAGGGUUUGCUAGAGAGCAGCUAUCUUGUUUUUCUUGCUUGCCUUUAAUCAAUGCUGGUAUUCUCUUAAAACUUUCCUAUCCAUCCUUUGUGGGCACUGUGAAUUUCCUUCCUUUCUUCUUUUUCUUUCUGUGACAGUGUUUCUGUUUCUUUAAUUUAUCAAGGUGUCACACACAGCAGUCUUAUUGUGUUGUGGCUAAAGACGUUUUCCAUUUGCCAAAGAGUCUGUGCUGGGUUUUCUUUCCUUUUGGACUUGGACAUUGCUAGUUGUUUUGUUUUUGGCUUUUGAAUGUGUUUUAGUUCCCAACUUUGUUUUUAUUUUCCUUUUAAAUGGAUCAAGCCCUUCUCCAAAGCAGAAAUAGUGUCUUCCUGUAAUGGAAUUCCCAUCUAUGACAAUCUGCUCUUUAUUGUAACUUUAGACUAUUGCAGCUUUCUUAUAUAUAGGUGUCUGCAGAAUGCUUUUCUCUUUGUUUUGUUUUCUCUUGUAUCUUUUAGACCUGAGAAUUUGGCCAAGGAGCAGGCUUUUGUGAUCAUAAACUACAAAUCUCAGUUUUAUCAUUGUCCACUAAAAAAAAAAAAAUCAUCUUUUUGUUACUUAUUUUGUUAUAAGGGAAAUUGUUUUCCUAGAAGCCACAGGAAGCUUUAGGUAAUGUGUUUCUUUGGGGUUUGGGAAAAUAGCUAGAAUAAAAUUAAAGGGAACAAAUCCCUUAGUAGUUUACAUGUUCCGUUUGUUUUCUUUUAAGACUUAGUGAUGACUUCUACAUUUUUAAAAAAGUUUUUUACAGAAAGAAAUUUAGAGGUUACUAAAGUGAUAAGGGAUGGAAGUAACUUUUGGUUUUAUUUCCCAACAAUAGCAGUCAGAAGCAGCCAGGGAUAUCUAUAUUAUCUUUCUUCCAGAUCUUUCCCCCUUCCCCUUUCUUCCUUCCUCCCUCCCUCCCUUCCUGUCUUUCUUCCAACAGACUCUGCCUGUUUCAUUCCUUCAUUGGAUAUGAUAGCCAUUCUAAUCAUUAUUGUUUGGAGCAAUUAUCUAGUGAGUUAUUUAUAUAUCAGGUGAGUACCAAAGAAAGCUUUUAGAUAGAAUGAGUAACUGGUUCUGUUUCAUAUCUGAGCUUAGAUAAGCUUUGACACUGAUUCAGCCCCAGCAUCCUGCUUGAGACAUAAGCUUGGUGGAGCCUAAUUAAUCCUGUUGGCUUUUGUGAGUGUGCCAGAUCAAAACCCAGUAAGACGCUAAGAAAUAUGAAACAAAUUUCUGGGUUGGUUACUUAACAUGUUGAUUGGUUAUUCCUCUUGUUUCCAUGUUUUCUUUUUAAAAGAAAUGAACCCUGAAAAUAGGACUAGUUUGACCCUAAGGAUGAUGAUCCUGCUUUAAUCGAGUUUACCAUUGAACUCACGUGUAUUUUUCUCAGAUGGUCAACCUUUGUGCCUCUAUUUCCUCUUUUCUCUAACGAGGGCAUUGGUGUCAGAGAUGUCCUUGAGCCCUCACUAAGAUGACUAGGAAGGAGUAUCACACUAUCUUCCCCUUGCCCAUCAGAGGACUCAAUAUCCCUGCCUAUUACAACAUAUCUAUAGUGGUCUUAGGCAGCAUACCCUGAAGGCAGUCUGUGGAACAUAAAUUGGCUUUACUAUAAAGAUCUGUGCUUUAGUAAAUGGAAACCUGCCCAAACUCAAGAAACAGAUUUAGCAAAGUGAUCUAAUCCUUCCUCCAUAAAAACAAAGUGGUGAUAGCUAUUAAGAUACCCACAAAAAUUGUUUGCCACAGAUCAGAAACUGAUAUCUAACUGUAUUUCAAAACAGAAGACUAAGAGGAAAGGAGGAAAUUUCAGAGGAAGAUCUUUAUGGCCAAAGCAACUGACUAAAUCUUGUAGAAGAAAAACUGUUUUGAGUAUUGAGAUCAGUAAUAUUAAAGUCCUGAAUAAUAAUAAAAAAAUAUAUAUAGGAGUUUUCCACAUUGAUAAGGGAGCAUCAAAGAGGUGGUAAAUUUGCAAAGAUCCCCAAGGGCAGCCAGUCUAGUAUUAGAGCAAAGUUGUAAAGAUUUGAAAACUAGAAAAGCAUUUGAUUUGAUCUGUAUUGCAAAUGCCUGUUUAUUUCUCUACUCACAGUCUUUUCAGGGGAGUACCUGGGUCACUGAUCUGUUACUGAUGUGAGAAGAUAAUCAUAAGGGUGAGCACUUUUGUGAAGCUUGUCAGUGGCAGCCACUGGUACAUGUGCUUUGUAAUAAUCACUCAUUUAAUCUCACAACAUCCUUAGAAACUGGGAAAACAUAGAGGCUCAGUGUAUGGGUGUGGAGAGGCAGUUACAUUAAAAAAAUCAGUCCUCAAAUCAUGGUGGGCUAGAACAAGGGUGUAUUUCUUGACCUAGUAGAUGUCUGGGUGGGCUUCUUCAGGGCCCAGGCCAGCCUUCUUGAAUGUUGCUGGUGCUAAUGAGAAACAUGGCGCACCUUGUCCUUGCUCUCAGAGUCUCUGCUCAGACAUUCCAGGUUUCUUCUACUUAUAUUCCAUUGACCAAUACAAGUCACAGGUCAAGCCUGGGUUCAGUGGGGUGGGAAAGCAAAACCUUCCCCCACCUGGCGGCAGUGUGUGUUUGUAAACAUCCGAGCACUCUAACUCAGAGGGGGCCAGUGACCUUCUCAAGGUCAAUGAGCUGGGAAGGGGAGGGCUGGGAUUCUAAGAGACAUUUGUGUUAGCUACAACUCUCUUCUGCCUUUUCAAUUGUCUGAUUCCCAAUGGAAUUAAAAUGGGUUUUGAGAGCUUCCCAUGAAUUCAUUUAGACUUUUUUACUGUCUGUAUUGUUGAACAAUCAUAUGCAAUGUAAAAAUAAUAACCCCAACUGAAAUCACAUUGACAGCAUAGCUUUUGGUUAAGAAUGAGGACUUUGGAGCUAAGGGUGCCAAUGUCUCAAUUGUGACAUCAUCUUUUACCAGCUUUGGGACUCUGGGGAUGAUACUUAUCUCUCUACCUUGUGUUCAUUAUCUGUAAAAUGGGGAUAUUAUAGUUCCUACCUCAAUGUUGAAGUAAGGAUUAAAUGAACCAACUAAUUAUAGUACUAGGAAUAUAACCACUGUGUGAGAAUUCAUUAUUGUUUUGAUUAUUCUUCUCUAUCUUAAAUGUAAACAAAUUGUAUUCAAAGAUUUUUCGAGCCAUCAUCUGCCUCCAGGAAAGAAGGGUGUCUGUCAUCGUUUAGAAAGUAGAUUUUGUUGGCUUUUUGUUUGGAUCCACUCAUUACUUGCCUUUUCUCUGUCCUUUUAAAAUACAAAAGAGACCUUUAUUUCUUUAUUUCUCUCUCACACACAAAUGGUGUCAGCAAAACAGAUGAUAAUUAUAAAUGCUUAGACUUAUUUAUGUAUAAACAGAAAGUUUAUAAUAACCUGUCUUGACAGGAUUAAUUUUCCUUUCUGGUUGUUGUGCUGUUAUUAUUUUGCCAAAACAUUUGCUUAUGUGUGCAUACCAGUUGCUGUCUUGUUUUCUAAAAUAUGUUUUUCUUUUCACCAUUGAGAGUGUCCUCAAUGGUUAUGUAUCUUGGGAACUAUUUCCUUUCCUCUCAGAAUUUUGCCUGUUAUGAUAUAUAGAGGGUGAACCUUUUUAAUUCAGAAAUCUGGAAUGUAAAAUCUUUCAAAAUUUCAAGUCUAGCAGAGCUUGGAUUUUUGGAUUGAGGCUGCUCAACUAGUAAAGUCUAUGCAAAUAUUCUGUGAUCUGAAAAACUCAUAAAUCUGGGGGCUGAGGCUGUGGCUCAGUGGCAGAGCACUGGGUUUGAUUCUCAGUACCACACAUAAAUAAAUGAAUAAAAUAAAGGUCCAUUAACAACUAAAAAAAAAAGACCACUGAUCCUCUAAACCAAGCAUUUUGGAAAUCAUUAUUAAAUGAUUUCAUAGACUAAUAUCUGUUCAUUUCUCAUCUCUUAGAUUUUAAGCUAUGUGUGUUUUUCUUCUUAGUUUCUUUUGCCCUUUAAAAAUUUUAGACAUUGGUCAGGCAUAGUGGAACAUGCCUGUAAUCCUAGUGACUCGGGAGGUUGAGGAAGGAGGAUUACAGGUUCAAGGCCAGCCUCAGAAAUUUAGCAAGAGACCCUAAGCAACUUAGUGAGACCCUGCCUCAAAAUAAAAAAUGGCCUGGGGAUGUGGGUCAGUGGUUGAGCACCACUGGGUUCAAUCCUCGGUGCCAAAAAAGAAAAAAAAUGUGUGUGUGUGUGUGUGUGUGUGUAUUCUCAGUAUUGACUAUUUUUUGUUUUUGUAUAUUUCUCUGUUUCUCUGUUAUAUAUCAGCUCAGAUAUUAAUUAAUUAUGAUGCAUAUUUGGCCACAAUUAUUUACAUUAUUUAAGGAAUACAAGGAAGUGUGAUUUUCUCUUUUAUUAUCUAGUCUUUUAAAACUUUCUGUGUCUUUUGAAAUCCUUCUGUUGGUACUUGGAAUAGUCUUGCUGCACUGGUGGGAAAGACAGGAGCAGCAGGAGAAGCUUCUGAUGUGAAUGUAUCCUGAGAGGCUACCCUCUGGCACUGCUCUACAUACUGUUAGGAACCUGUGCAGAGUCUCUUGGUUGAUCACCUUUUUGUGAGCAUGCUCAGUGUAAGUUAAGUGUGCUCACACUGGAGGCAUCAAGAUCAUUUACAGAAAGCAGCAUGCAGACCAAAUGCCAAUUAAGUGUUCUGGAAGGAAGAAUGAGGAAUGAGCUCAGUAUAACUUUGUAAGUCACAACGACAGUGGAGGGGGUCAAGAUGGUAUGAAGAAAGCAAGAUAAAUCCUCAAUCCUACUUAAAUAUUUUAACAGGAAAUUCCUAGUGGAGCUAAUCCAAUAGAAAUUAUUAUAAAAAUUGAGUUAAAACAUUUUAGAUGUUUAUUUUUGCUACAGGUUCAUGUAAGAAUGAAAAAAAUAUGUAAAAACUUUUUUCCAAAGAAAGGGAAUUAUGAAAAUACAAAUUAAAUUAAAAACCCUCUGGUGGACUCUUACAAUUAUUUCUUCCUCUAGAAGAGUCCUGAUGCAUAAGGAGUAGGAGGAUGUCUACCACACUCCUGCUUGACCAAAGCUGUUCAAUCCAACAUGUGCACUGUGCUCAAACUAUGUCAAACAGGAUCUCACUCUCUAAACAGGAUCUCACUCUCUAAAUGUAUGAUUUGGAAGUGAUGGUAAAAGAAAACAGCAGUCCUCAGGACUCAGCCUAGAACAUCAUAGAAACAUCUAGAAAGGAGGCAUAAAAUUCUUGUUGCAGAAGUCCUCAGAGGUGACCUGGUUCCUGUCUUUCCUAGGAUUUUGGUGGUUUAAUUCCUUCUGAAACAUUUUAACUCAAUCAAUAUAAUGCCUCAUAUUUCCUACUCUAGCCAUGGCAUAUUUCUGGUACUUGAAACCAGGAGAAACCCAACUCACACAGUCCAUAUAGAAAAAUUAGAAAAGAAGAAUAUAACCAGUACAUAAGGUUAAUGGUGAAAAUUAUUUUGAAAUGAAAAUGAGCUUGGUUGGGAUAAGUUAUAGACUAAUAAAAAUCAAGUGGCAGAUGACCAACUAUCAGAAAUUACUAUAAAUACUUUAGACAAGGCUAUUAAGUUGAUUGGUUUAUAAAUAUCAGUAAAUUUAGUGUGUUCCUGAGGGUUAAAUGGCUCAGUUGGUAGAGACCUGAGUUGAUGAGGACCUUGCAUGGGAACCCUCUCUGUGUAGUCCAGUUCCAAGGUCACAGGUCACCUAACUCCUCACUGCCCACAAGUGACCAACAUAUACCCCUGUAGUAUGGCACCCAGAGAAUGUGUAUAUGCAUUUGUAAAUCUUAGCUACUCCAGAAAACAAAUUGAGUGUUCUUUCAAUAAGCUUAUGGUAACAUCAUAUCUUAUGCUGGACAUCAUGGUAGACUUAGUAGGAAGAGUAUGAUAAUGAAAGUACUAAAAUUAUCCCUGUCCAACAUCAUGUGUAUUUGUGGAGGUUUAGCUGUGAAGUGUGUCAUUUUAAUCAUUUUAUAUAGUUAUCUUUCAUUCUCUUGAGAAAUGGCAUUUAAAAGAAGUGAGUUCCUUAGAUAAAACAAGCAAAAAAGAUCUUUGUAGUAAUUAGUUCAUGAUCCCUAUUGUUGUGAAGUUCCCUUUUGGCCAGUUUGUCUAUAAAGACUUCCUUGAUUUUGUGGACAGAAUUUAACACUUCCUUUGCUGCACAUAUAAUGCAUUUUUUGGGGGGACUCACUUCUAUUGUCCCAAGUUAUAUGGAUGCAUAUAUGAGGACAAGCAAAAUUCCCUAAUCUAAAAUGCACUUGGUCCAAGAACUAUUUCAGAUACUGGAAUUUUCCAGAUUUUGGAGUAUGUGCAUAGACUAAUGAUUGAGAGUCUAUAAUCUGAACUGUAUCAUGGUGCUCACAAUGUUUUAGGUUAUGGGUUAUUUGGACUAUGGAUGUUCAGCCUCUAUAUAGAUGGGUUAUAUAUAGACAUACAUAGUUGAUAGAUUUCAUGAUAAAAUAUAUCUGAAUAUAUCUAUUUGCUAGGGCUACCAUAACAAAGUACCCAAACCAGGUUAGUUUAAACAACAAUUUAUUGUCUCGCAGUUCCAGAGGUCAGAAGACCACAAUCAUGGUUUCAGCCAGAUUAGUCCUUCUGAGGGCUUUGAGACUGUCCUAUGCCUCCUGCCUUGCCACUGGUGUGUUGCUGUUGAUCUCUGCUGUUCAUUAGCUAGAAGCAUCACUCUAAUCUCUGUUUUUAUCCUUUCAUGAGGUUCCACUUUUGUGUCUAUCUUUUAAGUUUUCCCUUUUUAUAAGAACUCCAGUCAUAUAGGAUUAGAACCUACUCUAGUAACCUCAUUUAACUUGAUCACAUUAGGAAAGAUUCUCUAUCUCCAAAUAAGGUCACAGUAUGAGAUACUACAGGUUAGGACUUCAACACUUAAUUUGAGGGGGAGGUACACUUAAGCCCAUAACACUUGAGUAUAGACCGAUGUAUUAUUAUGUGUAUUCUGGGAUAGAAUUCUCCCUGGUGUACAAUUGAGCCUUACCUACCCAGGUGUCUUCCACAGAGCCAAGCAAAGUGCCUCCAACACAGUAGGUGGCAUAAAGUUUGUAGAAUGAAUUGUUGGCAUUUAUAACCUGUCAUAAAAGUUGCUGUUUUGUUGCCUAGAAUUCACUCUGGGGUUUUUGGAUCAUUGUACAAAGUACAGAAGUUUUAGUUUAAAAACUGAGAUGUUUUCCCACCAGGGCUUCCUUCAAUGUAUCUUUCGACUUUUUUCUUUUGAGACUCAUUCUCCUCCUUUUUCUGAGUCUAGACAGAUGGCUUGAGUCUCUCCAAAGACACUGUCUUGGGACCUUCAACCAAAUAGAGACAGAAUGAGAUUUCAGGGCCAUUGAUAAUUGAGAGCCAUGGAAAAGUAAAUUAGUUGUCACAUAAGGGCUAUUUUCACAUGUUAGGACAUGGUUAGUGUGUGCUUUCUUUUCUGUAAGAAUUUCCUUUUCAUAUUAAGCUACAUAUAGCCCAUCAGUUUUGCAUGUUACCAAAACUGAUGGAAGGAAAUUGAACAUUAUAGAACCGGAUUUUGUUGAUAAUGUUUUUCUUAAUUGCCAGCCUUAAUACAGACCUAAAUAUCUUUUUGUCAAAGUUGUAAGAAUAAAAGAAGAAAUAUAGAGGAUACAUAAAAAUUAGGGAAUUCCACAUUUCUUUGAAUUGUGGAAACAAAAACCUAGCUUUUUCAAGAGUGAAAAUUAAGAUUGAGAAAUUAAAUGUUAUUCAAUGACUCAUAAAAGUAUAUAUCUCCAAGAAACCUCUUUUGAAGUCUUCGAACUAACUUUCUGCUUUAGAAGUUACUGCAAAAAUUUAGGCUAACAACUGAAGUUAGGGGAGUUUUUUCUCUUAUAUGGAUUUUAGAGACAUGUUAGGUAGGACAGCUUUGGUAUUUCAUUUUGUUCCAAAGAGAGGUGGAGGAGAAAGUGAGUUGCUUUAGUUCAGUAUUAUGUUAAAUCCAGAUUCUUUUGACUUUAUUAAAAAUAUAGGGAUGACAGCACUAUUAUUCUAGUGAAAGCUAACAGUUGUAAGUGUAAAAAAAGAAAAAGAAAACUCAAGACAAGUUCAUUUCUCAUUUCUUUAUUGAUGUUUUUAAUUGACUACCAGGAGUACAUGGAAUGUCUAAAAUAUACAAAAUGCUUCAUUUAUAAGUGUAGUAGCAGGGUUCACAGCUGACUUUUGUGGUCUUAACUAGCACAUUUUAUUAAGCUCUGGGUCAUGGGACUAACUUCUGAUAUCAAAUAAGCACGAAGGCAGCUUGUAAUCUUCCCUUAAGUUUGUGAGACUGUUUUUACUCUGAAGCCUGGUCUUUCAUUUACUGAGGAUGUGUUCAUGCUCAAGACACACAAAGAUCUUAAAGUCCUCAGCCUUUAUGGGCCUGGUAGGGGAGAAAAACAGGUAAGCAGUCAACUGCAGCAUAGUGAGUUGUCUGAAUAAUUGUAUGAAUGAAUCAAUAAAUGAGCAUGUGGGUGUCAUUUGAGGCAUUCUUCUUGAGCGUAGAGGAACAAUUUUGAGAAUACAUAUAUGGGGUAAAGAUUUAGCAAGUUUUUUUUUUUUUUCCCCUGAAAAGCAGGCAGCUAAACAGAGCUUCUGUUUGCUUUUGCUUUUAUAAUUACUGUUGUAUUCUAACACACCAAAUUUUUAAAAAAGUCUCUUGAUUUUUUUGGGGGGUGGGGUGGGGAGUGGGGAGUGGGGAGGAGCAUUCCUUAACCAAACUAACACAAUGUGAUUGAACAACCAUUCUCCCCCAAAGUCAGUAGGAUGUGUGUGACAACUGUUCUGAGUUUCCUGCAGAAUGACUUUUUUUUUAGUUGUUUAUGCACAAAACUGUGCAAAGAUCAAAAAAAAAAUAGAAUGCACUCUCAACUUACUGAUUUUAUGCAUUAGGUAUGCUAAUAGACUCCCUGGAAGCAUGAAAUGAAAAGAGUGAUUUUUGGUGAUUUAAAGUUGUGGGGGCAAUUAAGGAUUGGAAGAAGUUUCUUUCAUUACUCUGUGGCUCUCAAAGUUUAUAUAAAAUCUGCUCUUGCACUGAGUAUCUGAGAGGAUGAAUAAUUAAAUGAUGUUCUUUGGAAAGGCUAAUUAAUUUAGCCAUGACUCAGGGACUGCUGCCACCGGUCUCCCCAUCUGCCUACACGACAGGUGCACCUGGCCCUCGGCAUUGUCAUGGUCCCUGCAGCGGAUGACUCCCCAGGAUGCUUGUGUGUGUGAAGAGAAUGAUCCUGGGCCUCCUCCAGGGAGUGAACCUGUUCUUCCCACACACGUACCAGAUCGCCACCAGGUUCUCUUUCUUGGGGCGCACUAGAAAUGGGAAAGGCUGAUGAUUAAUUGAAACUUUUCUCCAGGAUGUUAGUGUAUGACUCUCUGCCCCAAGGCAUAAAUGGGAGCAAUCUAUCUAAUUCCCUUCUAGGCAUUUGGUGGUAUCUUCAUGGGAAAAAAAUAGGAAGGGAUCUUAAUAAAAAAAAUCUUGCUUCUGAGUUUUAUUUGUAUGUUUCUCUGUGAAGACUAUUAUUAUUGGAGUUCAGUGCCUUAUUCAAAAAUUAUAUUAGUGUUUUUCUCAUCAGUUCACAUUAAAUUGGCCCCAAACAUGUUACAUCCUUGAAGAUCCCAGUCAUUUCUUCAGUUAUUUGUGAUUAUGUCCCUAGCAGUAUAGGCAGUGCUAGUAUAGCAUGGUAGAUACAGAGGUCCAAGUUCUAACAAAUAGGAUUUGAAUUAAAUGUAUAUUCAUUGGGCUGGGGAUAUAGCUCAACUAGUACAGUGCUUGCCUAGCAUGCAUAAGGCCCUGGGUUCAAUCCCCAGCACCACCAAAAAUUAAUAAAUAAAUAAAUGAAUAUGUACUCAUGCCAUUCUACAAAUUUGGAAAAAAAAAUAGUGGUGAUAUUUUAACUUUUCAGCAAUGGAUUGAUAGGCAUGUUUUCCAGUCUACAUGUGCAGCUUCAUUUUCCCCAUGGAAGACAGAUAUUUAUUUUUAUUAAUAUUAAUUAUUUAUUCUAAUUUGUUAUAAAUGACAGCAAAAUGCAUUUCAAUUCAUAGUACACAGAUGGAGCUCAAUUUUUCAUUUCUCUGUUUGUACACAAUAGUUAAAUUAUGGAACCAACCUAGAUGCCCUUCAAUAGAUGAAUAGAUAAAGAAACUGUGGUAUAUAUACAUAAUGAAUAUUACUCAGCAUAAAAGAGAAUAAAAUCAUGGCAUUUGCAGGUAAAUAGAAAGUGUUGGAUAAUAUAAUGCUAAGUAAAAAGAGGUAGUUUUACACAUUAAUAAUAUUCAAACUGUGGCUUGGAGGCCUCCUGGAGACCUAUGACCUUUCAGUAGAUCUAUAAUGUCAAAAUUAUUUUUAUAAGAAUACUAAGAUGUUAUUUGCCUUUUGAACUCUCAUUCUCUCAAAAGCAUACAGUGGCUAUCUCACAUGUGACAUGGGAGCAUAUUGACUAUAGAAGCAUAUGUGAGAGAAUCCAGAUGUCUCAUUUUUGUUAGCCAGAUGUUUGUGAAAGUAUAAAACAGUGCCACCCAUUUUACUGUAGUUUGUUUAGAAAUCUGUAGUCCUAUUUCAUAAUUAUAUGUGUGUGUUAACCUGUAAUAGAAUUGCUAUUGUUAUGUGAAGUAAAUUAAUACAUACUUUUGGAGCUUCAGUUUGAAUUGUGAAUAUAGAAAGGCUGAUACAUAAUACUUAUUUUAAGAACAAAAGUUCUUUGGGAUCUUCAGUGAUUUUUUUGCAGAGCAUAAAAGUGGUACUGAAUCCAAAAAGUUUGAGAAGCAUUGUUGAAUAUUAUGAAGUUUAUAAUUCUGGCCUCAAGAAUAUUUCAUGUAACUUAUUUAGCCUAGUGCCUAACAUUGCAACUCUUAUUAUUCUCUUUAUAUUUGGAAAAGUUGGGUGAAUGUCUAUCAAAGAAGUGACCUGGAAUAAAAUGCUGUGGCACAUUUGGAGUUGAACAUGAACUCAACAACAUUGUAUUCAAAAGACCUAAGAAAUUAGAGAAUAACAUAAAAUAUGUAAUAGUUAUCGGCGGAUACAAUAUCUUUGUUUUGUAUGUGGUGCUGAGGAUCGAACCCGGGCCGCACGCAUGCCAGGCGAGCGCGCUACCACUUGAGCCACAUCCCCAGCCCCUGUAAUAGAGAUCUUUAUAAUGAAAAUAUUUAUGAGAACAGACCAGUUUUAUAUUAUUUGUUGCUGAAAAGUAUGAACUUGAAAACAAAAACUUUUAGAAAUAGCUGAAGAUAUCGUUCUAUAAAAAUAUAUCUUUCUAUUAAAGGAACUUUAAUUUCAAUCUUUUGGUAAAAAUGGUCACUUAACAUUUAUUUUUAAAUGCAACUGUGAGUAUGAAGGACCUGUGUCUAUGUGCUUAUAACAUCUCCUACAUGCUGUCUAUAGGGCUUGACCUCUCUGAAUUGGCAGCUGUCAUAUGCUUCUUGAGCCUCCAUCAGGCUUAGAAUAAAUGCACACUAGUGUUUUCUGAAUGGAUUAGAAUAUUCAUUAUGAUUGGAUUGUAUACUUUCAUUUGCUGAAAUAUUCUAAGUAAAUUAAAAUAGACAUAGAUGUGCAUAUUAGAUGACACAGAUAUUACUAAAUUUUAAAUUUUGAAAAUAGGAACUUGAACUAAAACUAACAUGAGCUUAGAUUUUUAGGGGGAAGGGAGAGUAUUUUAUAGGAUUCCUUAAUACUACAAUAUCUUUACCACAGUGAAGGAAACUCACUUUAAAUUUGCAAGAUUCAUUCUUUUUUUUUUAUACAUAUGUGAACACACUUAGGUGUUACACUCUGUUUUUCUAGAAAAUUCAAGCAGAGUUCAUACCCAUUACCUGACCUGGCACGUUAAUAGAAACACAGAGUUCAUAACACAUUAAUUGCUUGUUUUCUGGGAGGUACAGUUGUCUCUUCAGAUUAUCACCUUGCAUUUGGCAUCCUGUAGAGCAGUUUGGGGCGAUGAGACUUAACAUGAAUAGAGUUCUUCACAUUUCCACCAGGUGCCCUAACUGCUCUGCAGGGCAUUCCCACAGGGGUACCGUCUGCCUGGGGAGAGCAGGGUGCAUGGCAGCUCCGCUGUCUCCAUUUAGCAUGACUGGGGAUCCUAGGCUGCAUGUAGAGUGACCAGAGAACUUUGAUCUGUCUCUAGACAGGCUGGCCUUUUACUCUCAUGCAACAGAUGGCUCUGUAGCACGCUGCAGUCUACGGUCUCCACACAUCGCAAGAUGAAUAUAUUCCCCCUUGUGAGACCUUGUCCUUGGGGAAUAUUUUCCAACCAUGCAUGUCUUGCAGGUAUUUUCUGGAUUUGAAAGUAUGCCAACAUCCUCUUGGAUUCUUGCAGAUGUGUCCGUGGUAUUCUGAUAUCUAUGUUUCAUGUCAAAAAACAAUUGUUAUAUCUUUAGUUGAGAAAGUCUAGAGUUAUAGUGAAGGAAUUAGAAGCCAGUUGAUAAAACUGAGACUGAUUCUCCAUUUGGGUAUAAAUUAGAUGAGAAGAAGGACUCUGUUUCAUUUUUCUCAGAAAGAAAAAAAAAAUCUUUUUGCCUUUAACUGAAGGAAGUAAAUGUUGUGGCCUCUUUUAUUGCAUAUAUAUUUAUUAUAUUCUUCUUUAUCCAUAUUCUGUAAAUAAGGAUCCACAGCUUUUGAUAAAAUAUCCCUGGGCAUUUGUUUUGUAAUCACAAAGUCAAUACCCACUUCCUAAUGAGCUACUGGCUUUGCCACAGACACAAAACAGUAAUGCACAGUUGUUCCCAGCAGAUGAACUGGCACAAGGGCCUUGGUUUAUGUGAGUGUAUUUGAUUUGCUUUGGGUAGCUUGCAAGUCAAGUAUUCUUUAUAUUUUUACACAAAGCUGUUUGUAAGAACUUUCAAUUUGCAUGAAAAAGAUGCUAGUCCCAAUUGGUUUCACACAUAUUGGGACCAUGGAGGUUUGAAGAUAGGGUUUGCCAGGGACUAAACCCAAAGGCGGAUGAGAUUACCAUAAAAAAAAAAGACAAAGCCAUUUAUUUUUGAUAGUUUAAGUUGAUAAUUUGAUCGCAGACUUGUUAACCUCUAGAAAUCCUGAGUAUUUUAUUAUUGAUGCUUUCUCCUAUUUGGCAGCUUAUCACUUUCUUAAUUUUAAAAGAAUAACAACUUUUUUCAUAUAGAAAUGAAAUGGAAAUACUACUAAAACCCGAUAUGAAAUGCACACUUGGAAGACUAAGGACCUGAAAUAUCUAGAAUAUAAAAAUUAUUGAACCUUAAAGAAUCCUUUAUAUUGUUUUUUCUCUCUAAAACCCUAUUUUUAAAGGGAAUGUCAUUCAGAAGCUGUAUUCAUAAAAUAGCAGAGUUGGAGUGUUCUUGCUGUGGGAGACUGAGCUUCCCUUGCUGUGCCUACUUACCUCAUAAGGACCUUGAACUAUUGGAACCAUGAAGGUCCCUACUCCAUGACAUUGUAUGUUGUAUUUCUGCAUAAGUGAUUUAAAACAAGUUUAGAGCAUAGUCCUAAAGAGACAUUUGCAUUUACUCUUCUUGCAAAUUCUUCCCCUUCAACACCUAGCUACUCUGAGUUGCGGUAUCUCUGAAUUGUCUACACUGGAACCAUUUUCUCACUUUUUGAUGAGGAGGGCUGGGGAGCAGGGUUGGGGUUAGGGUUGUUUUCCUGUGGUCCAGGUUACUCUGAAACUUCCCCUGUUUCUCUCAGCCUGUGUCUCUGUGUGCUUAAGUUAAAACUGAAGUUGGUGCUUCUAGUUUCUACAUAAUUUACUAUUUCACCAAAUCACAUGGCUAAUGUGCAUCCGUUUAGAGAUGGCCCUGUCAUGGUAGGUAGUUUAUUCACUCUUCACUGAAUGCCUGAAAAUAUAAUAUAUGGGCAGUCCACAAAAUUUCAUGAUAUAUUACUACUGUCCUUUUAAAAUGCUAUGUGAUUGUUGAAACCAUUGAAGUUUUCCUUCAAAUUGAAUUUAAUAAGAUUACAUAAAUGUCUGUACAGUGUGACAACCUCUAAUAGUUGUUAUGAAGGCCACCUCUUUUGGACAUAAAAGAGUGAUGUUCCUAACCUUUAUACAGAAUUAAGACUCUCAUUUAGUAGGAUGAUGGUGAUAAGAUAGACUCUUGGUCUGUUCCUAGAAGUGUCUCUUUUAUGUUAAACCACUCUUGUGAAAAAUUAACACGCUAUUAGCAUGUAUAUUAAAGCACCCUCUGAGGAUUCAGCAAUCAAGAAUGAUGACUUAAGGCAAUUUUCCAGAACAUUCCUCCAUUCCUGAUUAUGUAUCUGUCUUUUAGUUGAUGUUCUCAAAGUGUGGGUCCUGGGACCCUGAGUGUCCCCAAGACCCUUUGAAUGGAUCUACAAGGUCAAACUAUUUUUAUAGUAACUCUAAAGUGAUAUUGCCUUUUUCAUUCACCUUCUUGCAUGUGUGGGGCUUUCUAAAGAAGCUACUUAAAAAAUUCUAAAGCAGUGUUAUUCUUGGGAAAUUUAUUUUGCUUUGGAAUAUAGUUUUUUUUGGGGUUUUUUUCCCCACUAUAAAGCUGUUUGUUUAUAUUAGUAUGGGCUUGUUUAUUUUUUGUAAUUAAUAUUUUAGAGAAUUAUCAGUUUUCACUUUUGUGUGGUUCAUAUCAAACGACAUAAUCCAUAUGAACAAAAGGUUUUGACACAGGUAUUGGAAUACUGCUCUACAUGUUCCUUAUUCAGGGUCUUAUGUAGGAAUUUACUUUGUUGAGGCUUACUUGACUACUUACCUGGUGGCCUAUGAAAGGUAUGCUUUUUGUAACUUCAGACUUUAUUUUAAAAGGCUUUUGUUCCACUCCACUGGAAGGUGGGAAUCAUUGUGUGUGGGCAUGGACCUGGGAAUUAUGCCAUGUAAGUGCAAAGUAGUCAUAGAAUCUAAUACCAGGUAGGCUGGUAUUAGAUUCUGUGACUAAUGUAUCAUUUAGCCAGUCACAGGUUGUUAUUUUGUGAUAUUAACUUCACCACAAUCGACAGGAACAUGGACAUGUUCACUAUGUUUAGAUUUCUUAAUUUUUAAGUGCACUUAACUGUGUACUUAUGCUUUUCUUAUUUUUGUGUAUAUUUAUUGCCCUCCUAUUUCUAUAUCGAUUGUUUUAGAAAGUUAUAUUGUCUUCCUAUCAUGAAAGGUCAGGAUUUAGUGUUCCAAUGCCUCUUGUCUUUCCACAUUUCCCCUUCUCUACAAUUUUUUCAUUAGAAGAUUAAUUGAUUUACUGCAUUAUAAACAUCAAGUAAUGUAAAUGCCACUUAUGGAUAUGUCUUAAUUCUAGCAUUGCAAAUCUCGAGUAACACUGAUUUUUCCUAAAAUACAUAUUUGCUACUACCUGAGUUGGCCUAGGUUUCUGUGUUUUAAUAUCUGAUUCUUAACCAAUUCUGCAUUAAAACUCAAACUCUUGGGACUAGGGACUUGGCUCAGGGGUAGACUACUUGUGUAGCAUGUUUUGCAUAUACAAGGACCAGGUUCAACCCCCAGCACAACUUAUUUAUCAAGGAUUUCUCCUGAAAUCUUUUGAACACUGUCAAUAUGUGAAACUAUUUGAGUGAUAUUUCAUCCCUCAGUCUGCCCUCUGCACAGGAUCAGUUCCAUGCAAAACACAGAGGAAAUAAGUAAGUAAAUAAAUAAGUAAAUAAAAUAAAACUCAAACUCUUCUCAAUGUUUACAAGCACCUAGGUAUUUUUUUUUUUUUUUUUGGAUCCAUCUUUGCUUCUUUUCAUGGAGUCAUUCUUCUGAGCUUUCCAUCCUCUUGCUGAAGUCAGGUUGGGUGAUUCUCUGAAUUCCUGCGUAGAGACUUCUUUUUAAAUACAACAACAACAAAGACAAUAAAAGUGGAUUCCUUUUUCUCCUCUUCUGUGUGGGAUUCCUUUUUUCCUAUAGUCAUAUCUUACUCUUUAUUUGCUUUGGCAGAGUAAAAGAAUGUAUAGAUGUGGGUGGUGCACAUUUUGACACUGUAGUCAUAUUAAGCCCUCUACUUCAUGUAUGUGGUAUCUAUUUCUAUUUAUUGGUCUCUUUUCAGUGUUCUUAACAGUGUUCUGUAGUUUACAAUAUGGCAGUCUGGCAAGUGUUGGUAAGUGUAUUUUCUAGGUAUUUUGUUUUUCACAAUAUUAUAAAUUGAUGCUCCUAAAAUUUUAUUUUCCAAUUGAUUGGUGCUAUGAUAGAAAAAAUAUAGUUUUUAAAAAUAAUUCUGUGACUUUACUAAAUUCACAUAUCAGUUGUAUAAUUGUUUUAAAAAUCACUUAAAUAUUUUAUAUAGGAAAUUGUCAUGUGUGCAUAGAGCAGUUUUACCUCUUACAUUUUGAUAUUCAUGUCUUUUUUCUUGUCUUAUCAGAUGGGAUAGAAAUUCUGUGUAUAUUUUCAGAAGCAGAAUACAUAUGCUUUUAGGCACUUGCUCAUGUUUGUGAUAACUCCAUGUAUUUUGAUUAGCAGUAGAUUAUUCCUUCUCAGUGCUUUAUACUAUUCCCUUGUAUGACUGUGCUAAUUUAUUUAUCUACUCUGAUGUCAAUGGGUGUAUGCAUUCUCAGGUUAAGGCUGUUACAAGCAGUGUUUCUAUGAGCAUUCUAGUCUGUGGCUUUGAGUGAACAUGUAUUUGCAUUUCUGCUGGGUUUGCAUUCCAAAGUAGACUUGCUGUGUCAUUCACCAUGGGUGUAUUCUCUUAAAAUACUUACAAAAUGUUUUAUCAUUACUAUUCUUCUAUUGCAUUUUUAAUGAUUUCCUGGGAAAGAGGAGAUGAAUGCGUGAGUUUAAUUUUCAUAUCAAAUUAAACAUUAGGCGUAUGCAUCCCUUCCAACUUCUGCUCCUUGUAUUUGUCCUUUAAACUACUCAUCAGGACUUGAGUCAGAACACACAUGGACUCUACUUUGUUUGUAACCAGAAGGGGACUAUGACUUUCAUUUCUUUAUUCUUUUCUUGUCUAGUUUAUUGCCCUUUCUCACGGGGACAAGGAACCCACAGGUCUUGCCCCAGGAUCCCAAACUUGUAACUCGGGAACAUCUCCAGUUUCUUGUUUCCUUUGGUCAAGUUCCUACUGGAAGCUUGCUUGGCCUUAACACAACUAAGGCACAUGCUCUUUUGGCAGUCGGAGGUGUUUCAAAAACCAAGGCAAUUAGGACAGAAGAAAUCCUUUCACCCCUCUGGGACUCCAGCAGCCUCCUCUGUGUUUUGCAUGGAACUGAUCCUGUGCAGAGGGCAGAUUAAGGGAUGAAAUGUCACUCAAAUAGUUUCACAUAUUGACAGUGUUCAAAGGAUUUCAGGAGAAAUCCUUGAUAAAACUAAGAUUUGGGGAUUUCCAGAAGAAGCCGCCUCUAUGUUAACCACUAUUUAAGAAGAACCCCCCCUCCCCAGUUCAGGUAUCUAAACUCAGAAUUUCAAUUAUAAGGAAUAUAAAAUGAACCCCACUGUUAAACUGAGAAUAUUAAAAUUACUUGAUUUUUAAGUCUACAUUUUUCAUGUUUCCUAGACCCUGAAGAAUGAUUUAUUUAGGCUUUUAAGUAAGGAAAUCUAAACCUUUAUCCUAAAACUACUACAUGACAGAUAGGGCUUCAGGUUUUUUUACACAGCCUCUGUUACCCUCAGUUUACUCUUUUAUAAAACGGGGCUAAUGGAAUGUAGGUUAGUUGUCAGGCUCAUAUGAGAUCAGGUAAAAUGCCCAACAUAGAGAGUGUUACAUAGCAAGCCUCUGUAACAGAUGGUUUCCUAUUAUUAUUUUAAGAACACUGUAAAGUUAUGUUUUCUUUGCUUUUUAAAAUGUGAUAUUGGUGUAGAAUAACAAAACAAAGAUGAUUAAAAACAUAUAAGCAAAGUUGACACAGGAAGAACAAUUGAAGAAUUUCAGCCUUGGGAAAUGUAUGUAUAAAGGAUAUAUGCUAAUUAACUUAAAGCAGAGCUUUUAUUCAGUAUUCAACCUUAAUAUGGUUAUUACAAAUCUAAGGCAAAAAAAAAAAAUCUCUCUCUCAUAACACUGAAUGAAAGUAAAGCACUAAUGGCCAAUUGCUUUAAAUAUUUAUAGAAAGUAUCAUGGAGGAUGUAAGGGACAGGAAGGAGGGAGUUCCUCUGGGGAUCUCCAAGGAAUGCUUCACAGCCACUCUGGAAUCGCCUCUACCCUGGGAAUGGUCAACUCAUUUUGUACUUUUGUUUCUCCAGGGAGAAGUUGGCUGUGGCCCGACUACAGCGAGAAGUUGCCCAGAGAACAAGCCAGGGGGCCAUGGUGAGUCCUGACUGGUCUGAACCUCUUGUUCAGAGGUCUCUGGCUUCAAGGUCAUUUUGUCCUUUUAAAGAUACUAAGCAAAAUAUUUGUUGCAGCAAACUUAAUGACUCUUUGGUAAAUUAUACAUUUAUAGUGCAGUUUAGGCUGUUCUAUCAUUUGCAGAGAAAAAGAGAUUAAUUGACAGGAAAACUACUUGGGCUUUGAAAAAAAUGUUCAAAUAUUCAAAGGCUUGUAAUGCUUUAUUUCGAAAAGCUCCACUGGCUGCCCAGGCUUCCAGCUGUGAGCACAAGGUCCAUAAAUGAGUAAUCUUAGAUUUUCAGAUAAGGAUGUUUAACAUAAUUCAACCCUCUUAGUUCUCUGACCUUAAACAAAUAACUGAAAAAAGCACCAAGAUGCUUGCUAAUGUAAUUGUCUUUUAUUCUAUUCCUUCUCUCCACUAUUUGCAAUACAUUUCUCCCUGUCGUUUUCAGCUUGUGCCAUUUAGAAAAGGGAUGUUUCCUUGUGGUUUGAAUUGUACUAAAAAUCAAUGUGGUUGUUUUGGUCCCUAGCAACUUCAUUUUAUAGACUGUCUUUGCCAAAAUAUUUGCCCAGGUGACACUAUAAUAUCCGAGACGACUGUCUCCAGUACCCAGGGAAUGCAUGUGUGUAGAUUAACUGCUAUUGCUACCUCUGAGAAGAAAAUAUGACACCAAACUUAUUUUUCCCCACUUAUGACAAAGCAGUGGUAUGUGUGUAAUUUUUCAGCUGAAGAUUUUUUUUUUUUUUUUUUAAAGAGAACGGACACAUUUUCAGCCCCUGAAAGGCUGUUUCCAUUUGAUUUGUAGGGGUAAAUUGAUAAUGCAUCCACUGAAAGAGUAAGAAGUUUGUGAAAUAUACUGUCCUCUCACUUCUCCCAAGAUUGGAGUGAGAGGCUGAAUGCUAAGUGGAUUCUGUAAGGUAUAGUGGCCUGAGAACUUGCCCAAAUCUUAGGGAAGGUGAUUACAUUGCUUGUUUUGCUAUUGAUCAUAAUGCAAAAAGAAUCUUGAAUGUUCAGGCAAUUUGAAGCAGCUACUCAAAACAUCGUUGAGCAAUGAAAUGGAAAAAUAAGUUGGAAAAAAUAAAGAUCUAGCUGAAUGGUGAACUGAACAUUUCCAAUCUAGAGUUCUGUCUGCAUUUAGAAAUGUUGAUAGGCAAGGCCGAUCUGUUAAUACUUUAGUCCUCUGGGAUGAGCUCCUGCUUACCACUUCAUCAGCUAUGCUUGAAUUGAAUUGAGGAGGUGCCUUUCCUAGGUCUCGGUUUUCUCAUCUUGAAAAUGAGGAGGUUGAAAUUUUAUGAUUCCCUUAGCUCAGUGGAUCAUGCUGCCAAACAUUUGCCCAUGUAAAGGUUUUAUGAUGUGCAGCUUUUUUUUAUGGUAAUAACUAAAUAUUAUUGAAGCUCAGAAAAGCAAAGACCUUGGAACAAUGAAGUUUCACUCUUUCUGACUCUGAUGUUGAAUGUGCCUGAUUUGAAAUGAUUGCAGAUGGAUAAAUGUCUACUCUUGUACAAAAACAAAACCUUCUUUUAAAACACGAUAGAAGUAAUGGUUCAGUGUGAAAACAAAAGCAAAACCAGAAAAUCUAUAUACAGAUAGAAAGCAGCUGACUUUGUAGAAGUUACAAGUUACCCAUGUUCUCUUACUGUAUUUUAAUGAUGUUACUGAAAAUGACAAUUUUAUACUGAUAUAUUGGAAAAAUAAUUAUUGAGCAGCUACUAUAUGCCUGGUACUAUCAAAAACAGUAGUGAUUAAAACAGGCAAAAAUCUGGUUAUUAUAGUGCAGUGGUUGGGUAAACAGAUAUCCAAUAUGAUUAAAAUGUUAGCUGGUGGAAGGAGGUAUGAGAAAAUAAAACAGCAAAAUGGGAGAUCUGGGGGUCUAGGGGCUUACCAUUUUAAGUAGAAUAUGCAUAGUGAUGAAUCACUGAAAAGUUAAUAUUUGAGCAAAUCUUGAAGAGGAAGUGGAGUUUUCCCCCAGGUAUAUCUGGAGGAGGGCAGGAUAUCCAGGCAGGCAGCUUAGUUAAUACAAAGGUGGGCCAGAGCCCAGGGAACUGUGUGGGCAAGGUUGGCUGCAAGGGAUUCCAAGAGAGGGGAAAUUGGAGGAGAAAGUCAGAAGAGAUGGGAGCAGAGGAGUCAGCCCCUCAGGUCCCCCUGAAUCACUGGUGCAUGCUUUCUGUGAAAGGAAUCAUUGGGAAACUAGGGACAAGGCAGUGACAUGUUAUGGAUCAAUGCCAUUCAUGUCCCUGUCAUUUCCCAUUCCAUCAUUAAUUAUACCUCAGUUCUUUUGAGACACCAUCAUCUCUAACUUUCAUUACUUUUAUUUUCUACUCCUCUCUCAUUUUUCUUUUUUUCCUUAUAUAGACAAUCAUUUGAAUUUUGUAAUUUAAUUUUAUGUUUCAGCUUUUCUGCUCCUGCAAUUCUUGAUUUCUAAAGUCUUCGUUCUUUAAGUAUCUGAGAGCUCCUAAAACAAGGAAGUUCUGUUAAAAUCCUUUAAAUUUAAUUCUUGCUGCUAGAAAUUUUUCUGUGGAACUUCUGUUUCAUCUUUAGCAGAAGUGGAGAGUUUGCCUCAACCAGAUUACCUUAUGCUUUCAAAAACCACUGUUCCCCAUUUUCUGUUUUUCCACAUGAAAGAAAAAAUGGGAUGGGAAAAAAUAUGUAAAAGGUUUACUUAAAAAGCCAUAUGAAUGAAUUGAGGCAGAUAUUUAUUUUUAGAAGUCAUCAAUAAAUUUGUUAUAAUCAAAGUCCUUAAUGCAAAAUGUGCUCUUUUUAAAAUUUGCUUUUAUGUAAUAGAUCUCAUCACUUAUAUGUUUUCAGACUGUUCCAAGGCACCAUUUUGAGAAAUUAAUGUUUUAAUAAUUUCUUUAUUUAGAAUAAUUUUAGAUUUACAGAGCAUUGUGAACUUGCCUAUUGUUUGCCUUAACAUUAACACCAUACAUAACUGUGGGAUAAAUGUCAACAUGGUGAUGAAUAUUGGUAUAUUAUUAUUAAACAAAAUCUCUAUUAGAGUUUCACCAGUUUUCCUACCUUGUCAGGGUUUUUAGCCCCCCAUUCCCUCCUGACCUGUGGGAAAGAUUGGGGGAGCACGCUCUGACCAGGACAGGCCAUGAAAGGUAAAGGUCGACUGGCUGCCUGCACUCAGUCCUCCCCCCCUGGAGGACAAGCAGAAGUGCCAGGGAGAACUGUCAAAGCAGGAUCUCGUUUAAUGAGAAAACAUACACAGCUAAUAUAAUGUACAGGAGCCAAUCAGGAUAAAGGUCAGCAGGGUGCGGAGAAUUUACAUCUACACCCAUCCUACAGGCAGUAAUGUCUGUGGGGGCAGAAGGGUUCUGAGCCUAUCCUAGAGGUGGGCCGAUUCUUCAUCACAACCCAUGGCAAUGCCUUCUGGCUAAUCGCUAGGUGCUCUCUUAGCCACACGUGGCCCCAGGACUGGGAAGCGGGUAGCAGCCAGCAAGUUAAGUUUCCUCUUUUCUGAUGCAACAUGCCCCACUUUACAUCAUGCCCUACACCACCUAUGUCCCCUUUUCUGAUCAGGGAUACCACCCUGGAUUACACAUUGCAUGUAGAAAGGAUUGUUUUUAGUGGCUAGCUGAACACAUAUGUGGAAUUAAAACCAGAGCUUGGGGUGAGGCAGGUCUGGAUUCAGUGUACAUCUCCACUGGUGGUUAAUGAUAUUACCUUGGAUACAUUGCUACUUUUUAUCAGUUCUGUUUGUGAUUCUGUUCGACUAUCUCAGAUAUUAAUUUUAGGAUACUUUCAGCAUAUUGAAUGCUUUAUUUAUUUUUUUUCCUUCAUUCUCACUUUCAAGAAAUAACUCUCACCAGUAUUUUUCAUACUUUGGUUAUUUUGCAUUAACUCUCUAAGAUCCUUCAUCUUCCUUCUGUGAGAUUAUUCCAUUUUGUGGUCCAUUCCACGGGCUCAGUGUACUACAAGUUCUGUUCUGUCUUUAAACUUCCAUGUCAUCUUAACUUUUUUAUGGAUAAAAAAAUAUUCAUUUCACCUGUUAUGUUUGGAUAUGAGUUGUCCCCCCCAAACUCAUGUGUGUGUGUGCAAUUCAAGAAAGUGUAGAGGAAAAAUGCACUAAUCAGUGCAUUAAUCCCCUGAUAGAGAUUAACUGGGUGUAGGCAUGUAGGGUGUGGCUGGAAGAAGUGGGUUCCUGAGGGGGUAUACCUUUGGGGUUUACUUUUUGUCCCUGGUGAGCAAGUUUUCCCUUGUCUUCCUGAUGCCAAAUCUUGAGCUGAUUUCCUCCACCACACCCUCCCACCAUAAUGUUCUGCCUGGCUGGAGCAAUGGAAUUGCCAUCUAUGGACCAAGAACUCUAAACUGUAAACCAAACAAACUUUUCCUCCUCUCCUUGUUCUUGACAGACAUUUUGGUCACAUCAAUGAAAAAGCUGAUUAAAACACCACCCCAAGCGUAUCAAUUCAUUCAUUCUCACUAUCUUUUAUAUUAUAUUUUUUAUAUUUUAUAUUAUAUUUUUAUAUCUUUUAUGUUUAUAAUUUUGGGUUUUUUUUUCUAUGUAAAUCUUCACAAAUUCUAGGUAGUAAUGCUUGGCAUGAUGUAAGGAUCGGAAAGAUUUUUUUUUUUUUUACCAAACUGAUAAUUAAUUUUCUAGCAUCAUUACUGAACAAUGUAACCUUUACUAUCUUUAACCUUAUCUAGUAUUCCCAAAGUUAAUAUUAACCGAGGUCAGCAAUGGGAAUGCUGAUAUUUUUCCAUUUAAAGUACUGUUAUACAAACUGGUCUCCAAAAAAUAAAUAAAUAAAAGAAUAUCCCCUACUCACUUUUUAAAAAUAAAGUCAUUACAGAAAAAAAUUUCAGGUUAUGUAAAACAUUCCCAUGUACCCCAUAUCCUGUUUCCCCUAUUAAGAUCUUACAUUAGUACACUAGUACGUUUGUCACGAUUAAUGAGCCAAUGUGAUAUGUUGUGUUAAUAAACUACAUAUUUCACCAGAUUUCCAUCAUUCUAAUGUCCUUUUUUUGUUGUUGUUGUUUCAGGGUCUCAAUCAAUGAUGUAUGUAACAUUUAUUUUUGUGUCUCCUUAAGCUUCUUUAGUUUUCAACAAUUUCUCAGAUUUUCUUUGUUUUGGAUGACCUUGAUAGUUUUAAGAAUAAUGGUUAGGGUUUUUUGUUUUGUUUUGUUUUGUUUUUGGCAUUUGUCUCACUGGCAUUUAUCAGAUGUUUUUCUCAUGAUUUGGUUUGUAUUUCAGCAAAGUAGUUCACAUGUUAAAAUACCCUUUUUAGUCACAUCAUAUCCAGAGUAUACACUGUCAUCAUGACAUUUCAUUGUUAACAUGAAUGUUGGUCUGGUGGGUGAGGUAGGUUUUGUUGAAUUUCCCUACUAUAUAGUUACUUUUCCACCGUUUUCUAUCUUGUACUCUUUGAAACCAACUCACCAUGUGUAGCCCACACAUAGGAGUGGAGAGUGAUCCUACCUUCUCGAGGGUAAUAGCUACAUAAGUUCUUUUGAAUUCUUUCAUGGUACAUUUCUCUUCUUCCCCAUGACUUUAUUUGUUCCCUUGCUUAUUUAUACAUUCAUGAAUGCAUUGAUGUUUGUUUUAUACUUUGGGUUAUGAACAAAUACCAUUUUAUUUAUUUUUUAACGGAAAUGAUUCCAACUUUGACUAUUAUGAGCAUUUUUAUUGGCUUCUUGAGUCAGUCUCUCUGACAGAUUCCCAUCAUUGUGUUUACUUUUUUUUUAAAAAAAAAUUCUUCUUAACACUCUCUUUCUAUAAUUACAAGAUUCUGUAAGCUCACUUUGUAUGCUUCAUGCCCCUGUCAUAGAAUCAGUAUUUCUCCAAGGAAAUCUGGCUCCUUUUAAUGGACAAGUGAAUUUGAAAACAUGAAUAAUGAGUGUCAACUCACAUAUUUUAUAAAGCUUAUGUAAGGUAGUUUUUAUUCCAGGGUUGUAAUGUCUGCUUAACACCAGAAAUAUCAUCAACACAAUUGGCAAAAAUAAUAGAUGAAGAGGCAAAAUACAAUUCCAGUAGUCUCGGGGGAAAAAAAAAAACAUUAAUAAAAUGCAGUAGUGGAAUUUUAUUUAGUUAAGUUGAUAAAAGGAUGCCCAGUGAAAAUCUUCAGUCAACAUUGUUCUUAAUAAUGAAGUAUUCAAACAUUCCUUUUAAAAUCCAUAACCAGACUAGGAUGUCUCCUGUCACUGCUUCUGUUGAAGUUCUUGUCUUGGCUAGCACAGUAAGGCAAGACAAAUAAUUGGUAUAAGGGUUGAGGGGCGGUUUGUACUAUUUGCUGUCAGUCACUUCUGUAAACAGAAAAAAUCUCAGGGAAUCUUUACAGAAGCUUUUGAAGAUUGUUGAAUGUAAAAUGAAUGGAAAAAAAAUCAAUAGACUUUCUCCUACAUCAAUCCUUAUAAAGUAUAUUUAAAAAAAUAUUUAAAACAUGGAAAAAGGGAUGUAGUAAUAAAUCUCAGGCAAAAUGUUAUGAGAUACUGAUGGAGAAAAAUUAUUAAAGGGCUUAAAAGGAGACCAAAAUUAGUGGAAAAUUAUGCCAUACUUGUGAAAGGGAAGACUCACUACCAUGAAGAUACCAAUCUGAAUAAUGUAUACAUUCAAUGUGAUGACAAUCAGAAUCCCAGCAGGGUUUUCAUGGAAUUUAUCUAGCAAAUACAGAUACUAACAUGAAAAAAAAAGUUUCACCAUAUAUGAUACGGUUUUAAAGAAAAAUAAUGUGUAUAUUGUGUUUUGUCAUGCAUGAAGAUUUAUUGCUGAAACAGUGUGAUGUUGGGGAAAAGAUAUUCAAAUCAACCCUAGAAUAGAAUGGAGAGCCUUGAAUUAUACCUGUGUAUAUGGGAGAUAAUGGAAGUAGAAUUACAAACUAGGAAGAAGAGAAUGGGCAAUUUAAAAAGGCCACUGUGGCAAUUUAUAUAGCAAAUGGUAUAAUUUAGUUGCUACCAAAUACCAUGGAGAAAAGUGAAUUUUGUAAAAAUCAAAAGUUGGAAAAUUAAAAGUGAAAAUAUACAACUUUUCUGAGUUAAUGUAGGGGAAUAUGAGAUGUAUAAAUAAGAAAGGAUUUUUUUUAAAUACAAAAUGCAUAAACCAUAAUGGGAAAAGAUAGAUACAUCUGAAUACAUUUGAAAUAAAAAUGUUUGUUUAAGAAAGAUGCCAUUAACAAAAUGAAAAAAUAUGAUAUUUGAAAUAGAAGCUAGCAGAGUAGCAUGAUGAUCAGUAAAUGCUGAAAAGUUUCUUGUUCAGAAAAAUGCAGAUGAUAAAUUAAAAUCCUUUGCCUAUCUAUUUGGAAAUAUUUUUGAAGGUUGAGAACUCCACUAGGCAAGGAUAUGUAGACAUUGAAAUUCUUCUGUACUGUUGGUGGGAUUGUAACUAAUUUAAAUAUUUAGAAGAUCCAUUUUGUAUUAUCUUGUAAAGUUGAAGUCCAAAUUGCUUGUGACUUGAAAAUUCCAUUUUAUAUUUCUAUACUAGAGAAUUUUUUUAACAUACAUACAAAGUAGUUCAUAGAAAACUGUACACGUUAGCUCCAUUUUAUAAGAAAAAGUAAAAACAAUGUCAAGGUCUUUUAGUAGAACAGGGCAAUAAAAAGAUUUAUUCAGAGAAAUAAUAUGCAGAUGUUAAAAUGAACUAGAUUUGCAUGUGUGUACAUGGAUAAAUGCCGGAAGCAUAACAUUAGAAAAAAAAAAGAUGUAUGGGAAUAUCAUACUUCAAAUUUAUUAUAAUGAAUACCUUAGGGAGGAGAGGUCUUAAGUUGUAUCGAUUUAUUUAAUUUUUUAAUAAAGUACAUACAUGAUUUUUAAAAAAUAUGGUAACACUGGAUGGAAUAAUGUAGUAUUGCAUUUUCUGAAAUACUCUCUGAAUUUUAAAAAUACUUUAUCGCUAAUGAUCAUAAGUGAAUUUAGACUAAAAUAUUGAAGUUAAAAAUAGUACCAUCAACAGAAUGAUGGGAAUAAUAAGAAGAUAUUAGAAGAUGUGUUAUUUCUAUGACCUGGACAUGGCAAAUACAUGUCUGAGCAUAACUGCGGUGUCAUAAACUGAAGGUAAAAGAUGGAGAUCAGACAGAGAAGGUGAUAACUUCUAUCAUACAAAAGGUUAAAUAACAUGAAAUGAAAUGCCAUUUUUAUUGCAACAUAUAAAAUCAACAAAAGGAGAUAAAAUACUAGUAAUUUGUAGAGAAAUCCACAGAAUAAUGCUGUGGAUUAUGUAGCUGAAUUAGUGCAAUAUUGAACUGUGCUUGAAAAGGUGGAUGGCCUUGGAAACUUCAGAUUGCCCCAGGAUUCUUUCAAGGAUAUAAUUAGUUGUCAAAGAUAACAUUACUAUGUAGCACUCCCCUGUCCAGGUCAAGUAACACCUGGAAUAUCCCAGGUCCACCAUCAUAUUUAGGGAAAUUUCUACCUUUUUUCCAAUUCAGCUUUUAGAUUCUACCAGAAAUAUGGAAGCAACAGUUAUAAAUAUAUAUGCCCCAAACAAUGGAGCAUCUAUGUUCAUCAAUCAAACUCUUCUGAAGUUCAAGAGUCAAAUAGACCACAACACAGUAAUUCUGGGUGACUUUAACACACUUCUUUCACCACUGCAUAGAUCUUCCAAACAAAAGCUAAACAAAGAAACUACAAAAUUCAAUAAUACAAUCAAUAACUUAGACCUAAAUGAUUAUAUAUAUAUAUUAUAUAUAUAUAAAUAAAGUAUAUUAUCCAUCAAUGAGUGAAUACACUUUCUUCUCAGCAGCACAUGGAUCAUUCUCCAAAAUAUGCCAUAUAUUAUGCCACAAAGCAACUCUUAGUAAAUACAAAAAAGGUAGAGAUACUAUCCUGCAUUCUAUCAGAUCACAAUGGAAUGAAAUUAGAAAUCAAUGAUAAAAUAAAAAAUAAAAGAUACUUCAACACCUGGAGACUAUAUAAUAUGCUAUUGAAUGAACAAUGGGUUGCAAAAGACAUCAAGGAGGAGAUUAAAAUAUUUGAAUUUUAAUUGAAUGUUCCAUUCAUUUUCCAACAGAAGUUUCAGAAGACAAUUUAUUUCAGCAAUAAGUCUCAUAGUUCUGGUGGCUAGAAUGGCUUUGUUUUGUGUUUGAAGUAGGGUGAAGGUGAGAAAGGACACCAUGAAGCAUGACACUCUCCUUUUGUUAUUCUUUAAAAAUCUGAAGUAAAAUUUCAAAGUCAGAUGCAAGUGUCUUAACUAUGUAAUUUGGUUAGUUUAGAUUCACUAUGACACCCGCAGCUGAUUGAGGUGUAGAAUAUUUUCAUCACCAAAGUUGCCUUUUCACUCUUGUCAAUCCUACCUCCACCUCUGCAUAAUUAAUUAUUGAUAUACUGUAUUCAUUCUGCCUUCUCUUGAAUUCUAUGUAACUGGUACUGUACAAUUUUCUUUCAUGUCUGCAUGCUGUAUUUCAAUAUAAUGUUAUUGAGAUUCAUGCAUGUUUUGUGUUCAUUAGUAGUUUUUUUUUAAAAAAAAAAAAACAACAACAGCUAAGUUGUUUUUUUCAUUGUAUGAAAAUACCACAGUUUAUUUAAUCUGUUUUCCUUUGGAAAGAUAUUUGAGUUUUUUCCACCUUUUUUGAAUAAGGUAAUUAUGAAAUUCUUGGGUAAUACUAUUUGUGGAUCUAUCAGUCCAUUAUUGAAUAUAUGAUUUGUGAAUAUUUUCUCCUAUUUCUUUUCACUUUUUUGAUGGUGUCCUUUAAAAACACUGAACUUUUUUUUUUUUUUUAAUUUAGAAGAGCUCCGAUUUCUUUUCUUUUUUCUUUUUUUUACUUUUGGUAGCUUAUUUAAGAAGGCAUUGCCCAACCCAUGGUCACAAAGAUUUUCCUAUAAGGUUAUGGUUUCAAUCCUUUUACUUACAUCUGUGGUCCACUUGGAGUUUUGUGUGUGAUUUGAAGAGUCUGACCUCACUUUUUUGCAUGGGGUUGUCCAUUUGGCCUAGCACAAUUUGUUAGAAAGACUGGUUUUCUCCUUUGAAUUAUAUUGGUGUCAUGUUGAAAAUCAAUUGACAUGAAUACAAAGGUUUAUUUCCGUGGGUUUCUACGGAUCUGUCAAUCUCUCCUAUGCCAUUAGCACAUUGCCUUGAUUGCAAUAGUAAUCAAGUAACACAAGUACCACUGUGUAAUAAGUUUUGAAAUUGAGGUGUGUGUCCCCCAUUUGUUCUUCCCUCUCCUAAGGUUUGAUGGUCAUUCUAGGCCCUUUGCAUUUCCACACAAGUUUUAGCAUUAAGUUGUUGAUGUCAGAGGGAAAAAGUCAACUGGAGUUUUGACAGGAAUUGCAUUGAAUCGAUCCUAUUAAUUUUGAUCCAGUUUAAUUGAUUCUUGGGUUUCAGGUGAAUGAAAUCUAAAGCACAGGCUCUUUUGUGUCUUAAAUCUUCCACAUAGCAUAAUGCUGAGAUUUAUUCACGUCAUUAUAUGUAUUCGUGGUUCAUUCCUUUACUUGGCUGAGUAGUGUUGCAUUUUUAAUCUAUUCUAUUGAUACAAAUCCAUUUAAAUAUUUUCCAGUUUCUAGCUAUUAUGGAUUAAGCUAUUAUGAAUACUUUAUGCAGGGAAUCAUGAUGGUAGGGCAGUGGAGAUUGGACCCUGGGCCUCCCACAUGCUAGGUAAAUGCCCUACACUGAGUUAUAUAUCCCCACCCCAAAUUGUUGAAUCUUAGGGUAAAUGUAGGUUUAUCUUUAAAAGAAACAGCUCUUCUGUAUUCCAAAGUAUUCUGUUUUACCUUGCCACCAGCAAAAUGAAAGAGAUUUUGUUGGUUUUGUUGCCAACAUUUGAAAUCAUCAGUCCAUUUGAUUUUGGCCAUUGUAGUUUAUAUGCAAGGUGAUCUUGUUGUGUUUUGAUGUGCUCUGCCUAUAUGGUAAAAUAAAUGAGCAUUUUUUCAUCCACUUACUGUCCAUUUAAAACGAAAAUAUUAUAAUUAGUUUAUCCAUUUUCCUUUUGACAGAUAUUUUUGUUGUUUCUACUCUUUAUGAAUAAGGUAGCUGUGAAAUUCUUGGACCAUACUUUAUGUGGAUAUUACAGUCCAUUAUUAGAUAUUUGAUUUGUAAUUAUUUUCUCCCAUUUGGUUAGUUUUCUUUUCACUUUUUUUCCAAUGGUGUCCUUUUAAAAAAAUAAGGAUUUUUUAUUUUUAAUUUUGAAAAGCUCCAAUUUAUUUUUUUCACUGUUUUACUUUUUAAAAAUAUUUUUUUUUAGUUAUAGACACAAUAACUCUAUUUUAUUUGUUUAUUUUUAUUUGGUGUUGAGGAUUGAACCCAGCACUUCACACGUGCUAGAUGAGGGCUCUACUGAUGAGCCACAACCCCAGCCCCCCCCCAUUGUUUUACUUUUGAUAAAUUAUUUAAGAAGGCAUUGUUUAAAACCGGGUCAAAAAGAUCUUCCUUCUAGGUUAUGGCUUUAGUCCUUGUAUGUACAAUCAUGAUCUAUUUUGAGUUUUUAAUGUGUGAUUCUGCUAAAUUCCUUUGCAUGCUCAGGGGGUACUUUUCUCUUUUAGUUGUGUGAGUUUUUUUAAAUAUAUAUUUUCAAUACUUGUGAAAAUAUGUCUUGCUAACUUCUUCUUGUUCUUUGCUUUGCCUAUCCAUUUUAAAUAAUGGUGUCUUUUGAUGACCUGAAGUAUUUAAAUAUUGAAGAUCUAUUACUUGUUCUUUGACAAUUAGUGCUUUCUGUAUUUUAAGAAUUUUUACCUACUCUAUGUUUAUAAAAAUGUUAUUUUGCAUUUUUUCUAUAAACUUUAUAGUUUUGGGGCUGGGAAAUAUAGCUCAGGUGGUAGAGUGCUUGCCUCGCAUGCACAAGACCCUGGGUUUAAACCCCAGCACCACACACACCACAUACACACACACACACACACAGCUUUAUAGUUUUGGGUGUUAUAUGUAGACACAUGAUCCAGUGGGACUUAAUGUUUUCUAUGAUGUGGAUCCAGUUUUGCCAUUAUUAAAAUUACAGACACUCACAUAUGCUUGUAUACUUUUUAAAAAAAAUAAAUAAACUUCCUUUCAUGGAUCUUCUUGGUAACUUGUUGAAAACCAUUUGCCUCUAUGUGAACAAAUUUAUAUUUGAACUCUCACUUUUAUUCUUUGUAGCUAUUUUUAUAUCCUGUACAAAUAACAUAUUUUAUGAUUAUCAUGAUUUUUAUAAGAUUUCAAAUAAGGUAGUAUAAGUCUUUCAACUCUUUUCUCUUCCUAAGACAUUUUUCCUAUUCUAAGUCCCUUUGAUUUCCAUGUCAAUAUUAGAAUCAGGUUGUCAAUUUCCUUAAAAUGCCUCCUGUGAUUUUUGUUUAUAAUAGCAUUGAAUCUUCAGAUCAAUGUGAGCAGAAGUGAUAUCUCACAGUAUCAAAUUUUUCAAUCCUUACACGUGAUGUAAACCUCCAUUUAUUUAGAUCUUCUUUAGUAUUUUUUAAAGAAAUUUUUUAGUUGUAAAAUGGACACAGUACUUUUAUUUUAUUUAUUUUUAUAUGGUGUUGAGGAUUGAACCCACACGAGUCAGACGAGCGUUUUACUGCUGAGCCAAAACCCCUGCCCCUUCCUUUAUAUCUUUGAGCAAUAUUUUCUAGUUGUCUGGAGAUCUUGAACUUCAUAUUUUUAAACUUAACCCUACUUAUUUUAUGUUCAUUGAAGCUAAUAGAUGAAACUUUUUGCAAAUUUUGUUUUAAGUUAUUUGUUGGUAGUUCUUUUCAGAACAUCAAAAAUUGUUCCACUCUCUUGUAGCUUUAAUAAUUUCUAAUGAGAAACUCAUGGUCAUUAGUAUUAUACCACAAUUUCUAUUUCUGACAUUCUUGGGAUUAUUAUUAUUUUGUCUUUAGUUUUCUGCAUUGUGAUUAUGAUGUGUUUGGAUGUGGAUUUCUUUGAAAUUAUCCUGUCUUGGGGCUCACUGAGCUCUUGAAUCAGAGUUUCUCUUUCAUCAAACUAUUUCUUCAAUAUAUGCAUAUUUAUACCACACCUUUUUGCCUUUCUAAAAUUCUAAUGUUAUAAAAGCUAGACUUAAUAUUUCAUGAAUAUUUCCUGUGUUUCUUGAUUUUUUUCUUUCUUUGUAACAUUGGAUAAAUUUUGUUAAUAACUUUCAUAUUCAUUGAUUCUUGAUCAUUUACAUUCCACUACUGAAUCAGACUAGUGUCUAUUUUGAUUUUUUUUUCUGUUUUUCAGUUUUAAUGGUUUCCUUUGUUCUGUUUCUUUGCUAAUAUCUUCUGUGUUAACAGUUUGCAUUUCUUGUUAAAAGAAGUUAUAAUUUCUUCUCUAAAGGAAGGUUUUUUUUUAAAAAAAUCCUUUAUUUAAAAAUAUUCUAUGAUCUCUGCUUAGUAUCUGUUGAUUGACUUUUUUGUUCCCUCAUGAGUUAAGAUUUCCUGAGUUCUUCAAUGGUGAGUAAUUCUGUGCCGUCUGCCAGGCAUUUUGAAUGUUACAUCAUGAGAUUUUACAUCAGAGAAUUCUGAGUUGUUUUAGCUGGCAGUUGACCAGGUUGGAUUCAGCCUCAGGCUCUGACCUGCCCUCUGUGGGCCAUGUUCCUGGGUUUCCUUUCACAGUGUUCACAGUACUGAUUGGAUUCCCACCAGGUGUGCACUGCCCCGAGGCCAGUCUGUGAUUUGGCUUUGGUCCUUGUAGCUCAAUCUUCAUAGCCGGCGUAGGCUGUUGAGAUCACAUCUGUGCAUGUGUAGCUGAGAGAUGAACAUAGGUGUUCAUCGCAGUGUUGUAGAAUUGUUCCUGGGCUCUUCUGCCUCCCUAUGACCUGGCUUUACUUUGUGAAACCUGGGGCUUUACUUUGCCUUCUCCUCACCUCCCAUGAAUGCACCUAUGUGUGUAGCUCAGCAGUCAGAAGAUAGGAGAAAAUAGCAAUAGGUCUGCACCUCUCACUUUUGUAAUCACAACUUUCUGAAAAGCACCUUCAGAGCUUUAAGUACUUAAUCUUAGUGACCCUCCUUUUGCUGUCACCAUCAGUGCAGAAAGGGCUGGGAAAGGGAGAAAGGGAAACAAAAAAAAAAAACUAGUUAUAGUAUGUCCUCAGUCCUUAUGAUCCCUUAAGCUCUCUUACCUGCUUCUCAGAGUAGAUAAGGAGAUGUUCCUGGAGCUGGUUCUAUCCACACCUGCUGUAUGAUUCUGAGACUUGGUCCAUAUAUGAGUCCAGGCAAGGUGAUACCAGAGAGGGGAAAGAUGGUGAACUCAUGGCUAGCUCAGGGAACUCUUAAUUCUGUUCUCCUUCUUGAGUAUGCCUGCUACCAUUUAUUUUCAGAGACUUUAGAAGGGCCAGGGAUGUAGCUCUGUAGUAGAGUGCUUGCCUAGCAUGUGUGAGGACCUGGGUUCAAUCUCCAGCACCACAAAACAAAGCAGGGUCCUUAGAAAGCUGUUCAAUGCAUCCCGUCAAGGAUUUAUGUUUGUGUUCAGUGGGAGGGACAGCCUGCAGUGUUCUUGCUCCAUCAGUCCUGGAGGCAGAACCCUCAAGUGAUUCUUAGGCAGGAUCAGGACCUCUCCUUCAGCAAGGCUUGGAAUCUGAACACGAUAAGGACCCUGGAGAAUGCCUUUGCAUUAUCCAGAAGACCUCAUCUGGAAACAUGGGAGCCCACAUAAGCUCUGCUAUACAAGCGCUCCUGAUGGCAUUUUGGGAAUUCACUGUGAAGUUCUCUUUGCUGUUAAUCCCACUGCCAGAUUUUCUGUGCCUCAAGGACUGUUCCCUGAUGCCCUCUGAGCAGCAUUAAAGGCUGUAGAAGUGUCAUCAGUGAGGGCAUCAGGUGCUGUGUGCCCAGACUCUUUAGAAAGCUCUGUGCAUAUGCUCCUCACAGCAGCUCCCUCUAGGUCUCCUGGAUCCUUCCUCAGUGGCUUCCCGUUCCUGCCUCUGUCUAUUGGAAGCCUCUAAUAUUUCAGCAGUUUUUUUUUUUUUUAAUAGCUUUGCCCUUAGCUUUCCAUGGCCACUACGCUCACACUGUGGUGGGAUUCUGUCUUCACGCUCUCUCUGGCUUAUUAUUUAUUUCCAGGUGAAGAUUCAGUGAAAGGUCAUCACCAAGGAAAAAAAAAAAGAAAGAAAAGAAAAGACAGAUAGAUGCUUAGUUGGAGCUUCCUAGGGAUUCUGAGUAAAAUCACCAGCAUAUUCAACCUUGAAGCUUUUUAGAAAAAGUUUAUCUGAUAUUUAUUUGCUGACUCCUGUUAAUUGCAGUUUCUAUUCUAUGGUCCUACCCAGGCUCUCUUUCUUUUCUGGGGCAGGGGGAGGAUUCAUUGGUUUCUGGGUUUCACAUCAUUUAUGUUUCUUAAUGGCUUUAGUCCUCUCAUGGGGUUUUAAAAUUCAUAAUACUCACCAUAUCAGCCUGGUUUUCAUUGUUACAAUGGAUGCAAUGUUUUCUUGAGGCUUUCUCCAUCCUCAGCUAAAUUUGACUUUAUCCCUCUCAGUAUUUUGCCUCUGUUUGAGCACUAUUUCUUGAGCAGAACUCCCUAUCAGUGUUCACUUGCCUUAGCACAUUUGUCAUGAAUUCUUUUUUUUCCCUAAUGUUACUAAAAUCCAGUUUUUAACGCGUGAUUCUCAUGGUAUCUCAAGGAGCAAUGAUAAGACCACCAUUCAAGUAUGAUUGUGUUGAUUUACACACUGGUUAGUUUCCACCCUCACCUUCUCCACUCUUCAGAGGCUUGGAGGAGGAAUAUGUCCCCCUAAGAUUUAUGGGGAACUGUUUUCAGAUGCCUUUGGUUAGUGGUUGACAGUGAUUCAAAUGGAGGAUGGAAUGAAGUAAGAGCAAAGCAUGACUUGUUUGUGCCAGUUUUCACGCUCGUUCUAUAGAGCCUUUUGCCUUCAAGGAAGCUGCACUGUCAAGGAUUCCAGUUGGUUAUUCACAGGACAUCCCAGCAAGUGCUUUCACUGGGUCCUUGGAACUCUGUGUCAUCCAAUAACCACACCUUCUGAAACUUCACAUUGUGUUAUUUUGACAGCAGCAUUUUUCAGAAGGCCCUCAUUUCUUUGAACUCCUCACCUGAGGGUGUCUUGAUUUAAAAGGGUGACUUGCGUUAUCCUGACAAUCUCACACAGCGUGAGAGGAAGUGGUGUGAGGCAGCUUUGUACUGUUUGGUCACUGCUUCUGAAAUUAGCCUUCAGCUCUUAGUGUCUGGAGUAUACAGUGUGAAAAGCAAGAGCUUAAGUAAACUGGAAACUUCAGCAUCUUGCAUACCUUUCCUAGUGAUUGGGGGUACAUGCACUUACAUUAUAAGACUGAAGAGUCUUUUUCUAUUAUUUGUAUAACUUUGCUUGACAAAUAAAAAACUUAAUGGUGAGAGGGUGCUUUUUUUUCACAUGUACCAGUUAAUAAUCAGAUGUCUAAGACCUGUCCAUACUGCAGUGAUCGCUUUUACAGGAUAACUAUCUCUUUAUUUUCUGGGUCUGUGGGUGCAUUUUUUUUUUAGAAACAUACACCUCACAUAACUGGCACAUGGACCUAGCUAUAAAAUUAAAUUUUAGUAUUGGCAUAAAUAUGAAUAAGAUUCCAGAUGUGGGGAAAGAGAAAGAGAAUGUGAAUGUGAGAAAAGAUAUUAAUCAUUGGAAGUGCCAGAGAAAAUUUAACCUGUAAAUUCAAGAAAUAAAAACCUUCACAUUGGAAAUCUUAGCAUGGUAAAUGUGCUUGGUAAGUGUAGGAUUAGAGAGCAGUAGACGCCCAUCCUGUAUAUAACGCAGGGUAAGAGAGAGUAAGAGGUCCCAAACCUAAGGGACUGAUUUGCAGGUUCCUGAUUGUAAAUACUGCCCCUGCCUUUCACAGGCUGACUGUUCUUAUCCAAAAUGUUUGGGACCAAAAAGUUGCAGAUUUUGGAAUUUUUAAGAGUUUGAACUACUUAUGUCCCUAAAUUGAAAAUCAAAAAUACUCCACAAACCAGAAUGUUUUAGAUGCUCAAAAAAUUUUGGAACAUUUUGGAUUUCAGAUUUAUAGAUUGAGGUGCUCAGCCUAUAUCUAGAGAAAGAUGCAUUUUAAAGGUUUGUGAUGGAGGAAAGUAUUUUUUCAAUCACAAGAUAAAAAGUUUAUUCUAUUAGAAUUACAACAUUAUAUUUUCUGAACCAGCAGUUUGUUGCUUGCAUAUGUAUAGUUGAGCUAUAAAGCUGUAAAUUUGGAUCGAUUUUAGGUAUAGGAUAACUAAAUUCAAACCAUUUUUAGUUGGAGAGAUUGUGGCCUUUAGUUUCCAUUAGUGGGGGGUGGGUAGAAAAAGGAUCCUUAAAGAAAUUGUCAUUUUCUGUUUACCUGAGUAGAUGCUGAGAAUGUCGUUUAUAUGCAUGUGUAUGGGUGCACUUGUUCAAAAAUGUGUAUUAAAUUUAAGAGCAGUGAAUUCACUGUCAGGUUGUCCUUAGCAACAGUAGCCUAGCCACCAAGCCAAUUUUAAGUAGCAAAACAUCAGUGUCCUUAAUUUUUUACUAAAAAAUACUAAUAUUUUACAGAAACCAUUUUUUCAAAUGUAAUUUGGAAUUAAAUGAGAAAUUUCCUUUUUAUACUACGGACAAGAUAUAUCCAAGUGACAGGGAGUGCUAUGUCAUGUAGUACUUGUUUCUUCUAUUUUUUUUAAAGAGAGAGAGAGAGAGAGAGAGAGAGAGAGAGAGAGAGAGAGAGAGAAUUUUAAUAUUUAUUUUUUAGUUUUCGGCAGACACAACAUCUUUGUUUGUAUGUGGUGCUAAGGAUUGAACUAGGGCCGCACGCAUGCCAGGCGAGUGUGCUACCGCUUGAGCCACAUCCCCAGCCCUAUUUUUUUUUAAAGGAAGUAUUGUGUGUUUUCUGUAAUGGCUGUGUUUAUUUAUACUCCCACCAACAGUAUCCAAGGGCUCACUUAUUAAUACACUCUUACUAAUAGUGGUUAUCUUUUGAAACUAGACUUCCUCACCGGGGCAAGGUGAUAUUUUUCUCAUGACUUUGGUCUACUUUUCCUUAAUGACUGGUGACAUUUAAUCUUUUUUCUCCUCCUGUACCUUAUCCAAAAUGUUGGGGACCAAGAGGUUUAACAUUUUUAUGUCAUCUUUGGAGAAAGUCUAUUCAGACCCUUUCUCAUUUUUCAGCCAUUGUAUUAUUUUAUUUUGCUUUGCUGUUGAUUUCAGUUUAUUUUACUUUAUAUCAUUGAUUAAUUUAUACUUGCAUAUAAACCCCUUAAUGGCUGGUGUGUAAAUAUUUUCUCUCAACUGGAGGCUGCCAUUUCAUUUAGCCAGUUAUUUCUUUGUUGUGAAGAAGUGUUUUAGUUCAUGUCAUCUCACUUGUUUAUAUGUGCUUUGAUUGCCUGAGCUUUUGGUGUGAUACUAAAACCAACAAAUGAAAAUUCAUUGCCAAUGCCAGUGUUAAUGAGAAUUUUUCCCAGUAUUUUCUUCUGAGUUCUUUCAUUUCAUAUUUUACAUGCAUGUUUUUUUUAAAAAAAAUAUUUAUUUAUUUAUUUUUUUGUUUUUUUUAAUUUGUUCUAAUUAUUUAUACCUGACAGUAGAAUGUAAUUUGACACUUUGUACACAAAUGGAGCACAACUUCUCAUUCCUCUGACUGUACAUGGUGCAGUCACACCAGUAGUGUGAUCCUACAUGUACACAGGGUAAUAACGUCUGUCUCAUUCUGCAGUCUUUCCCAUCUCCACAGCUCCACUCUCUCCUGACUCCCCUCUCUCCAAUCCAGAGUUCCUUUAUUCUUCCCUAUGCCCCCCAUUAUGGAUAAGCAUUCGCUUAUGGGAGAAAACAUUCGACCUUUGGGGGGUUUAGCUUAUUUCUCUUAGUAUGAUAUUUUCUAGCUCCAUCCAUUUACCUGCAUAUGCCAUAAUUUCAUUCUUCCUUAAGGCUGAGUAAUAUUCCAAUUCUGCAUAUGUACCACAUUUUCUUUAUUCAUUCAUGUCCUGAAGGGCAUCCAUAGUUUUGCUAUUGUGAAUUGAGCUGCUAUAAACAUUGAUGUGGCUGCAUCACUGUAGUAAGCUGAUUUUAAAUCCUUUGGGUACAGAUAAAGGAGUGGGUCAAAUGUUGGUUCCAUUCCAAGUUUACUGAGGAAUUUCCACACUGGGUUUCCAUAAUGGUUCCACCAGUUUGCAGUUCCACUAGCAAUGUAUAUGUGUACAUUUUUCCCCAUAUCCUUGCCAACACUUAUUAUUGCUUGUGUUCUUGAUAAUUGCCAUUCUGACUAGAGUGAGAUGAAAUCUUAGAGUUAUUUUGAUUUGCAUUUCUCUAAUUGCUCUUGAAGGUGACUAUUUUUUCAUAUGUUUGUUGAUUGAUUGUAUUUCUUCUUCUGUGAAGUGUCUGGUCAGUUCCUUAGCCCAUUUAUUAAUUUUUUUUUAUUGUUGUUGUUACUGGGGAUUGAACUCAGGGUCACUCAAUCACUGAGCCACAUCCCCAGCCCUUUUUUGUAUUUUAUUUGGAGACAAGGUCUCAUUGAGUUGCUUAGAGCCUCACUGUUGCUGAGACUGGCUUUGAACUCAUGAUCCUCCUGCCUCAGCUUCUUGAGCCACUAGGAUUAGGUUAUUUAUUUUUUUGGUGUUAUGUUUUUUCAGUUCUUCUUUUUUUUUUUUUUUUUUUUUUUUUNUUGUGCGGUGAGAGAUAGAGGUUUAGUUUCAUUUUGCUACAUAUGGAUUUCUAGUUUUCUCAGCACCAUUUGUUGAAUAGGCUACUUUUCUCCAAUGUAUGUUUUUGGCGAUUCAUUUUUUUAAUCAAUUAUUUUCAGUUUAGGGAUCUUUCUUUAACCAUUCCAUUAGGACAGGUGUGACACAAUUUUUUUUUCAGUUUUUCUUCAUCUGAGAAUUUAUUGAUUUCCCUUCAUUUCUGUGGGUCUUUGGCUGGUUUUGCAGUGCUGGAUUUGACAGUACUGAUUUUACAGCACUUGAAAAAUAUGCCACUUCCUCCUAGCCACCAAGGUUUCUAAUGAGAAACUUGUUGUUGCUCUAAUUGUUUUACCUAUGUGUGUCUUACCAUUGUUUUCCUCACUACUAUCAAGAUUUUUUUCUUUGUUUUUCAUUUUUAGAAGUUUGACUGUGAUGUGUCUUGGUACCGACUUCUUUGGGUUUAUCUUUCUAGGGAUUACUCUGUAUUUUAGGCCUCCAGAAUUAUGUAUUUUGUUAAGUUUGCAUUUUCAUUUAUUAUUUCUUUGAGUAUUUCUUCAGCCCCUCUCUCGUCUCUUUCAAGAGCUCUGAGCCAUGAUGAGGACAUGGCUUUGUUUUAGUCACAUAAACCGUGAGGCUCUGAUUAUUAUUAUUUUUUUUAAGCAUAAUUGCACUUUGCCAUUCAGAUUGUGUGUUUUGUAUUGCUCUAUGUUCAGAUAAACGGAUUCUAAUCUCUUUUCCUCCAUUCUGCUCUUGAACUCUUUCAUUGGUUUUUUUUUUCAGAUCUUGUAUUUUUCAGUGCUAGAUUUCCAUUUGAUUCAUAUUUUUAAUUUCUUUGUUGAGACAUCCUAUUUCUUUGCUAAUAAGGACUUCUCAUUUUCAUUUAAUUAUGAGCAUAACUACUCACUGAAACAUUUUUUCAUGACCACUUCAAAAUUUUUGUCAGAUAAUUCUAACAUCUCUCUUGUCUUAGAGUUGGGAUUGAUUUCGUUUUAUUUUUUUUCAUUCAGUUUGAGAUCUUAGUUGUUUUUUUCUUUUUUCUUUUUUUUUGCUAAGAGCCAUAGCCAAGUAGGAAUGACGCAUGGCAAUUUCCUUGUCAGCCUACCCAAUGUUGCUUAGAGGGAGGACUCUAUUGUGGAAAUGGGCUUGCCUUGGACCCAGGUCAUUUGCAGUGACAUUGCUUGAAAGGUGACCCUGCUCAAGGACCAGGGCGGAUCUGGUUUAGGGCGGUUCCAGGUUUAGGGUGUGGAUCCUGCUGGGAAUAGGGCGUAUCCUGCUGCCUCAGGCGCCCGCUCCUUGGGUUCCCGUUGAGUUCUCCUGGGAUUCAGAGAGUAUUUGGGAUGCAGAGCCCGGUGGAGGUGAAAGAUUUUCCCAGAACGUGCGUUUAGAGUGCCGGGGACAGUUCGAGAAUAAAGAGUUGCUGUUUGAAUCUACAAGGUGUGUGGUGGCUAGGUUAUUUUGUGCCCAGCCAGACUGCGGCAUUUUUGCAUGACAAGUGGUUUGCUUUUUUAUUUAUUUGCUUAUUUUUUUGACUGAUAUCUGGACCUUUGGGGUAUUGUAUUAGGGACCUUGGUUCUUAUUUAAACCUUCUGCUUUUUCUGGCUUCUGCAUACACUCCUUCAGCAAGGGGAUGGAGGGGAAGGCCAGUCUCAUGUCAGUUGAGGGAACUAGUCCAGUUUCCCCAUCAGCCUCCAUUGACAAGGAGGUAGGGGACUUUUGAUUAUUGCUGGGCAAGUUUAGAAGUCCAGGCUCCCUAGGAGAAUCUCUACUGCUAUCCCAUUGCAUAGGAAGGGAAGGAGUGUUUUGUUAUUGUUGCUUGUGUGGCCUCCAUUGACAUAAGGGGUGAAUAUCCCCAUUACCCUGAGUGAGGCUGAAAAUCCUGUCUCUCUAGAUAUGCUCUGACACUGCCCCAGCAGAGGGUCCUGGGUUCAAGUCUUUGCACCAUUAAUGUCAUUUAUAAGUGGAAGUCCAGGCUUCCCAGUGUGUGUCUAUUUACACCGUGGGACCCAGGGGGCUUUCUGUGGCCUUUUCUGAUACCUCUUCUUAUAUUGGAAUAUCUCCUCUUAGCCACCCAACUGUGGAAAUUUAGAAUAGAAAAUACUGGGCAUAGCCCUGGAGACUUCAAAUAUUCACUCCUUUUACAAACAAACGUGUAGUAUGAAAGCAGCCAAAAAAAUGUGUGUGAUAGCUGGACAUAUGGGGUAUGGGAUCAAAGGAGGAGUGUUCUUUGUUUUAUUUUAAAACAUGGCUAGAGCUAAUGUGUGUUUACAUUCUGAGGACAUCUGUGUUGUUUAAGAGGGUAAAGUGAGGCUGCCCUCGAAUGACUUGGACCAUGCAUUCUGGAUCCCCCACCCACUGCAUUCGUCUUCACAGUUGGAUUCGGGGCCUUCCAGAAUAGGGAAUGUGAUUAAAUCCUUGUUCCUUGGCACACACACAGUUACUUUCUUCAUUUUCUUUUCUUGGCUUGCCAUGGCAGUGAACCCUGCAGGGCCUGGAGCAUUAUAAGCCUAACCAAAUGCUGUGAUUGUAGGUAGGUGGCAAGUACACUUCAUGGAAGCUUCUCAUGUUGAAAACCUAGGAAAAAAGCCUCCGGUGUCACCAAGAUUCUUAGAAUAUCGACUCUGGCAUUUCUAAACUUAAAUUACCUGCAACCUGGGUUACUUAGUUUAAAUCCAUAAAAGCUUGAGAUAUUGUGUUUAUACUGGAACAUUUUCGUGUCAGAUUUUAAAAGUACUGAUUUCUUAAUACCUUUUGUAGUGGGGUGUUAUGUAAUAACAAAAUUUUCAGCUCAAAGAGAAAUUCAUUAUAGAAUAUUACCUAUCUAGAUGUAAGUGCAAUUGCUCUACAAUGUGAACUUUAGAAACCUGAGGUUGGGAAUAUGGGAUGGAGCCUGAGGAAGCUGGAUGAACAAAGAAACUAUUGUAGAUAGACCUAACCACACAUUUUAGGCAUUGUUUAUAGAUUUUAAAAAAUAGUUGUGUUUACAUGUAGGUCCACUCAUAAUUUUCAUAUAGAUGUAGAUGCCAUUAUGACGAAAUGCAAAAUCACUUAAAAGUGAAUCCAUGCUUCUUUUGCUUACCAGGUGUUUGCUAAUCAAAGACACAAAAGAAACAAAACCACUAGUGCAUGAAAAUGUUUAAAGAUCAGGAAUCAUUGUUAAGCAAUUCUAGAGUUGCUUCAAAAAAUAUAAGUGGUGUGUUUAACUAAAGGGUUACGAGUGAUGUUGCGUCCAAAGUACACAACCCUGUGUGAGUGCAAACCUCAGUGCAAGUGUAUUUAAAAAAAGGCACCAGCAAUUCCAAAGGUUUCUCUAAGUGAUGUUCAGCUGAUUAAAAAAGAAAAAAAAAAUGGUUCCAUCUGUUACUUUCUAUUCCUAACAAAAGAGAGGAAAAAAAGGAGAUCAUUUUGAUCAAUGUCCUUUUAAUUCUUAGACUUGGUAUAAAAUAAAUCACAGUGUUAUGGCAAUUCAUUUAUAGAGGUUAAAGUGAUAUGUUGUGUCUUUUGGUGGUAACAUGGAUUUCACUUGCUGAGCGCCUGGGACUUUGAUUUGCCAUAUUACCUGCUGUGGCUUAAGUGAUGCAAAAUAAUUAUUGGGGCUUCCAUGUCACAGUGGCCUAUUCCACACUUGUACCCUUUUGUUGGGAGCCCGACAGGGAUGCUGGAUGUGAGGUCUCCACUGAAUAGACAUCCUCUCUGAGUAGUCCUCCUACACAGGAUUGAUUUAUGGACAUAUCAGGCUCUUUGUUAGCAUGUAAACCCCUAAUUAAUUUAAAGCCCUCUGUAGAGAAAUUAAACUCCUAGUUAAGAUUUUUAACAGACUCAGAUGGUACUAAUAAUGGAGAAGCAAAUCCUAUGAAUGGAUUUACCAUGGUCGCUGGUGUUCAUCCUUCACAAUGAAGGUUGGUGUUUGGAGCUGAGUGUGUACCUCAAAUAAAGAAUGGGCUGUCAGAAAAUCAUUCCGUUGUGGCUCCUAACCCAAUUAGGCUUAUCAUUUGAGUUCUAGCUUCCCAUCUGUGGGGAAGGAAGACAGACAGAGGCAGACAUGGAGCAAGAGAGAGGAUGAGGGAAAGAGGAAAACCUGUAUGGAUUAUACAAUCAUCAAAAGUUUUCUUUCAUCUAGUGACUCCAAGUCAAAUAUCUACUACCGGAAUUGGUCUUGGUGUAGGUAGAGUAGACAAAUCAUGGCAGUUCUUAGAACUGUUUUUGUGUAAAAAUGGAUAAAAGGCCCGAAUGCUGGAAAUUAACCCCACAAAAUUCAGUCAUUUCAAGUUGUUGUAAACAAUGAAUUCAAAAUAGUUUAGGGAUCUAAAUGUAAUAAAUGAACCUAUUUGAGUAUCAGAAGUAAAGAAAGAUGAAUUCCUUUUUAAGGCUUUGAUAUGACUAAAAAUCCAGAUGCAGUAAAAAAAAACUGAUAUAUUUCAUGUGAAAAUUAGUAUUUUUUUGUAUGCAGAAAAUAUACAAAGACACUUGGGAAACUCUGGGAUAAAAUAUUUGCAACAUGUAUCACAGCAGAGCAGUAAUAUAUAUACCAUAGCAAAAGAAAAAUAAUAUUUAAAAUUGAAGGGCAAAAGGCCAAAAAAAAAAAAAAAACAAUGGAAAGGGGGAAGUGGAUAUGCACAUACAAUUUCCAAAAUGAUAUUAAAAUGACCCUUGAGCAUAUGGGAAAAUAUCCAAGCUCAAGCCUAACUAGAGAACAGCAAAUUAAAACACCUCUGAGAUGCCAUUGACAGCAGAGAUACCAUUCUUCUGCUAUCAGACUGGUGAACACAAGAUAAUACUACAACUCACACUACUGGUGAAGUUGCAAGGAUACAGACAAUCUCCCAUAUUACUGGAAACAUUGCAGAUUGGUGCAAUUCUUUGGGAAAAUUUGAUACUAACAAAAUGCAUAUGCACUUACCUUUGGAUUUAGCAAUCUCAAUUCUAGAAAUGUACACGGAUGAUGCAUCUGAAAAAUAUAGGGUACAUGUAUAAAUCAUUUAUUGUAGCAUUUUUUUUAUAAUUGCAAAAUAUUGGAAUGAACCCAAAUGCUCACACAUAGGAGACUGGUUGAAUAAACUAUAUUACAUAAAAACAAUGGAAUCCUAUGCAGUUGGUAAAAAGAAUAUAUAAACAUUUUGUGUGGUUCUGACUUUUAGAAUCAUAAUGUUUCACAUACCUUCUGCAAACUCCAAAAAUCAAAUAAUUAAAACAAAUCAGGAUAUAUGGGAAACCUAAAAUGAAUUACAGACAAUAACAGACAUUAUACCUAUAUAGUAUAUGUAAUAUUAGUGUAGAUUCAUAAUAAAGUGAAGGAAGUGGGAGAAGAAUCAACCUAAGUAACUAAAAAUAGUUCUUUGGAUGCUGCUAAGGCUAAUGAUAAAAACUUGUGCAUUAAGGUUGUAAUUUAGUAAUAAAGGUGUUUCUCAAGAAUAUGAGCUAAGAAUUGAGAAGCUCCCUCAUCUAUUAGAAUUAAAGCACUAUAUUGUAGAUAAUUAUAGAUUAUAGGAGGUGGUUUUGUUAUGUGGUGCAGGAAUAGAACCCAGAGCUUAUGUAGACUAGGCAGGUAACUGCUGUAUGACUGAGCCAUACCCCAGCCCUGAGAGCCGGGUUGUUAUUGUUGGAAAAAGAAGUUUUAAGUAACAACAACAAAAAAAGAAUGCUAAAUUGAAUUUGUGGUUUCAGGUUGGGAUCAGAGUUAUGGCUAAGAACUUAUGUUUAUGCUUAUGUAUAUACACAUACAGAUACACACAGUUAUAUGCUCAACAUAUAAUGCAUAUAAACACACCAAGAUGAUGUAUACAGAAAUAAAGAUAUGAUGUAUAUGUGUAGGUUACUACAUAUACACAGAUUUCCUAGUUCCAUCCUCUGGAAGGUCUUAAAGUGGUGACAAUCCAGUCACAGCGAGAACAGCUAGAACCCAGAUCGUGGCUUCUAAACACCUUUAUACAAAAAAUGAUUGCAGGCUCUUUGAAGAAGUGGCAGAGUCCAAAGCCAGAAAAGAAGGAAGGAAGAGGAAGGAAGUUACAAUGUUUUAUUGUGCUAGAGAGUAAGAAUAUGCCCUCCAAAAGGUGGAGAUUCUGUAAAAGAAGACAAAAUCCAACCUAAAGUAGCCCUUAAUUGAUCAAAGCUGGAAUAAUCUGAGCAACAACAACAAAAUAACUCCAGCAAUGGAUUUUAAUGAAUAGAAUAAAAUAAAUAUCUAUAAGUCCAUACUGAUAGAGAUGCCAAAAUGAGCAGUUUGAAAAAUAGAAUUUGCCUGUUCCCAAAGUAUUUUAUCCAAGAUAUGUAUUAAAUAUAAAAUCUUUAUGGUAGAAAAUCCUGGCAGACCCUACCUCAAUUCAGUGAUCCAAAUAAACAUUUCAGGUAUUAAGGCAUGAUAGCAUGAUGAACCUUUUAAUAUGAUGCACUGAUUUUUUUCUUUGUACUAUAAUUGCCUGAAAUGCAUAGUUUUGUUCCAGUAACUAGAAAAAAUAUUAAAAACACAGAGGAUUAUUAUAUUAAGGUCAUAGAAGUUAAGGAAGAAAGAUAGAGGAACUGCUACAUCUUAGAAGACAUGAAGGAGAUGUGACUGUAAAUGUAGCAUAGGACCCAGUGUCUGAUCAUGGAAAAAUGAGUAGAAAAAUGGUGAAAUUCAAAUGUGUUCUUUAGUCACAUAUGUGUGUUUUUCUGUCUAGUGAUGGAACUGGGGGUCUUGUGAAUGUUAAGUUAGUGUUCUGCCAUUGAGCUACAUCCCCAACCUUCCGCUCUUCAGUUUAGUUAAUGGUAUUGUAUGAGGUCAGUUAUAUGCAUUUUUUUAGUCACUGGGGGGAAAACGUUGUUUGUAUUUUCCUGUCUUCUCUGCACUCCCUUUACCCCUUCUGCCAGGUCCCAAAUUGAUUUGAGAAUAUGUCAUUUAUAGGUAUGCUGGUGUCUUAAUUUUUAACAAAUCAGUCUUAUAUUGGAUAUUGUUAAAGAAAAGCUAGAGCUAGGGCCUGCAGUUGUAGCUCAGGGGUAGAGCACCUGCCUAACACGUUCCAUCCUCAGUACCACAUAAAAUAAAUAAAUAAAGUGAAAGUAUUGUGUCCAUCUACAACUAAAAAAAUAAAAAUAAAAAAAGCAAAUCUAGAGCUAGACAGUGGAGAAAGUGGGAAAACAAAUUUUAUCCAGGACUGUUGCAGUAUGGGGAAAGAGACCUCUGUAGAGAGCUGGUUCAAUUCUGAACAAUGCAACAAGGAGAGAAGGUAAUUUAUAGCCAAGGAGUAAGAUCUGAGGUUGGGGAUUGGGAGGAUAGUAAGGGAGGGUUCUAAGCCAACCCUAUUGGAUUCUUACUAGAGGCAGGCCAGGGGGGUUAUCCUGGGGGAUGGCAGAAGAUGAGGAAGCUCACCAGAUAUGGAGGAUAGCCAGAUGUUGAGGAUGGGAUUCUGUCUAACUGACUUAGCAGGAUUUUUACUGAAUUUAAACAAUAGGGAUGAACAUAGCAGCCCACAAGUCAGGGCUUGGUUAAGAAGAAAAUCAGAAUAGCCUGAAUAAUGUCUAGUCAAGGAGAGACUCUGUGUCAGUAUGAAUAAUAUUUCCAAAUCCAUUUCCUUUCUUCCAGCUCCCCCCAGAGUUAUAGUAUGCCUCUUUAAAUGAAAGAAUAGAAUGAGCACUAACCCAAAUUGUCCUUGACAAUGUCUCACCCCAAAUUUCUGCCACCCCCAGAUUUAGAAAGUUUAUCUAAUCUUCAUAGGGGAGGGUGUCCUCAGAAUCCAAACAGUAGCAACUGGGCUUCAGUUGGUUGCUUCUGGCAUAAAGGUGCAGCCUUACAUUUUCCUGAACCUUAUGUAUAGCAGCGCAGUUCAUCACGCCUUGUUCUUGAAGUCCUUUAUAAAGAUAUGAUAAAUCUGGGCUACAGCCUCCAGCAAGUGGCAGGAUUUGUGAUGCACAAACAUUGGGGUCAUUCAGGAGUGAAUAUAACUUAGCAAUCAAUGAAGUGUUAAGACACAAUAUGUGGGAGUCUAAAUGGGCUCUUCUGUUUGGAGUAUUAGGGUUUUUGUUGUUGUUGUUUGUUUGUUUGUUUAACCAUUUCUUAGGCUUCUAUAAUCUUCAGCCUAUUAGGACUGAUUUAAAAAGCAGUAUAUCUAUGCAUCACCAAUAUGCAAAUUUGUUCUGCUUCUGUAUUUAUUGACACAUAAGUUAUGUGACACCAUCCUUAAGAUUGCCUACAUUUUUGGCUUAAUGACAAAUACAUAGUUGGAGCUCAAGUCCUCCCUCCCCCUUUUUCUAGUAAACAAAUGUUUUCAGAGUUCAAAGUCUUCAUAGAACUCACGGGUAUGUAUUAAAAGAUAAUUUUAAUGCUGAAGGUUUGACCUCAUGAAAAAUCAAGAUGUUAAAUAAGCAUGUUUUAUUUACUUAUUCCUGUUCCUUGUUAAUCAUAAUUUUUCAAAGCAGUUUUUAGUUUUUUCUCUGUUACUAUAUCCAUGGACACAUUUAUCAGCAUGAUUUCCUUUUAAAAGAGUCAGGGAUCAGAGAACAAUUUCUGUUAUUUAAAGAAAGACUGAGUUAUUUUAAUCCCAAAUGCCUCCUUUAAACAUAAUCUUUGGAGAAUGCCUUUUGUUAGUGUCUCUAUUUCUUUAUUUCAAUGCAGGGUUUCUCUUUUUCAUCUCUUGUUGCUGUAUUUCAGUUCUUGAUCUUUUCACCGGUGAGCCAGAGUGGCAGAAUACGAGAACCAGGAUGGAUCUGUUGUUGUGGGCUCACUUGUUAGAGGAAUUGCAUUGAAUUGUAUAUUGGGAGAGCCAGAGGCUAAGCCCCUGGUCUCCUGUACAGUUGAUUUUAUUAUUGAUUUAGGAUUUCCACCAGAAGAGGGAGCCACAUUCAUUAAAAUAACAUCCAUAAUCCAAGUUGCAUUCUUUCUUUUCUCAGCAAGUUCCAGAUGGAAUGCAUGUGACAUCAUGCUCCAAGCAUGCUGGAACCAGGCCUUUCUUUGGGGUGGGAGGGGGGCUGCCACAGAGACCACCACCAAAAGUUUGAGGCCUAGAGGAUACUUUAGGCUCUGUAGUGGGUCUGCAUGUUCUAAUUCUUUUCACUAUGAAAACAACAAAACGCAAAUGAAAACAACAAUCCAAAAACUUUCUGCUUAUUCUCCAAAGCCCACCUUUCUACUCAGCUGGGGAUCAUAUUUGUGCUGGAUUAAAAGGAUUGGAUCUUUGAUUAAGCAUGUAAUAGCUUACUUCUAUUUGUCAUGCCACAAAAACAACUGUCUCCAUUUUGUGGGAUAAAUGUCACAGUAUGAAUAAUAGAUUGUUACUUUUGUGUUAUAAUUUGAAGAUACCUUCAAAAGCUCCCCACCUCAGAAUGCUCCCUUUAUCUCUCCAUGUAUCCGCCCAAGUGUAUAGAAGUCCAGCAUGAACACUUAAUUCAUUUGCAUUGUUACAUUUAGCUUCACAAAGUCUUAAGAUUGUAAGUAAUUCCAGCAUGAUCAUGUGUUGGUUUGUCAUGAGCCAUUUAAGGACAUGUCCUAGGUGAGCUAAUUAGAUAGGCAAGCCUAUCACCUGAGUGACUAACCGGAGAGAUGGUUGUUUGGAAGAGGACAGGGGAGUUUAUUCCUAUGGCAUGCCUGAGAAAGUGGAUCUGCACAUAGACUACAUUGAUAAGUAUCUUGGGGCCAAAAAAGCAUAAAUAAAGCGAGGCCUCACCACAGACAACAUGGAAAGGAAAUACAGACAAGAAUACAGAUGGCUUUACCCACUGCACCCAUUGGUCUCAACAGAGUCCUGUCUAUAACUUGCAUAAAAUUAUGGCCAGGACAUGGACAGAAUUCUAGAGUGGGAUAUUAGCAAUUCCUUCCCCAUAUUUCUUUCCUGAUAUAAAAAUUUGUAGGUGAUGAUGUUGAAUACAGAAAUCCACAAAGGUAGAGGUGAUAAAAGGACGGGGGGAUACUAGAUGUCACUGGGCAAACUAUCUUGUUCUAUUCAGUCAUCAUGGGCUUUUUGUUUGGUUUGUUUUGGUUUGUUUAUUUUGAUAAUGGAGAUUGAACCCAGGGGUGCUUAACCACUAAGCCACCUCCCCAGCUCUAUUUAUUUAUUUAUUUACUGAGACAGCAUCUAGCUAAGUUGCUUAGGUCCUUGCUAAAUUUCUGAGGCUGGCUUUGAACUUGUAAUCUUCCUGUUUCAGCCCACCACAUUGCUGAGAUUAUAGGUGUGUGCCACUAUGAUCAGUAAUUUGCAUGCUUUUUUUUUUUUAGCCCAUAGAUGAGAGCAUCCAUAAUAUCCUAUGGGUGAUGGUGACAAACCCUCAUAUUUGUGGAACACCUUGUCUGUACAAGCUCUUUACAGUGCCUCCAGAGGUAGCUAUUAUUAGCACAUCAUUGUACUGGUUUAGGGAAGCUAAAUAACUUGCCCCAAGUAUCACAGCUGGGAUGAUGCAGAGUUGAUUUUUGAACACUACCCAUUCACAGACACCAAUUACCAGCCAUUAUACAAUACUUCCUUCCAUCCUAACAAAUAGCCCCAAAGCAAUAUUACACAUUUUCCCUUAAAAAUGACUGUACUAGCUAUGUAAGGUGGCAGACGCCUGCAAUCCCAGCUGCUUGGGAGACUGAGGCAGGAGUAUCACAAGUUCAGUCAGACUUAGCAACUUAGUGAGACUCUAUCUCAAAAUAUAAAAGCAAAGGCCCUAGGGUUGUGGCUCAGUGGUUGAGUCUAGUCAUAUACUGAACUCUUGAUUCAAUAUAUGAAUAUUGUCCUUCUGACCAUUUUUGAAAGAUUUGCUUUUGUAUGGGUCACUGAGAAUUACAGAAUAUAAUAUUAUUCCUAUAAUUAAAUUAUUUAAAAAUGUAUCAUAUAAGGUAAAAAAAAAUAUCUCAAAGUCAGGGUCUGAUGGUUGCUGUUUCUUUGUACUGUAAGUUAGGAAUACAGUAAAUUUUUGGCAUCUACUUGUUUUCUGCUUCAGCCAACAACCCUAAGUUGCAUAGUGAUCCCUUUUGCCUUAUGCUUAAACGGUUAAUGCCUAAUUGUGUUAGCAAUUUUCCGUUACCUCUCAUCUCUGCCAGGUUCAUUUCAUAUCACAUGGGUUCUUCCACUAAAGAAAUGCAAUUGCAAUUUUUUUUAAGUGGAAACAGAUGGAUUUCCAUUGCUUGAGGUAGGUCUGUUGUGGGGAGCUGGCCUCACGUGUGUGUGGGUGUGGGCUCGCCACACACACUAAUAACCAUGAAUGGGAGCCACUUUUAUGUAAGCACAUGGGGCUCAGCAAUCCUGAUAACUCUCAUCAGAAGUCCCUGCAGGCAGCCAGUAGAGUUUGCAUGCUUACAGCUGCAGUCCUGGGUUAAUGUUGUCACAAAAGGGAAGCUGUGUAUAAGCACUGAUAAAAGAUGGCAGAAACACUCUGUGAGAGGAAAAGAUACGACAAACCCUCUAGCUGUUAUGUCAGUAAAGCUCCACCAUCCCCUGGGUGAGUUUCCUUGAAAGGCAAACAGAUGCAUUGCUUCGUCUGUGCAAUUGGACCUAAUUGGGAAAGAAAAGAUUUCCAUUUUGAUUAGUAGGAGGAAGAUUUACUGUAGUAUGUCUCUUGGAGAUUUCAAGACUGGGUGCUGGUGAAAUUCUAGAAACAGAGCAGUGAACAGGAACAGGGUUUGAUACGUUGCUCUCCUGUUCAAUUCAGUGAACUUCAGCAUUUCAAGGUCAAGUCCAGAGCUGUCAGGAAGACUUCUUCAAAACUUACUUCGUGAUGUCUAUCACGUAUCUGUUGUUACUGACAGAUGCUGGCAUAUUUUUCUGGAAGUCACCCUUAUUCUGGGUUGCUGGAUUCAGGUUUGUUCUAUAACGUGACAAGUAUAUUGAUAGACAAUGGAGAUGGGAAUGAGUAGAGUUGUCCCUGAGCUCAGGGACUCCUGGGAGACAGGGACAGCAAGUCCAUUUGCUGUGCAGCUUUUAGGAGAGGGAAAGUGUACACUGUCCAUGGUGCCAAGAGGCAGUACUGGAGCUGAGUCAGCACUUCUACCCCACAGUGAGAAAUCUACUUUCUAUUGGAGAAGUAGUUUUAGUCUCUCUGCUCUGAAAACUAAAUCAUGAACAUAAGCAACAGAAUAAACAACAACAACCUAUAAAAAUCAAAGACAAUGUUUUUGACUGAAUAGUAAAUGUGGAUAAUAAAAAUUGGUGUGUUUUAUCUCAAAUAUUUUCUGCUGACAAGGAAGGGGGAGAAACUGUGUCUUUGGUCCCAGCUUAUAGUUUCCAAGUUCCUUUUAGGGAUUGGAUGAAUUUAUAGCAAACUAACCAAAAUCAGUGAUUCUCUAACUCAAAAGAGGAAAUAGACACUCCAGAAAGUCUGGCAAGUGAAGGAGGAGGAGAGAACCAGGCACUGGAAAGGUCAACUCCAAGGCAUAAUAGACCUUUUCUACCAAGCAUUGCUUUUAAAACCCCAUUGGUGCCAGGCGAGGUGGUGCAUGCCUAUAAUCCCAGCGAUUUGGGAGGCUGAGGCAGGAGGAUCCUGAGUUCAAAGUCAGCCUCAGCAAAAGUGAGGCGCAAAGCAACUCAGUGAGAUUCUGUCUGUAAAUAAAAUAUUAAAAGGGCUGGGGAAUGUGACUCAGUGGUUGCGUACCCCUGAGUUCAAUCCCCAGUACCCCCCUCCCCCCACAAAAAAAAUCACAUUGGUAUUGAGAAUCCCUAUAACAAAAGGGAGCACAUAAAUGUUUCAGGGAUCUUUGUAAGAAAUAUGUGGAGAUUAAUCCAUUAAGAAAAUGGUGGUUUUUUUUUUUUUAAACUUGGUGUUAUGGUACUCUUUAGAAAGUAAUAUUCAAGUAAGAUUUUUUGAUCAUGAAACUUCAUUAGUCGAAGCUUCCUCUUGCAAAAAUAGUUUGACAAAACUUCUAAAUCAAGGAACAUGGCUUAAUAGUGACUAAGUGCAUGGCCUGGAGAACCAUGUUGUCAGUUGAGCCCCCACUCCAGCUUUGUAAUGUUGAAUACAUAAUUGACCAGGCAUGGACUUAUUAAUUUGGAAAGUGGGAAUGCUAACUUGCUAUUACCAAGUUCUAAGGUCACUGUGAGGAUUAAAUAAGUUGCUGUACAUAUAUAAAGCACUUGAAAUAGGGCCUUGCAAGUAGUAUGUACAAUAUUAAAAUUAUCUGUUUAUAUUAUAUUAUCGCUAUUGUGAUGUGGCUUUAGAGCUGACUUAAUGAAUCAGAUCAUAUCUUUAUAGUUAUCAUGGGCAGGUGUGAAGCUGGACAGAGGAUGGGAGAAGGACCGCAUAGCAGGGAGAUACACCACGAGUAAGAAGAAAAUUCUUUCACGGAAAAUAGGAUUUUCAACACUAGAGGUCAUAUGUUCAAAUAUUAUCUUACAAAUAACUAAAGCCCCAAAGUACUUGAUUUGUACAAGGCAGCCUGGUUAAUCCACACCAAAGCUAAAACUGCAAGCUGAUUCCUGUUUUGUGCUUUGAUCCUGGGUAUCAUGUUGCAGGGAAGGAAGAACAGUUGAUUCUUCCUUCAGGAAUCAGGAGCCCUGAGCCCAUUGCUUAGCUUCAUUAGCUAGUCCUUGAAGCAAACCCCUUCACCUCUAAUAUGUUACUCUUCAAGAAUUAUUUUCUCAUUUGUAAAGUAUUGAGGCUUUUUCUACUACCUACCCUGCCGGGUUGGGGAAUCAAAUAUGUUAACACAGCUUAUAGGCUCUGAAGAACUCUGCAAAUGUAAGUUGUUGUUGCAUCAUCACCAUGCAAUAAUUUAAAAAUGACCCAUGCUGGGAGUGUUCUUAAUGAUGGCAAAGACAUGAUUUAGUAAUGAUUUAUUUUAGAUUAUUAAAUAAUAACUAGAUUAUUGGGCUAAUUUCAACCCCAGAGUGAGAUUGAGAUGAAUGGGCCGACCCGGUUAGGCCAUGUUUUUUUCAAGUUACCCUGUUUCAUCCAUGUACCAAGUAUCAUCACAUAAAAGUUUUAUUCUAACAAAAGGACUUAAGUUUUUAUCACAUACAUCUCUAUUGCUCCUACGUAAGUGGAUAUCUGAGAGAGGCUGAAGUUCAGAGGAUUUUAUUUUUUAAUUAAAAGCCACAACCCAUUAAUCUUAAAACCUGGAAGGUGCUGGAGUCCCAGGAAAGUAUUUGAGCUUCCUCAGUUUUAAUGUGGAAAUGUUUAAUUUACUUAGGAUUCAAGUUAGUGCUGCUUAAUUCCGAGACAGUACCAAGUUCAGUAAUCUUGUCAUCUAGAAUGCAGCCUGCUAAUCAUAAACCCUCUCAAAAGGAAACAGGUAAGGUUGACUGCCUGAAGCUGCAAAAAAAAAAAAAAAAGAAAAAAAGAAAAAAAAGCACACGGUAAAUCACAAACUGAAGGAAUGUCAGCCACCUAAAACCAGAUUUCAAGUUUAAAGCUUUUUUUGUAGUUGUAGUUCGGUUCUUCAGUUUAGUAUGUGAUGAAUUUUAAAGAGAUUCAAGACUAUGCCGAAAUGAAAGACAUUUUAUAGCUUCGAUAAUGUGAGCUAUUCUCUAAACUUAGGGAUUUUUAAAUAUAAAAGUGAUUAACAUCAAACAGGAAUGAAACAUUCUUCAUUAUCCGUCUGUGUAUGUGUGUAUGUGUUUAAAUUUAAGAUAGAGGAAAUUACCCUAGGGCAAGAAUACAAAAGACAACAGGGAAAAGUUAAAUACAGACAGACCUUCAUCUGAGCACUAUUGAGAAGGACAAAAAGUAAGUAAUAUAAAUGACCUGAACCCAAGACAUUGAUUAAUUAAAAGAUAUUAUAGCUAGCCUAUGAACUAUAAUGGAGCCAUUUACAUUUUUGUGAAGACCCUGAAACACACACACAAAAAAUUACUUAUGGUAGAAUGUUGAACAAGAUAUCAAAUUGUCUGCAAAUUAUGAUUACAUCUCUUUAAAGUGUGAGCAGACAAAAUGACUGAUAGGAUAUUACAUUAAAAUAAUGACUUUAUUGACUAGUUUCUUCAAUUUCAGGGUUCCUUCUUAAAAGGUUCCUCUCCCAAUUCUUUACAUGGGGACUCCUUGCUGCCUUCUGUUCUGUCUGAAGGUGCUGCCUCCUCCAGGAGGCCUUCCCUGAUAGGCCCCACUCAUUACUUCCACCACAGUGGCCCAUUUAAAUUCCCAGAACAUUUUCCUCAGUUUGUCUGCUAUCCUCUGAGAACAAAGGCAACAUCUCUUACACCAACUGUGCAGCACUAUAGACAGCACUCAGGCACUCACCACCUUUGCUGACUGGCAAGUGUUAAUGGAAUUAACCUCUAAAAUAAUGAAAGUUUUUGAUAUACACUGAUGUGAAAAGUUGACCACUAAAUGAAAUCUGUUGAUGAUAGUGGAGAAUCUUCCUUUCAUGAGAACAAGAGAUGUAGUUUCUCAUAGGGUACCUAAGGAGCCAACUGGUGAUCAGAAGGUGACUUGGUAGAAAUGGUAUCCAGUCCCUUGUACUUUGAUGACACCAGAGAGCAUCUGUGUUUCACAGCCCAAGCUUAAACACAUGAGAGCCAAGAUCUCCUUGAUGUCUGCACUAGCGACUCUGCACAUGUGAGUUCCAACUUCUGGUCAUCUCUGGUUCCUGUGUUCCGGCAGAGUCAGUCUGCUUCUCUCCUAAUGGCUCCAGAUGAGCCGCUCUACAAUGUGGUUUUACAUUGCACAGGUGUACCAUGAUUUAGUCUUUCUAAUAGAAAUUUGACUUACUUCUACAAAAAUAAUGACGCUGAUGAUACUUAUAAGAGUUUCUUGGAACACUGCUAUAAAAAUCUUUUGAAGGCACCUAGGAGGAGAAUUGUGGGGUAUUAAGCUAUGAGCAUCUAGAACAUUGUCACAUGCCAUAUUGUUCAUUUUUUGUUACCAUUGCCAGUGUUCGAGACUUACUGUUUCUCUACAUCAGUGAUUGUCACCGUCAACACUGUGUGUACAUUUGGGGCUAGAUCAUUAUGUGUACAUUGUAGGAUAUUCAGUAGCACUACUGGCCUCUACCCACUAGAUGCCAGCAGCAGCCCUCCCCAGUUGUGAUAAUCAAAAAUGUCUUUCGCCAUGACCACGUGUCCCCUGGAAGAGAGGAGGCAAAUCGUCCUUUUUGAGAACCUUUGCUCUGUCUUUGCCGACACUUGGCAUUGUCUGGUCUCUCUUUGUUAAUAUCACAAAGUCGGGAAAUUGAUGUCAACAUAUUUCCCUGUGAUGAGGAAUCUCUUAGGUAUCCAAAUAUGCCUUAUUGCUUCACGAUGAGACAUUUUAUCACAAUUCUUUUCUAAAACAAAUGGCUUCAUUUCCCACUACCCUGUUGUACCAACCCAAUAAUGCUUGAAUUUUUCGUUUUGGUAGAUCCAUGGAAAGUAGAGAUUCUGGGUAGACUGAAAGGUAGGACAAACCAGACCUGAGUCUAGUCAUUUAAACAAGCUGGAGGUCUAUAAGCCACGAGAGAAUUGCCAAGAAUGGGUAUAUGAUUUGGAGUAGGAAUGAUAAAAGAAAAGAUGAGAGUGAGAGUCCCAUCUGAACCACCCCCCAAACCUCUGUUUAUACAUUUAGAUAUAAGGUACAGACUAAUUUGUUUCGUGCCCUAUUCUCUUACUAUAUUUUCAGCAAAGACCAAUAAAGGAGGCAAAUGAAAUCCCCAGGAGUGAACAGCCUCACCAAUUUCCACAGCUGGAAAGAGAUUCAAAUUCACCUUUUGCUCCAGAGCCCAGGUUUUUGCCUUCUACCCUCUUCUCCUGUGAUGAUGAUCAGUGUUUGAAUAUUAUAGCCAAGCCACAGUUUGGAUGAGGAAUUCUUUCAGACCACUUGGCACUGCAGAUUCUGUGGAUAGAUAGAUUCUGUUGAAAAAGAUUAAUUUAUACAUCACGGAAAAGUAUUUCCCUGCCUCCCUGGGGAGCUUUUCCCUGCUUUGCAUUCCCAUAGCAUGGAACUGCACACAAUGAACCGUUUGAAAAUUGACUUCUUGCCUGUGGGUUUGGGAUUGUUCUCUGAUUGUUUGCUGUGCCUCACUUACUUUAUAUUGUCUGUUUUCUUAGGCAACACUUUGCUUUAAAGUAGGUGUGCAAAUUGAUGCUUGCCUUGUUCAGUUGAGAUAUGCUCAUAUUUAAGUUAUCUUAGUUUGGAAUAUCCACGCUUACAAAACAGAUAAAUUAUCCAGUCUGCUUGAACAAGGAGAAGCUCUUAGCCAGUUUACAAGGCUGGCUGCACUUAACAGCAUUCUGAAAAUCAUCCGAUGCAAUUGCUUGACGGAGAAACUUAAAGUUAAGGUGUUAAGGUAACUGACAAGUGAAAAACCUUCACAAUAAUGCAUCUUCUAACAUGUGAAGAAAUUAACAUGUGGUUUUUUUUUAGGAGCUCCUGCUCUUGAAAAGCACUCGGUUUACAAACGUGUAUUAUUUUAACUACUGAAAGCAAUUUAAGAGGAGCCACAAGUGACUUGAAUAAAAUUCCUUUGAAAUGAGAAUACAAGUCAAUAAAAAAAAAUGGAAGAUGUGUGAAUAAAUAACAAAAUUAAGCUCUGUUCUCCCUUUAUCUUUUUAAGAACACAGAGGCACAUAGCAAUGCAGCAUUUCUGACCUAUAUCCAUUACUCAGCAGGCGCUAAGUGUUUUAGACUUCCAGUUUUCAAAGGAUUUUUAUUGUGAAAUUUUAUUCUAGCACAGAUAUAAAUCCAUCCUGAGUUGGUGUUGAUUGAUUAAUGACCAUCAGUGGUAAGUAGUUGUCAUCCUAAGGUUUUCGGAGAUGCCAGUGAACCCUUGGCAGGUUAAAUAGUUGUUCCUAAUUUCCUAUGGGCCUCCAUUAGGAAUUGCCUAUGGUAGCUGAGGGACCAAGAAGACCUAGGUUUCAGUGAGGCCAGACAGAGUUCUGAGUCUCUGAUAAAUGAGGGCCUGGACUCCAGGCCUUAGUGUCUCUACAAAUAGAAGCAAUCAAGUUAAAGCCCCAGAAAAGACUGAUCCGAGAGCACUGGAGUGUCUGGGGCCUUCAGGACCCAUCACACAGUCAGAAGCGUGACAACCAAAGUGCUGGGAUAUUUUCAUCUGUAGUGAUAGCUCUUUAAUUUCUCCUGAGAUAUUCUAAGUGCUGGUUGGAGUAUUUUCUUUUUCCCUCUAAGUUCCUUGAAACUUAUCUUUCAUGUUUUUUCAAACAUAUGAAGGUAGAACAUUUUCAGACAUUUCCCCCUCUCUGUUGUGAUGAAGCCUAAUGAGUUUCCCACAGCAAUGCUUUUAUACUUCUUUAUGGAUGUGAAAACAUCACCCUCAUUCUCUAGUGCCAUCUUUAUGUCACUGAACCUUCACAAUACUGCAUUUUCUUACAUGGAAAAAAAUAACAUAUGACUGACUGUCUGGGGGCUCCUGCUCUUGAACUACACUUGGUUUACAAACACAUAGUUAUUUUAACUACAGAAAAUAAUUUAAGAGUAGCCACAAGUGGCUUGGAAAGCCUUCAAUUUCCUGGCUUGUCUUUUUAUAAAAGUGCAUGGUUGUGAAGAUGUAAAACUUGAAUGGAAUGUUUUCUAAGUUAAAAAAAAAUGUAUUACGGUCAGGAAGCUAGUUGAAUGUUUCUUUAAAAGUGAGUUACCCAAUGUAGAGGUUGAUUAGAGUAAUAGGUCAAAGGCCCAAAGAUAUUUCAGAAAGGAUGUAGGACUUCUAAUAAAUCACUUUCUCUCCCUUUCAUAGUAACUCUCUAUGUAUAGGGAUAAAAAAAUGUUUUCUUUUUCUAAAAAUAAAUAUCAUACUGAAGUGUUAAAGUAUUGUAUUUAUACUUCUACUUUCCAUAGAGCAAUUCCUUUUCAACGUAAGAUGCUAUAACUCUUGUAAAUGUGGGUGCCGUACUUUAUAAAUUCAAAACAUUUUCCAUGCAGAUCUUUAAUCUCUAGCACAGUGCUUCAUGUGAAUUUUAAAUGCUGUAAUUAAAUGAAUCUUACUAAAAAAAAGUCUCUUUAAACAUUAUUCCUUGCCUGCCUGCAAUAGAAAUUAUCUAAAACUUAAAAAAAAAGUAUCUUCUUGUUUCUUUGUCUAUUCCUGUAGAACAUCUUUUCUGAGGAGGCUGGUGUUAUGGUUAUGGAAAACAUAUGCCCUUGGAAUUGAUGGGUGCCUGAUGGUAGGAUCUGUAUCUAAAUUGUGAAAGAUGACACAAACAAGACUAAGGGGAAUAAGUACAAAUAUGAUCCAAAUUUUUCUUUAGAGAUAGAAAGAAUUAUAUAAAACUGCCUGAGUCUAAACUUGUAUUUCAAGGGUCUUCCCGAAAAUUUUUUAAAAAAGGCAUUCUGGCUUAUAGAUCCUUGGCACUAAGAGAAAAUAUUUUUGUGCACAGCUUCAGGCAUUAUGCAUCUCAUUUCCUGCUGUCAUAAAAAGUAGACCUUUUUUGAACAGGUCUGAGCAGAAAGACUGUGGUUACUUUCACACUUGAAUCUCACAUGAGAGUUUUUAAGACUUUAAAAGUGACUUAUAUCUUUAAAUUUUCGCAUAAGAAAUAUGGUGUCUGUCUGUAAGGGAGACCCCAGAGUAGUUGCUGGGCUCAGCAGUGUGUGGACACACAGUGGUCACACUGGGGCAUGAAGUGGCACUUUUCUAGCUUUGCUUAGAAGAGUGAAUAUCAGCUUUAAUAGCAAAAGCAUAUGUGUUUGCUACAAUUGAUUGACACAUGGUAGAGGAGCCUAUAUACUUGAAGUAAAGAUUAGGGUAGAAGUGCAUAGCUGGGGGAAAGGUCUAAAUUUAGUCUUGAAUUCAUUGCUCUUAGGUGUGUGGUGUUUGAAAUAAUUUUAGAUGGACUACUUUUGGAUAAGCAUAUCAGGUUCAGGCGGACUACAAAGUGCUGUUUUAGGUGCACGGUAAUUAAGAUGAGUCAUGGGUAUUAUUUCUAGUUCAUUGGGGUUGUCAAUGCAGCAAUUACCAAGCAAUUGAUUAACAAACAUAAGACAGGUUCACUACUAAUGCAAUAUGAACAGCCUCCCUAGAAAUAGAUUAGUACAUGGAUCUCUGAGAGUAAACCUUGGUACUGAGUAUGGAAGUUCUAACAGAAGGAUAGGGUGGAGAGUAGCAGAAAGAAUGAGUAAAUAGUGUGACUAAAUGUUCCAAUUUAGAGACACUGGAGGGUCAGUUACCCAAUAUAAGACUUUCAGUGAUGGUCUGAGUUGCUGUAGUGUAUAUAUAGCUUUCAAACCUUAUUUUAAUCAGUGUUAUAUAUUGAAUUGUGCACUCUAGAAUUCUAGUAACCUCCAGUGCCUCAAAAUAUGACCUAAUUUGGAAACAGUUUUUGAAGUUGUAAUUAAAAUAAGGUCAUAGUUGUGUCAGGUGAACCCACGGGAGAGCGUCCUGUGAAGAUUGGCACUCUGUUAUCACAAGGUAAGAAACCUCCCAGGGCUGGGAGAGAGACAUGGGCAGCUCCUUCAAACCAGCACUGGAAUCCCUGUAACCAACUGACCCUUCAAUGUGUAUAAAUUGGGCCAUUUAUUCACACAAUUCAAUCAGCCUUCCUACUAUGUACCAUUUUUUUCUUCUCUUCAAACUUCCAAUACCCAGUUCCAAGGCUUUAGAGGGAGUGUGAUUAUGAAUUUCUGUUGUGCUAAGUCACUCUGUUUGUAGCAAGCACCUUGUUACAGCAGCCCUGGUAAACUAAUACAGCCAUGGGAUCUUUAUUUAAAUGCAGUCCUAUCCAGAAGUCAUCAAGCAGAUUGCUCUUUGAAGAUCAAAUUGGGGGAAGAAGAGUGAGGGGCUUAGGUACCAACAUCAGGUGAAUGUAUGGUCAUCUUCCCUCUGCUCCUCUCCUGAUUUAGGUCUAAAAAGAUACCUGAGGAGUUUUAAAAUUACUGUUUAACUCGUAGGUCUUGCUGUUCAUCCUACCUAGCAAUAUUUCCCUCUCCAAUCAAGUGGUUCUUUCAUAGUCAUCUCAACUUAUCCAUUCUUGCUCCUACCAUAUUGUCUGCUCUUUCUAAAUGGUUAUUUUUUUUAUCUGAUAAUAUCUUUAUUUACCCAAUUCUCUGAAAAAGUCAGAGAUUUUAUUCAUUCUCUGAAUAAAGUCUUCUAUAACUACUACAACAUUCUCUGAAUAAAGUCUUCUAUAACUACUGCAAGCGUCAUUGCCUUUUCUUUCUUCUGAAUCCUUUCAAAACGUGUAGGACACACCAACAGUUCUCACCAGACCCUGCUCAUUCCAUUUCCUUAUGGAACAUAUGGCAUUCUGGAGUAGUACUGCCCUCCACGUGGGUCACUAACAGGAUCUUUGAAUUAAUUAACUAUUGGUGCCAUGGCAAGUUACACAUUUGACAUUUUAAAGCAAUAGGAGUAUAUCUCAUGUUUCCAGAGGUCAGAAUUCUGGACUGGCUAUACUAUAUUCUCUGCUAUAGGUCUCAAGGCUGAAAUCAAGGUGUUGGUUAAUGAGGCUCUUAUUAGGAGGCUUACAGAAGAAUCUGCUUCCAAACUCAUCCAGUAUUUUGGAAGGUCUGAUUUCAUGAAGUUGUAGGAAUAAGGGUAUCACUUUACUUCAAUUGUGGUCCAUUCUCAGCUCUCAGAGGCCUUUUAGCGGUCCUUAUGUAUGGGCCCUGCAUCUCAGCACCAACAAAGGCACUGUGAAUCCUUCCCACAUUUGUGAUCUUUCACUUGUCCCUCUGCUUCUGUCUGCUGACAACCAGAGAAAUUCUUUGCUUUCAGCGCUCAAAGGAUUAGAUUGGCCCUACUCUUAUAAUCUCUAAAGUCAUUAACCUUAAUGACAUCUGAAAAAUUGCUUUUGCUAAAUUCAGUUUUCAGGGAUUAUGGUUUUGGAUGCCUUUGGUAGGCCUUUCUUUCCAGUAUCUACCAUGGUCUGUCAAAGCAAAAUCCAUGUGUAAUGUUUUGUUUCUCGUUCCUUCUCCCUCUGAACCAUGCCACCCAUCCCUAGAACAGCAGUAGGGUCUCUCUCAGUACCUUUAGUUGUUGAUUGAUUAAUCAAAUGAGCAAUAAUUGAUGAGGCACAGUUUUGUGUUUUUGAACCUGUGGUGAUUGAUCUUAAUUAUAUUUUGGAAGAUUGUUUCGUUAAUUGAAUAUAAGUUGGUUUGUAAAUACGAGAGGUAUACAGACCAGCAAGUGAUGGAUAUAAUCUAGAAAUGAGAAUUGUUUAUGUAACUCUGAGAUUAUUGUGGGAAUGGAGAAUAAAGAAGUGCUGUCCUUCUGAGAUGUAAACAGGGCACCUGGAUGCUACUGUCAGAGUAGUUGGUCCCUUAUUCAUGUGUCUGGCACAAAAUCUCAAUAAUACUUUUGAAUGAAUUUUAAAAUAACACAUGAAUUUUCUUAAUUCAUAAUACAAAGUGAGUUCAAAAGAUGAAACCUCAAUUCUGAAGACUGAACUAUGCAUUGCUAUUUGUGUUCUUAAGAAUAAAUGAAAGAAAAUUUCCAAUUAUCUUGGAUUUCCCCUACCAGCCCAGGGGGAAAAAACAAAAAACAACAACAAUAAAAAACAUCUGCAGGAAGAAGUUCACUUUCUUCAUAUUUGCUCACAUUACCUGUUUCUAUAGCUGCAUUCAUAAGUAUUCCAAGAUUAAAGAACACAAUGAUAGCAAAUAUACUCAGCACUUGCCUUAAACAGAUCCCGGUGAAUAUCUCCCUAACCAAGAAAAAUAGAACAGAAGAAACAGAACCCAUUAAGUAUCCAAAAGGACAACUAACUGAUUUCUGCUUAGUUUGUUAUAUAUGGGGCAAUAAAUCUUCCUCUCUCUGUCUACCUAUUCUCUCUUUCAUUUUGAAGCACAUCUCUCCUUUAGUUGAAUUAUUAUUUUUUUUAAUUUAUUUUUUUAUUGGUUGUUCAAAACAUUAUAAAGCUAUUGACAUAUCAUAUUUCAUACAAUAGAUUCAAGUUGGUUAUAUAUAGUUGAAAUAUAUAUUGUAGCAACCAUAUUGCUAUCAUCCCUCAGUGUUUUGUGAGGUAAGGAAUUAACUAGCUCUACCUUCAUUUAUGUGGGUGAUUUGAAAGGCAAAUGGAGAAUCACUUUCUCAAUUGGAAAAUACCUAUACUCAUUGAAUUACCUUUUCUUUAAUGAAAAAAUUAACUUGAAUAACCAUUUCCAUAUUGGUAGUGUUGUUUACAGCUGUACCAUAGACAAUGUAAGCUCUUUGUUUCUCUUCUAUGUGUUUUCUUUUAUACACUGUGACAAUGUUCCUCAAAGUGGGGGGUCAAAUCCAAAGCCAUCAAUAUUUGAACCCCAAAAGAUGUUCAUUAAAUAUGAAGAUUUCCGGCCACAUCUACAUCUUCUGAAUCAUUUUCUUUGGCAGUUUAUCUUGAAAGGGAAAAAUACCCAAAUCCUUAAAAUACAAACUAAAACUCCUCCAAUAAAAGUGUGAAAACAAUAUGGGGUUGCUCUCUUAUAAUAAAUACUCAAUAAAAUUAGCUAAGUAUAGAGCCUCUUGUUCCUUUUGUAAUCUGUCAAACCCAUACAAAUGGGAGCCCUUUCUUCUGUUAUCAAUGUUCCCAUGUAGAAAUACUCUGUCUUAACAGGCUAACCUUUUCAUAGGCAAUGGGUAUGCCCACAGAAGGUCUAGCAAGUUCAUCUCUAUUACUGCACUAUAUAAAUUAUUGUGCUUGAGGUUUGGUGGUUAUAAGCAAAUACAAUAUAAUUUUGUAGGUCUUCUCUUUACCUACAGCCCAAUUUGAUAGAUGAGACAUACAUAUAUUCAAAAGCAAUAAAAGUCAAUAGAUUCCAGAUGUCAGGUGUGUACAGUAGCUAUUGAAAAUAUUUGAGGUGAUAAGAAAUUAUAGCAAGUUGGCAGAAUGGCAGGAAUAGGAGAGGAGCUAGGUUCUGAUAGAUGUAUUCAAAAUAAGGCAAGAGGAACAGUGUGAUACAGAGUUAGAAAAUUCAAAUGGGAGAUAUAGGCGAAUACAUCCAGAGUGGAGAGUUUAUAUAAGGGGAUUAUAAAUUAAGUUUGGAAGCUAGCUUGAGAUGAAUUUAUGAAUUAUCUUGCAUGCAAAUUUUAAAGAGUCUGAAUUGUGUUCAUUGGGGAAUAGGAAAUCACUGAAUACGGAGAAAGUAUUGAUUAGGGAUUUAUGAUGAAUGGUGGGUAUAGGAAAGUGAGAAUCAGAGGUGAGAUCACAGGUUAAAAACCUAAACAACUAUCUAGGUCACAAAUUAAAGUGUGAAGCACAGUUGUAGAAAUGGGAAUGGGAAGAAUACAUAGAUACAGGUACUGCUUUGGAAGAAGAACCAAGAUCCAGUAUGUUAGUGCCAUCUUUGCUUGUGUUAGGGCAAAGAAAUGGCAAUUUGAGUCUGGAAACAAUGUUAUGAUAAAGGCAUACAUAAUCUUUAAGAUUCUAUAUAAACUUUAAUUUAUUCAUUUCACCAGCACCUACUUUGGGGCCAACUGGAAGAUGGUAUGUGCUAUGUUAAGUCCUGGAGAUAGAAAACAAACAAACAACAAACAAAAAAGAGACAUGUUUUCUUUUAAGGAGCUUCCAGAAUCAUAGAGAACACAGAAACUUGGGCCAACAAUUAUAAGAAAUCAAAAACUGAUGCUGAAUACCUAGGAGUAAAUAAUCCUAUUAAUCACAGGAGGGAGCAUCACAGGGGCAGUAGCCCAGAAAGAAGGCAAGUAGGCGUUUUCACUUGAAUUAAGGUUGUGCACAGCAGUCAGGAUUCCAACAGGAAACAGACAUCACAUUUGAAAUAGGAUGGUUCAGCAAAGUUCCACUAACUAGGGGUUAUUUACAAAGGUGUAGAAAUAGGGAAAGGACAAGAGACAUCCCAGAGGCUGUGAACUUUGUAGCAGUUGAGCUGUUAUGAGCCUAGUUGAAGAGUCACAUAGGAAACAUGUUCUCCUAUAGGAAACAGGGAACAAUUAUUGGCAUCUGAAGAGAAUAAGUUUUUUUAUUAGUCAGGGUUCUCCAUAGAAACAGAGCCAACAAGAUUGUGUGUGUGGGUGUGCGGGGGAAAGAGAUCAACUUAAGGAAAUGGAGCUUGUAGUUGUGGAAGCGUGGUAAAUCCAAGAUCUGGGGGUCUGAGAGAUAGGCUAGAGACCAGAGGAAGAAUUUAUUUGAUAUCAAAGGCAAUCACCUGGCAGAAUUUUCUUUUCUUGAGAAAUCAAUUGUUAUACGAGGUCUACUCAAGAGUCUACUGACUUAAAUGUUAAUCUCAACUGAGAAGUAGCUCCACAGAAACAUCUAAAGUAAUUGUUGAUUAAAUACCUGGGUACUAUGGUUUCGCCAAGUUGACACACAAAAUUAACCACCACAGUCUUGUAGCACGGGUCACCUUGAGAGUAGAAGGGACUUUAGGUAGAGGGAUAUAAAUACACUAGAAGUAAUUUUUCAGCUGUGCUGUGGUUCUCCAAGUGGGGGCCUGACUAGCAGUAUUCAUGUGUUAGUCAGCUUUACAUCACUGUGACAAAAUACCCGAGAAAAGCACAUUAAAGGAGAGAAGAUUAAUUUUGACUCAUGAUUUUAGAGGUUUUAAUCCAUGGUCACUUGACUGUUGAUCCUGGGCCUGUGUGAAGCAGAGACAUCAUUGGUAAAAGGGUCCCUCAGAAGAAAGCUGCUCACUUCAUGGCAGCCAGGGUGCAGAGAAAGAAAUACGAAGGUACUGGGGACAUAGGAUAUUGACUGUCUACCAUGACCAUCUUCCCCCAACUAGGCCCUGUCCCCUCCACUAAUGAGCAUAGAGCCCUCAUGAUCUAUUCAUUUCACCCCAAAUCCCAAUUCUGAACAUUACUGCAUUAAGGACCCAGCCUUCAAUGAUGAGCCUUUGGAGGACAUGAUAGAUUCAAACCAUAGCAGUCAGCAUCACUGAGAAACUGAUAGAAAUGUGGCUUCUCAGCCCCCUCAAGCCCCACUGAAUCAGGAGUGGUCUGUGUGAAUUUUGUGUACCACGAAGUUUGAGAAGCAUUGAGUGAGAUGAGUAAAUAAUCCAGUCUCUGUCCCUCUUCCAUUUGACUUCCUGAUUGACCUACUUCUGAGCCAGACUGCCGCAGUCUGGCUGGGCACAAAAUAACGGAGCCACUCACAGCCUUGUAGAUUCAAACAGCAAUUCUUUAUUCCCGAACUCUCACCGGCACUCUACACGCACGUUCUGGGAAAAUCUCCACUUCCACCGGGCUCUGCAUCCCAAAUACUCUCUGAAUCCCAGGAGAACUCAACGGGAACUCAAGGAGCGGGCGCCUGAGGCAGCAGGAUACGCCCUAUUCCCAGCAGGAUCCACACCCUAAACCUGGAACCGCCCUAAACCCAGAUCUGCCCUGGUCCUUGAGCAGGGUCACCUUUCUCAAACAUUCAUGCAAUGUCACUGCAAAUGACCUGGGUCCAAGGCAAGCCCAUUUCCACAAUGGAGAGUCCUCCCUCUAAGCAACAUGGGGUAGGCUGACAAGGAAAUUGCCAUGCGUCAUUCCUACUUGGCUAUGGCUCUCAGCACCAGACCUCUUAAGAAGGCAAAGACACAUCCCUUCUAAUGGAGGACCAUAAAGAUUCACUUCUCAGCACUGGGAUAAGAGUAGAGAAGAAAUCUAGGAGGUAACUGCAAGAUAUGCUGCCCCUGUAUUAAGGAACAUGCAAUUUACAUAGGAUUGAACGUGAGCCCCAUGGGCAGAGAAGAGAUGGCAUUGCCAAAGUGGAGACCUUAAGAGGAUAGACACGUGAUCCGGGUAUAGAUGCCAAGUGUAAUGUAAGUGUGCACUGUGAUAUGGAGGCUUACCGAAAAGCAGCAUGGAAGUGGCGGAAGCAUCCUGUGAUUUGUCUUUCUAGAAUCACAUUUCAUCUGGAGCUUCCACUGUUGCACUGAACUGGCUUUUUGCCUGGUCAAGACUGUAAGUCAGAGUUUUUAAUUUCCUGAACAGAUCACUCCCUUUGACUUUUUGUCUGGCAUGUAAAGCAUCUUAGCUCCUCUCUCAUCUCUGACACAUGGUCUGUCUGCCAUUGUGGUUAUCCUCAGAGAAUUCAACUAUGACUUGAUUGCAGCCAAGCUCUUAUCAAAGUAUUGCCUGAGACAUCUGGUCUUUCACAGAGGAUGUCUGAUGGACAAGUGAUUUUUGCCAUGACCUUUAAGUUUUAUCACCAUGAUAAAUUAUGUGUAAUCUCAGACCCUCAUGGAAAUGAUUGUUCUGAGCUGACAUUUAUGUUAUGCCUUCAGAUUACAUGGGUGGCGAAAACAGUACCACUAAUUAAUGAGGAACUUUUUUUUCCAACCUCAUUUAUUGAUUUUUCCAAACAACCUUACUGGAUAACACACCAGUGCUCUGUACCAGAGAUGCUUUUAAGACAUGGAUACUGUCUGUAAGUUGUCCACACUCUAGUGCAUGAAUUGGAAACUUGAGCAGGUACAGUAUAAGUGCUAUGAGUGGAAGACAGGAGAAAGAGAUACUGAAGGUCCCCAUUUGUGAUGGGUUGAUUGUUAAUUUUUUGGUAAAGCUACAUGAAUUCAGUAGAAACUAAGUUUUGAGUCUGGAUUUUUUUCUGGGCUAGUAUGCAGUGUAAUACUAUCUCAAUGCUGAGCAAUGGCAGUGAUUUGCACCUCUUGGUCAGAUCCAUGAUUACGAGGGAUAAUGACCAAAACUCUACAGCACACUGUGUUGCUAAGCUAGUAGGCUCCGUGGAUGAAGAGCAUUAAAUGCGUUUUCCAUUUACAUUGUGCUAUGGUUUGGACAAGUGUCCCACAAAGGCCCAUGUGUUCUAGGUUUGGUCCUUAGCUCAUGGUACUCUUGUGAGGUGAUGGAACUUUUAGGAGGUGGGGCCUAGUAGAAGGAAGGUCAUGGAGGGUGUGUGUCCUUGAAGGGGAUAUUGGGACCCCAGCUUCUCCACUUCCUCUCUCUCUUUCUACUCUAUGGUUACCAUGACAUAAGCAGCUUUAUUCUCUCAUGUGUUUCCUGCUGUAGUAUGCUAUCUUGCCACAGGCCCCAAAAUGGUGGGGCCGAACUGAAACCAUGAGCCAAAAUAAACCUUUCCUCUUUGCAGUUGAUUUAUCUCAAGUAUUUAUCACAGUGAAAGGAAGCUGUCUAAUAUAUGUUGUUUUCAAUUUAUGGUGGGUUUAUAGGGAUAUCGUUUUGUAAGCUGAAUGCUUUUACUCAGGAGUGAUAGAGCUCUUUCUAGUGAGCUUUAGGGUUCACAAGUAGACAAUGGAAUGGUGAUCUUCUGGGAGAAAAGGGAUUUUAGGACCAGGAAAGAGAGCAGUGGCCAUGGAUAGCUAAAGAUGGGACUAGAGUGACGACUGGAGGACAUAGGUGGCCAAGAGCUUUAUACUGUUUUUACCCUGGAGUUAGAAUUCUAUCUUUAAGGUGUAAGGGGCACAUUAAGGGUUUUAUGAGUCCUGGAUUAACAUGACUAGAUUUGAGUAGAGCAGGUUUGAUAUGUUUGAAGCUGUCAAACCUUAGCUUUUUAAACUUAAAAAAAAAAACUGUACUUUUUACUUUUUAAAGCAGUUUUAGGGUUACAAAAAAAUUGAACAGAAAAGUACAGAGUUCCCGUAUUAUCAGCUCUGCCUGUAUUGCCAGCACAAUCCCCCUGUUGUUAAUAUCUUGCAUCUGUAUGUUACAGCUGUUAGAACAGAUGAACCAAUUUCAAUUGCUACAUUGUUACUAACUAAAUCCAUGGUUUAUAUUAGGGCUGUCAUUCUUGGGACACAGUUGACAAAUGUGCAAUGUCCUAUGUCCAUAUUAUGAUAUAAUACAGAAUCCUUUGCAGAUCGGCUCUUUUUUCCCCACUUAGCAAUACUUAAUAUACUUAAGGUUGUUCUAUGGUUUUUCAUGGCUUAAUAAAGCUUUUCUUUAUACUGCUGAGUAAUAUUCCAUCAUUUGGAUAUCUAUUCAUUCAUUUAUCUAUUGAAUACUGAUGGAUUUUUUAAAUUAAAUCUAUAUUUAAUUUUAUAAGAAACUUCUAAACUGUUUCUAAAUUGUCUGAUUUUUAUAGGCCCACCAGCAGUGAAUGGGAGCUCAUGUAGCUUUACAUCAUCACCAGUAUUUGGUGAUGUCAGUUUUUGGUUUUUAGUUUGUGUGUGUGUGUGAGCUAUUUUAAUAGGUAUUUUAAAAUAUUUCUUUGUUUUAGUUUCUAAUUCUCUAAUGGCAUAAUGUUGAGCAUCUUUCUGUACGUUUAGUUGCCAUCUGUGUAUUUUCUUCAGUGAGUUGUCUUUUCAUAUGUCCCAAUUUUUAACUGUUAUUUUUAAUUAUUGACUUAAGAGUUCUUUUUAUAUUCUGAAUACUUAUCCUUUAUCAAAUAAGAUUUUUCUAGUCAAUGACUUUUCAUUAAUAGUGUCUUUUUCUUUGCAAAAUACAAGUUUUUGAUUUUACCCCUCUCCAACUUACCAUUAUUUUUUCUUUCAUGAAUCAUCCUUUGUGCAUUGGGUCUGAAAACUUUUCACCAAACCAAGUUUGCUUAGAUCUGCUUUUAUAUUUUUAAGUUUUUUUUUUUGUUAUUGAAGUAUAGUGUACACAAAUGUACACAUACCAGUAAAGCUUAUUGUGAUUUUACAAAUUGAACCUGUAAAUGAGCACCCAAACCAAAAAAACCAGAACAUUAACAUUAUCCAUAACAUCUAUCUCUAGGCACCCAGCCAAAUCCCCGUGGUGAAAACCUACCAACAUAGAUGACCUUUGCCUGUUUUACUUAAUGUAAAUGAGAUCAUAUACAGUAUGUGCUAUUCUCACUAAACAUCAUUGGUGAGAUUCCUCUACGUUGUUUGGCAUAUCUGUAGCUUGCUCAUUCUUUGUUAUGUGCUGUUUGUGUUUCAGUAUACCAUAAUUCAUUUAUGUUGAUGAGCAUUUGGGUUGGUUCCCGUUUCAGAAUCUUGAAAAUAAUGUUGCCAGUACAUGUCUUUAGAGGAGCCUGUGUACAUAUGGGGUAAACAUAUGCACCUAUCGUAGAAUUGCUGGGUUACAGGUGUUGCAUACAUUCAUCUUCACUAGAUAAUGCCAGAUGGUUUUCCAAAGUGGUACCAAUUUAAAAUCCCAUCAGCAAACCAAUUUACUUAAAAAAUUUAAAGUGUGAUUUCUUGCUAAAUAAUGAUGUUCUAGGAAAACAUGAAAUAGGCAAAAUGUUGAUGAAGUCUUCAUCAGAGAGAAAAGGAGUCAGAAGCUCAUUUUGCAAAGAAUUAAAGAAGAAGGUGGGAGCCAUGUAUGAUAUGAAACUCUGCCCUGGAUCAAGUUAGAACCGUGGAAGUCAUGAAUCAUCAUUAAUAUCCUUGAUUCCUGAAGUACAUGAAGAAGUCCUCAUAGUUUCCAUUAAGCUAGCAGUUUAUUCACUCUUUCUGUCCAAAGUUAUCAAAGACUAAACAACUGAUUGAAAAAUCGCACUAAUAGGUGACAUCUAUUUGGGGGGUGAACACAGGGCAUAAAUGAUAUGAGUAUGCCAAAUACCCCACCAUCAGUCUGAAAGGGAGGUUAACAUAGGACAGAUUAUUUAUACAUUCAACAAUAGGGACCAAAAGUAGAAUGGUUUAGAAAAAUAGUCCUAAAGUAGAGUGUCAUUGACUAGAUUGUAAUCCUCAGCACAGGAAGCGUUGUCUUAUUCUGAAUAGAAAGGUAGCAUCUCUUGAGUGUCUGGCACAAAAUAAGUUAUUACUAAAUAGUCAGUGAAUGAAUUAAUGAAUGAAAAUGCUGUGAUGUAUACAGAUUAAGAAAAGACAUAAAUAUUUUAAUGGGCAAGAUUAUCAAGGAAAACUAUUGUAUAAAACAUUCAGGUGUCAUUGUAGACUAAAAGAUAAGAGCCAAUAAUGGGUCAGAGGUAGGUAUUUGCUGUCUGCUAUGUGUCAUUCAACAGGUAAAUUGAAGGACUCUCUGUAGAGAAGAUCUGUGGGUUUGUGGUGGUGGGGGCGGGUAGGACUUGAUGUCUAAGUAAGAAGGCAACACAGAGCAUUAAGAAUUAGUAGUAAGUAAUGAACUUUAACAUUAGUCAAAUUAUUUGUAUAGUUUUAUAUUUUAUUUUGAUUACCACUUUUAAAGAGAAUUGUGAAUAUAGAGAAAUGUAAUAAAAAUUAGAAAAAAAUGUAUGACAAGCCACAUGAGUACAUCAUACUGCUUACCAAGAGUCUGUGUAUAUAUCUGGUAGAGUGUCUGUUAACAAUAGUCUAAAUCCUGACUAAUUAUUAUUUCCUGGAAUAAAUCAUUUUCUGAAGAGUUUUGAGAUUGUUUCUUUAAUUCAUAGAAGUCUAAACAAUAAGACAAGGAAUUAAGGCACACAAUGUCUUGCUCAAGCCUAAGGAAAACCCUAUGAUUACCAGAACAUUGAAGUGUUGAAGUAGAAUGAGACUAUCGGUACUUUUUGUGGAGACCAUCAAGAAAUGCAGAGACAAUGAUCAGUUCUGAGCAAUUGCUAUGGGCUGAAUGUUUGUGUCCUCUCAAAAUUCCUUUGUUGAAACCCUACUUUCCAGUGCUAUGGUAUUUGGAGAUAGGGCCUUGUGGAGGUAAGUGGCUCUUGAGGAGGCAGCCAUCAUGAUGGGAUUGGUGUCCUUACCAGAAGAGUUGUGAGGGAACUUGAUUUCUCUUUCCACCAUGUGAGGCUGCUCCAAGAAGGCAUUCAUCUGCAAACCAGGAAGGGGUCUUCUAGGAGCUGAAAUUAGCAGGCACCUGGAUCUUGAACUUCCAGUCCUCUAGUCCUGUAAGAAAUAAAUCUCUUGUGGUUUAAGUCAGUGAUCUUUGUUGUUGUUGUUGUUAUAGAAGCUUGAACAAAGUCAGCAAUUGAAGCGUUUCACUGCUUCUUAACAGUGACCUGGAUAAGGUGGUUACUAUGGCUCCUCAAUGCCAUUUUCACUUGAAGAAGCAAAAGUAAUGUAAAAAUUAGACACUUAGAGUGUGAAACACAUAAGUUGAAUUGAGGAUAUGCUGACAACAUUUAAUUAAACAACAAACUCUUUAAAGGCACUAAUGGAAGAUUUUUAAAAGAUGACUGUUACAUUUGCAUAAGCACUCAAUGUGAAGCUGUGCAGUAUACUGGCUUUCAGAUGGGUUAUCAGCCAAUAAAAGUUGAUAUGAUACAGUGGAAAUGACUUCCACAUUGCCCAUAACCCUCUAAGCCACUGGCUUUUGCAAGCAACUGAGGCUUCUCUGCAAACUCCAGAACACCACUUUCAGAGGCAAAUUCUAUCACCCUGAUAGCAUUUUCUAGUUUUAUUUGAUCUUGAAAAACAUUUCAUUAUGUUUAAUUUAGGGAAAUGAGAUUUCUUUAAUUACUAUCAGUAGCAGCUAUUAGAGGCCCAAUUACAUUUGCAAAUUCAUUUUUAAAAGCUUUAUAGUUUUGAGAUAAAAAUUUCAAGAUCUAACUGCACCCAUUAAAAGUUACUGUUCUUCCCUUUGGUGCCCAUACUUCCAAGAGAGAAGACAUGUUUUAUAGUACAAAAUAAAUAAUGCUGGAAGCUGAGGAUUAGCCUAAAUAGAGCUUAGAAUCACUCACUUGAAUAAAUUAAAUAUUCCAUCAAAUAAAUUGGUUCAUUAAACAUGCUUAUGGAUUUCGUUUUUUGGGGGUUUCACAUACACUGAGCUCUACAGUGUGAAAGGUCAGGAUAUACCCAUAAGGUAGAGGCUGCUUUCUAGCUGGGAAUGCAGAUGCUGUCCAUCCCUCUGCAUGUCUACCCUAGCUUAGAGUCCCACAGAGUUAUACCUCACCACUAUUGCAUGUGGAGCCAUAUCUCCAAAAGAGGUCAUAAAAGGGGGUCCAGGUGACCUCCAGUUUAUUAGUGUGCUGAAUCCCAUGAGUUGUUGCAAAAGUGACUCCAAUUCUAUGUGCUCUUGAACUUCUUGUUCACAUAAUUAAACACUUAUUAGCAGUAAGAAACUUCUUUUCAACCUGGAUGUUGUCCUUGUUCUCACUCAAAAUAGCAUUAAUAGGUUAUUUUUCCCCCUUAGGGAUUAUUAAAAUUAAAACUUAUAUAUUGAGGUCUGAAGAACAUCUGUGCUGAGAUGCCCAUGACAUGCCUUUAGCCUCCUCACUCUUGAGCAGGAUGUAUUUCACCUGCAGCAUCUAGAAAAACAUCUGUGCAAAAUCGGCAUUUAGUAAAUGCUAGAUGAUGUGAUGAUUGCUCAACUCUCCUCAUAUUAGAAGCAGUCAUUGCUGCAUUGCUAUGACCAGAUCAGGGUUUGUCUGUCCACUUGGUGGCAAUUUUGAGCUAUGCCAUAGAGAAGCCUUCUCGGAAUAAGAAAUAGAAAACAUCUUUUGGAAAACUUUGGGGUUAGUUCAUCAACUUGCUUUGCUGUAAUGCAAAACCAUGUCUCUUGGCAGGAAAUAUGAACUGCUGCUAAUAAAAAUUGUAAAUGCCUUUGUUGUUGUUUGUCAUAGAUAAAUACAUGCAGGUUCAAAUGAUUUAAAAAUCAUUGUUACUGAGUUCUUGCUAAUAAACCUGAAGCCAAGAGCAUGCCAAAACUUAUUUAAGGUGCAUGCACUCGAGGACUUGUUUUUCUUGUUCAUUGAAUUUUAAGGUGUUUGCUUUAUUUUCUUCUCAACUUGCUUUCAUUUUUACGAAAGCCACUAAACGUCUAUGGAUGGAAAACAGGGGUUACGCACUUUAGGAAUUUAGUGUGUGAGUAGGUUAGUAUUAGAGGGAGAGAGUUACAUAUGGUGCUGGUUGAUGCCAAUCUUACAUGUGUGGCUGCCUUACAUUCUCCACAGAUUCCUGCUAUCAGUUGUAUUAAGAGAGUAAAUCAUGAUAAACAAGUAAUUGUAAGGUAAAUGUUCAUAAAAAGCCAGGAAAGUGUAUUAAAGGCCCAAAUUAAAACAUGUCCUCUGUUUGGGAUCUAAAGCUAUAGCUUCUUAAAAAAAAUUCACUGCUGUUUAAAGUGGUUCUGGAACAGUAGCAUCAUGAAACAAAGUUGUGACUGUUUGCAUCUUGCCCUUUGUUCCCACACCCUUUUUACAUAGCUGUUGCUCUCUAAUAGCUUCAGGGCAAGAGAAAGUGGAAAAAUGAACAGGAACAGCAUGGCUGGUGCUGUGAAACAGCAAUAAGGGACAAAGGCAUAUUAAUUGUCAUUCUCAGAAAGCUUAUGAUUCAAUAGCUGUCUAAUUUAAUAAAGUCCUGUUACAGUGGAAUGAUUCAGCUGUAAGAAGCUUGUAAAUAUUGUAAUAAGCACUGGAGCCGAUGUGAUCUUUUUUUCAUUCUUGGAGGUGGUGGUUUUUUCAUGCUGUCCACUCUCAGGAAAGCUGCAAUGUGCUGCAGAGUUUUGUCAAUGCCGGGGUUUAUUUUCGUAAGAAAGCAUUGAUUACAGAAGUGAAAAACAUUUAGUUUAACAGCAAUCAAUGAGUAGCAGACAAAAGGACAUCUGAAAUUUUGAAGUCUUUGAAAUAUGAACUAAAUGCCCCAUCUGGGGAAUUAUUGGUAAAAAGCAUGACCCAAGGGCCAUACAGAGUCAAGAUUGCAAACUUGUGCUCCCUCUCCUAAGCUAGCUCGACUGUUAGAACAUUCGAGAACACUGAAUUAUUGGAGAUGCAGGAAAAUUAACUUAUUUAGCACACAGUAAAUAUAAAACUUUUGGUGUCGACAUGAGGCAGUAUAUUUUUCUACUACAAAAACCUAUAAUCUAUACACUGGAGGAUUUUAGACUCUAAGUUGUUUAUUUUAAAUGAGUAGUUAAGCUUAAUUUUUACAGCAUCUGAGAAAAUAUGAUAGGAAAUUAUUUAAAGGUGCAACAUCUGUCAACAUUAAAUCUUGUAGGCUUAUGUAGUAUUCCAAACACAAAACAAAAUGUCAGUCUGUCUCAUUGUAUUAGCCAACUUUGCAUCAUUAUAAUGAAAUGCCUGAUAUAGACUACUUAUGAGAUAAAGAGAGGUUUAUUUAAGCUCAUAGUUAUGGAGGUUCAAAUCCAAGGUCUGGUGGCUGCAUUGGGUUUGGACCUCUGAUGAGGGUAGCACAUCAGGACAGAGUGGCAGGUCAGAGUGAGCACGGACAUCUGGAGCCAGGAAAUAGAGUCCCUUCUGGUGGGAUCCUAUAAUUCCUCAGAGGGCACGCCUCCAAGGACCUGAGGAUCUUGAAUUAGGCUCCACCUCUGAGAGAUCCAUAACAUCUCCAUAGCAAUACCCUGGGGACCAAGCCUAUAACACAUGGGCCUUUGGGGACGGUCAACAUUCAAACCACAGAAGUGACUGAGGGAUCAUUUUCUGUACAUAUUCAGAAUUAUUUCAUGUUGAUAUUAGUUUAUUUAUUUAUUUAUUUUUCAGUUGUAGAUGGACAUAAUAACUUUCUUUUUUUCUUAUUAUUAUGUAGUACUGAGGAUGGAACCCAGUGCCUCACACAUGCUAGGCAAGAGCCCUACCACCGAGUCACAACCCCAGCCCUCAUGUUGAUAUUAGUAUGAUCUGAAGUGGGCCCUUUGUGAAUUGUUGAAUUUAAGUGGUUUGAAUAACCCUAACCUUAACCUACCUUGGCAGCAAGUGACUUCAGAGCCUACUCUCCCUCCAGCAGGGGGCAACUGUUCCUAAUAGAAUAAGAAGAGAUCCUGACUAAUGGCUCAACACCAAAGGGUAAAAUCUAAUUCCAUGUAUAACACAAAACUGUUGCUUUUGUACAAAGAUGAAAUCACACGGGGGAUAAAAAAAAAUUUGUUCUUAGCACACAGACAAGCACAGACAUUACAUGAUUUCUAGAAUUGCUGAAAGGGUCACCCUUUCUGGAAAGCACUAACUUAAUUUUUUUUCAUUGUUGACAGUGGCUACAAAAUUCCAUUAAAUUUAAGAGAAGGUGUAUUACGUUUGUUUCUCAACAGCAAGAAGAUAAUUCUGCAAUACUGUGGCUUCUGGGGAAUUUAUGAAUUUUGGAUAACAAAUAAAAUAUCACUUCCUGGAAAACAAUUAGAGCCAAUUCCUUUUUUGUGAGACAUUCAUUAUAAAUUGUGAUUAGGGGGUCCACAAAAUGUGGCCUGGCUGUCCUCCUCUCUGCCCAUUAGCAUGGGCGGUUUUGUUGGAGCAUACACUCCCAUUCAUCCAAGGUGUCUUCUGUGUCCAUUUUUAUUCUAGAAGGGUGCAAUUGACUAGUUGCAACAGAGAUUACUCCUGCACAACACAAAUUGCCUGAAGUAUUUACCAACUGAUCCUUAGGACCCCUGCUCUACCAGCUAUAUCUGGCCACCUAAUUGUCACAUAUGUACUAAACUUAGUGUAACACCAUUAUAAUAUUCUUAAUGGUAAAGAUCAUCUGUCUGUCUGCCUGCCUCUCUUUCUUUUAAGACUUUCUCCUAGAUAUUUUAGACCUCAUAGUCACUAACUGGGAGGAGAGAUACUUAAGUAUUUCAGUUCAGCAAUUGAAGUGAAAGUUCUCUAAACAAGAAAAGAAACUUCUUCAUAUGUACGAAGGGAAGCCACCAAGCUUUAGGUCCCAGACUCAGAUUGCUUACACUCAAACCCUGGCUCUGCAGCUUACUAACUGUGACCUUAGUUUCACAAUAUCAUAAAAAAAAAGUUGAGCUGGAAAGAGUGUCUACUAUACAGGGUUGUAAAGAUUCAGUAGAAACUGUACUACCUGAAAAGCACUUAGAAUUCAGGAUCCAUCCGCAUUAUCAUUAUUUGUGAUGCUGGAAAUAGUCAUGCUUUUCGCCAUUUUAUUUUAUUCAUUAACAUACUUUGUCUUGGAAUAAUUUUAAUAUUUUUUCCAUGAAUAAAAAGGUGCACUUUAAAUGGAUACAGGUGUUUUCAUUUCUUACUUACUCAUCAGUGGGAUUACUGGCACUAUGUGUAGUUUGGUCUUAAUGUCAGUGGUCACACUUGUGUUGAGUGGAUGAAUCCUUUCUACACAAAAAAUAAAAAGCCAGACCCCAUAUGGCGUGAAAGUAGUGUUUCUAUUUAUUUAACAACUAUCUGUGAGACUGAGGCAGGAAGAUCACAAGGUCAAGCCCAGCCUUAGGAUUUAGUGAGGUCCUAAGAAAAUUAGACCUUAUCUCAAAAUAAAAACUAAAAAGGGCUGGAGUUGUAUCUCUGUUGUAAAGCACCGCUGGGUUUAAUCCCCAAUGCCAAAACAAAAAAUGACCCACACUGUUUGUAAGUAGUGUUUGAUUCACUGAAAACUUGGUCACAUGUAGAUCCCUUUUAAUUCCUCCUGACUUCAGCAGUGAGAAAUACUAAACAUUGGUCCUUGGUGGUAGUUGACUCUCACUCAUUGGAACCAUCUUAUUUGUACAUGUUAACUCUGAUGCUUUGGUCAUAAAUCCUGGGAUCCUGUAUAAAAACAUACAUUUGUGGAACAAUAUGCCAUUUUUAUUGGUUGUUCAAAACAUUACAAUGCUCUUGACAUAUCAUAUUUCAUACAUUUGAUUCAAGUGGGUUAUGAACUCCCAUUUUUACCACGUAUACAGAUUGCAGAUUCACAUUGGUUACACAUCCAUGUUUAAAUAUAAAAGUGAAGGAGUUAUAUUUCAUAACAUUCAAGGCCUGCCCAAAACUUAGUUUUCAGUACUGUUAUCUCCUGAAAGGGAAAAAUUUUGUAGAAGAGCUUUUAAAGACUAAUAUAAUGAUUAAAAAUGUUUUAUGAUGUUGCCAAUCACUUUUCUAACUUUAGGCAGAGGUUUAAUUUUGAGCCUAUAUAUAUAUAUAUAUAUAUAUAUAUAUAAUAUAAAAGUGUAUAUUACAAAAGAAAAUGAUUUAGAAAUGUAGAUGAAAGUUUUACAUACAAAUCUUAUAGGUUCAAAUACAAAAUUCCACCAGCUCUUGAUAAUUCAUUGGUUUUGGAACUGUCUGGAAAGUGAAUCUUGAAAGAGGAUGUUUGAUCUCCUGUAUGAACAGCUGCCCAGACUUGGGAUGGGCUGGAUCCCUGGAUAAAUUAGAACCUUCUUGGACCUAUUUGCGCUUGGUGGUCUAAAGCACCUUUGUAAGCGUGAAAUCUUCAAUUUCCCUUUGAUUAUAAGCCCUAUAAGACAGGUGUCCAUGUGAAAAAAUAACUGUGCCUCUGUUUAAGUCUGGGAAAGCUUUUCAGAGAGACUUCUGCAUGAGAGAGGUUGAAAGUUUAUCCAUGAGUUGGAACUAGGGAGAAUCCAGGAGAUUAUAAAAAGGCCCCUGAGAACACAAUUUGACACUCAGCAUACACAUUAAGAGCCUGUAAUUUUGAGGUAGAUGUUUCCACUUGAUCCAUUUCCUUCCCAGCUACAAGAUAGAAACAAUUUCUGUUACUGGUAACAAUAGCCCAUGUUGUCCUCUUUUCUUGUAUAUAUAUAUCUGUACAUGUGGACCAUGUUUUCCAUUUGCUUCCACACUCAGAAACUGAGAUGAUCUACUGUAAGGCAUUUGUGUGAUUAACCAAGGGUUAAGUGGACUUUUAAAAGAGACACUCAGAUGGUCUUUAAGAAUACACAUUUUCCAUUUCAAAAGAUUAACUGUGCUCAUUCAGCUCAUUUAUAGGUCUUUAAUGAUUUCUUCAUAAAAAUGAUAUUUCUGUUUAAGCUUACCUCUCAGAAAUAAUACAAACUAACCAUUCAAUAUGCAAUAUUUUCAGUUUCUCCUAACUUUGGUCAUUGUGUGAAAUGAAAUACUAAAGCAUUCAACCAAAGCUUGUGAUUCGUUCCACAUUGCUCUUUUAAGUAUUGUAGCUGACCUUUUAAUGGCAUGAUAAAAUGUGGAAGCUUGCAUUUGCUAACAAGGAGAAGGCAAACUACUAAAAGCCAUGUUUAAAAAUGUUCAGGUUCCUAAUAUAUUUUAAUAUCAUAAAAUAAUAGGAGUUAGUCUUACAAAAACCAGUCCAGUAGUUCCCAAGACUUUGUUUAAAGAAAAUUUCCACAAUGAAGUGAGAAUUAUGAAGCCAUCUAGUAUGUUUUCAAGAAGAAUAAAAAGUAUUGUGACAAGACAAGGGGGAAUAAAGGGGAGGGAAGGAGGAUGCAUUAGAUGUACCUUUCACAUGCUCAUAUGUGAAUUCAUGACCAACGUAAAUCCACAUCAUGUACAACCACAAGAAUGGAAUCAAAAUUGGAAUGGGUUGUACUCCAUGUAUGUAUAGUAUGUCAAAAUACACCCUACUGCCAUGUACAUCUAAAAACAACAAAUAAAAAAAGUAUUAUGAAAAUUAAUACUAAUUACUAUGAUACUGAAAGCCAUUUCUCUGGCAGACUUAAAAGCUCCACUAGUACCUUGUAUAGUCAGUUGUUGACAUUAUAAUUAUUCUCUUAUUUUAGAAGAGUGGAUAAUUAUCAUAGCAAAUACUCUUAAUUUUUCAUACAUAUAAUUAUACCUAUCACUGGAGGAAGACAGAAAUAUAAGGAUUCCAGCUACAAGAAUAAAAGUAUUAUUAGUCUAAAAAUUUUUUUUUCUUUCACAAUUUUAGAAAACCUCAUAGGGAGAACAAAUAGAACAGUAAAAUGUACCAUCCUAAUACAAUUACAAACGCUUUUUAAACGAACGACUAUAAAUCCUCUUAGAAAUGAAAUCUUUGAUUUCAUAGUCAAUGAAUGAAAGUGUCUAAGCAAAUAAGAGACUUGAAUAUGAAGUUGGAACUGCAGUCUGUGGGUUGUGGGGACAAGGCAAUGGUAAAGGGAAAGAAAAUAAUGGAGUGAAAUGUAUGAAUGGAAAUUCAGAUCCAAAGAAAAAUUCCAUCACAGUAUUUUAUCAUCAGGAUUAUGAUUUUUAAAAGGCUGCUAUUGAUAGAAAUUUUGCACACCUAGAGCUGGCUACCAACUAAGGAAAAAGGAAUUAGAGGGCAAAAGGUCAGCUAAACUCAACAGGUAUUUAUUGCACACUUCAGGACUGCUGGACAAUAUGUAAAUAUUCCAUGGAGCUUCCUUACUAUGUACAAGUCCUAAUCCCCAUUUUUAAAAAAGUAUGCUUCCUGAGGAGGUGGGGAAAACUAAUUUUAUAUGAAAUGUUUAGCAAAGGAUAUGACAUCAUGCAACUUUCAGAAAAGCUAAGUUGAUUAUUAAGAACAUAAGUGAAUGAGAUAAACCAAUUAUUAAGUGAGCAGUACAUAAAAGAGACAUUAUAUUGAGAAGGCAAAGUGUUAAUCAUCAUAGUAAAUAUACCUGAAGUUCAAGACUUGAGUAUAGAAGGGGAAAAUAAAAGAUCGUUGAGUCCUCUGUAAAAAGAAAUAGAGAAAUACAUUGAUUCACAUUUGAAGUGGAAACUAAAUUCGUUAGAGGAUCCAUUCAUUUUUCCUUGGUCAUUUUGGGGUACAGACAGAAAAGUAACAUAGUAGAAGCGCAAGAGGCACAUAACAAUCUAGGGUCACUCUAAAAGUGUGUAGGUGGUACAGGGUACAGAAUUGGAAGUCAAAAUUGCUAAAGACUGACAUAUCACCCUUUCCUUAUAUAGAAUAUACUGCCUUCCCAGAAAAGAAUACUUAAAAGACUUCAAUCAAAUACGAAGGCACUUAAAAGAAAUUGAUUUCAGAUAACCCUCAUGAGGAUAGAAUAAUUAAUAGCUAUUGUUAAUUGUAAUCAAUUGACAUGACAACAGAGAAAGAUCUGUGACCAGCAGAGAAGAAUGAGUCCAUUGACCUCUUAUAAAAGGACCCAUUGGUCAAGUAAAUGAAGUGGUUUUCUAAGUCCAGUUGAGAAUCAAGCCUUUUGACCAAAUAAACUCAAGGGGAAAGAUCAGCAUAAGGAAAAGAGUGUGUCUGCAUUAGACAGCAGACUCCUGAUACCAGGCUUGCCACCCACCUGGCUUAUUACUCAAUGUCUUGCCUGCCUUGGUGGUCCCUGUGAUCAUUAGAUAUUCAAAGCCUUGGCAUGAAAUGGUGUUCUGAGAUGCUGGUUCAAAUCAGAAAGUCGGUGAGCCGGAAAGCCCUGUGGAAGGGCCUUUUCCAACUCAAGGAACCAUUGCUAAUAAAUGGCAGUAAUAAAAGACACAGUCAGCUCCGUCCUCUUAACAGUAGUCUCACUUCUGGAGCCCACAUCCAGGAAGAACAACCUUAGUCAGAUGGCAUUUAGAUUAGGUCAUUCUCCUUCAAAUCUACAGAGAGCUCUAAUUAUUAGGGAAUCAAAUUUAAACUGAUGUGUCUGGGAUCUGUUUCACCACUUCCCCUCCCAAUUGUACAAUGUGCAGUGUCAUCAUUUUAACUUCACCUUGCUUGCUUUACACCAGCCAAGAAAACCAUACUCUUAGUUAGCCUCUUAAAUCUCUAGCUUCACUUACCUAAUUUUCCAAAACUGGGGUGUUAGUCAUCUUCAUUGGUAUCAAAUGAAAUUUAUGUUCUGACUGAUCCCCAAUAUAUGUUCACACCUACACAGUAUCUUGUAGAUAUCAUUUUAUCUCCUUAUAUCUUUAACACUAUUAGUAAUCAGGCUUUUCUUGAUAUGGCUGUGGCUAACUUCAUGGCUACAUACAAUGUGAGAUUUGGAAGGGACCUUAGUAUUUUAGAAGUAGGUCCAGAGAGAGUAAGUAUAUUUUCCAAGGUGAGAUAGCAAGCUGGUGGGUAAACCAAAAUGACAGGCCAGAUGACUAGCCUCAUGCCUCCACCUCAGAAACCAUGACCGUGAAAAUGAAGACGUUUAUACUGGUGAAAAAUAGGUCAAUAUGUAAAUUUCCUCCUGAUCUUUUUUCAACUCCAUGAUGACAUCAGAACCCAAAGUGCAUUACUUUAUGUUUUGGAUGUGAUAUUGUCAUUUCAUUCUUCAUUGUUAGCCUUAGUUGAUAAAUAAUAAGUUUCACUGACUGCAUGCUAAAAAAGUUUUCUUUUUGUUGGAUCUUAUAAUCUGUUGUAGAUUUUCCUAUCAUAUCUUUACAAUACAUACCAUCCUUGACAUGCCAAAUUAUCUUACCUUGCCGUUCUUUACAACCCACCCUGAAAAUAUUAUUCCCAUUAUGUUCAUAUCUGUACCCCAAUGCUAACUAAUAAAUACCCAACUAAACUUUGCCUAAGAAAAUGGAGUCCUUUGUGGUGAUUCACUGUGGCACUCUUCCUGGUAGAGGUCCCACAUACCAUUGAAGACACUGAGAGUCAUCCAAGUGCCCACUUGUUUUCUUUACCCUUGAAAUUCCCAUCUCCCGCCUCCACCCCUUGUCCUCCUCUUUGUCUCUUUCACCCUUUUCCCCUUCCUCUCACUUUUUAUUUUUACACCAAGCUCUGCAUCUUUUUUUAAGUUAGACUAAAUCUUUGUCUCUCUCGGGUGAUGUUAUCAGCACUGUGGAUAUAGAUGCUGGCCUGUUUCUAUCCUAGCAUCUCAAAAUCUGAUUUUGAUUCUUCUGUUGCAGCCAACAGUACAGGCUUUAAAAAAAAUCAAUUCUUAAGUUCCUUAUCUGUUUCUCUGCUUCUAAGAUGACUGAAUCUUUCAUAACUAAUGGGGAUAUUGAAUUCAGAGGGCUUUGUGGGAAAAAAUACAUUGCAAUUUGUGUAAAAACCAAAAAAGGGCUGCAAUUAGAUGAAAUAACUACAGCUUAAUUGAGAUCCAUUUUAUGUUGAUUUGUUAGAACUUAUUUUUAAUUAAAAACUAGUUUUUGUGAAAACAAUUGGUAUAAUUUUUCUGCUGAUGUGUGUAGUUCAUAGUAUUUUAAAGAAAAAAAAAAUCAGUUGUCAAUUUUAGACUCUCCAGUAGCCAAGAGAAUUAAAAGGGUUAUUUUGGGUUUCAGUAAUUUUUAGACUGUCUCAACUGUUUCACAUAUACAUUGGUUGCUGAUCAGUGAGAACAUGGAGAGACAUACCUGUGAGUUUUUGGACACUAAUUAAUAAGCAGAUUGGACUAGAUCUAGAAGUUCUGAGUUGAUGAUUUCUUCUUUGCUUUAUAUUUGUAUCAUUAACUCAAAUGUGUUCAUCUUUUCUAGUAGGCCAUGUGAUUUUGAAUUCCAGUUGCAUAAUAUAUAGCUUGUUUCCCAUUUUUUGAAUGAGCUCAUAUAUUUUUCCAUUAAUACUCAGAAAUAUAAUUUAAUCCCUAUGGCCUUCUCUUAUGACCUCUGUUCAUUUUUCACUAUGUUUAAGGUCUUCUCAUUAUCCAGGUUUUUUUUUUUUUUCAUUUAAAAUUUUUUAUUUCUAAUUUGAUAUAUAUAUAUAUAUGACAGCAGAAUGCAUUACAAUUCAUAUUAUGCAUACAGAGCACAAUUUUCAUAUCUCUGGUUGUAUACAAAGUAUAUUCACACCAUUCGUGUCUUCAUACAUGUACUUAGGGUAAUGAUAUCUAUCUCAUUCCACCAUCUUUUUUAUCCCCAUGCCCCUUCCCCUCCUACCCUUUUGCCCUAUCUAGAGUUCAUCUAAUCCUCCCAUGCUCUCCCUCCCAACCCCAUUAUUAAUCAGCCUCCUUAUAUCACAGAAAACAUUCGGCAUUUGUUUUUUUUUUAAGCGGGGGGUGGAGGGGGCAUUGGCUAACUUCACUUAGCAUUGUAUUCUCCAGUUCUAUCCAUUUACCAGCAAAUGCCAUGAUUUUAUUCUCUUUUAUUGCUGAGUAAUAUUCCAUUGUGUAUAUAUGCCACAUUUUUUUUAUCCAUUCAUCUACUGAAGGGUACCUAAGUUGGUUCCACAAUUUAGGUAUUGUGAAUUGUGCUGCUAUAAACAUUGAUGUGGCUGUGUCCCUGUAGUAUGCUGUUUUUAAGUCCUUUGGGUAUAGUCCGAGGAGAGGGAUAGCUGUGUCAAAUGGAGGCUCCAUUCCCAGCUUUCCAAGGAAUCUCUAUACUGCUUUCCAUAUCGGCUGUGCCAAUUUGCAGUCCCACCAGCAAAGUAUGAGUGUGCCUUUCCCCCACAUCCUCACCAACACUUAUUGUUGUUUGUAUUCUUAAUAGCUGCCAUCCUGACUGGAGUGAGAUGAAAUCUUAGAGUAGUUUUGAUUUGCAUUUCUCUAAUUGCUAGAGAUGUUGAAUAUUUUUUCACAUAUUUGUUGAUUGAUUAUAUAUCCUCUUCUGAGAGGUGCCUGUUAAAUUCCUUGGCACAUUUAUUGACUGGGCUAUUUAUUUUUUUUUCAGUGUUUAAUUUUUUGAGCUCUUUAUAUACCCUAGAGAUUAGUGCUCUAUCUGAUGUGCAAGGGGUAAAAAUUUGCUACCAUGCUGUAGGCUCUCUCUUCACCUCACUGAUUGUUUCUUUUGUUGAGAAGAAGCUUUUUAGUUUGAAUCCAUUCCAUUUCUUGAUUCUUGAUUUUAAUUUCUACACUAUAGAAGUCUUAUUAAGGAAGUUGUGGGUCUGGGGAUGUGGCUCAAGAGGUAGCGCAUUCACCUGGCAUGCGUGGGGCGCUGGGUUCAAUCCUCAGCACCACAUAAAAAUAAAAAAAUAAAGAUGUUGUGUCCGCCAAGAACUAAAAAAUAAAUAUUGAAAAAUUCUCUCUCUCUCUCUCUCUCUCUCUCUCUCUCUCUCUCUCUCUCUCUCUUAAAAAAAAAGGAAGUUGGGGUCUAAUCUGCCAUGAUGGAGAUUUGAACCUUUGUAAUAUACACAGUGUGUCUAGUUUAAUUCCUAGGUCCUUGAUCCACUUUGAAUGAGUUUUGUGCAUGGUUAGAGAGAGGGAUUUAAUUCCAGUUUUCCCAGCACCAUUUGUUGAAGAGGCUAUAUUUUCUCUAAUGUAUGUUUUUGGCACCUUUGUCUAAUAUAAGGUAACUGUAAUUAUGUGGGUUACUCUCUGUGUCCUCUUUUCUGUAUCAUUGGUCUACCAGUCUAUUUCGGUGGCAAUACCAUGCUGUUUUUGUUACUACUGCUCUGUAGUAUAGUUUAAGGUCCGGUAUAGUGAUGCCACCUGCUUUACUCUUCCUCUUAAGGAUUGCUUUAGCUAUUCUGGGUCUCUUAUUUUUCCAGAUGAAUUUCAUAAAUGCUUUUUCUAUUUCUAUGAGGAAUGUCAUUGGGAUUUUGAUUAGAAUUACAUUAAAUCUGUAUCAUGCUUUUGGUAGUAUGGUCAUUUUGACAAUAUUAAUUCUCCCUAUCUAAGAACAAGGUAGAUCUUUUAAUCUUCUAAGGUCUUCUAUAAUUUCUUUCUUUAGCCUUCUGUAGUUUUCAUUGUAGAGGUCUUUCACCUCUUUCAUUAGGUUGAUUCCCAAGCAUUUUAUUUUUUUGAGGCUAUUGUAAAUGGGGUAGUUUUCCUCGUUUCUCAGAGGAUUUGCCACUGAUAUACAGAAAUGCCUUUGAUUUAUGGGUGUUGAUUUUGUAUCCUGCUUCUUUGGUGAGUUCAUUUACUAGUUCUAAAAGUUUUCUGAUGGAAUUUUUUGGGUCUUCUAGGUAUAGAAUCAUAUCAUCAGCAAAUAGUGCUAAUUUGAGUUCUUUUUCUAUCCAUAUCCUUUUAAUUUCUUUCAUCUGUCUAAUUGCUCUGACCAGUGUUUCAAGAACUAUGUUAAAUAAAAAUGAUGAAAGAGGGCAUCCUUGUCUGGUUCUAGUUUUUAGAGGGAAUGCUUUUAAUUUUUAUUCAUUUAGAAUAAGGUUGACCUGGGGCUUAGCAAAGGGAGCUCUUAUGAUAUUGAGAUAUGUUUCUGUUGUCCCUAGUUCCUCUAGUGUUUUGAACAUGAAGGGGUGCUGUAUUUUGUUGAAUGCUUUUCCUUCAUCUAUUAAGAUGAUUAUAUGAUUCUUAUCUUUAAGGCUAUUGAUGUGAUGAAUUACAUUUGUUGAUUUCCCUAUGUUGAACCACCCUUGUAUCCCUGGGAUGAACCCCACUUGAUUGUGGUGCAUUAUCUUUUUGAUAUGUUUUUGUAUUUGAUUUGGCAGAAUAUUAUUGAGAGUUUUUACAUCUAUGUUCGUUAGAGAUAUUGAUAUGAAGAUUUCUUUCUUUGAUGUGUUUUUAUCUGGUUUUGGAAUCAGGGUGAUAUUGGCCUCAUAAAAUGAGUUUGGAAGUGCUCCCUCUUUUUCUAUUUUCUGAAAUAAAUUGAAGAGUAUUGGUAUUAGUUCUUCAUUAUCGGUCUUUUAGAACUCAGCUGUGUAUUCAUCUGGUCCUGGGCUUUUCUUGGUCAGUAGGCUUAUGAUGGCAUCUUAUAUUUCCUUGCUUGAAAUUGAUCUGCUUAAAUUGUGUAUAUUAUCCUGAUUCAAUUUGGGCAAGUCAUGUGACUCUAGAAAUUUGUCAAUGCCUUCGAUAUUUUCUAUUUUAUUGGAGUACAAGUUUUCAAAAUAAUUUCUAAUUAUUUCUGUAUUUCUCUAGUGGCUGUUGUGAUACUUCCUUUUUCAUCACGAAUGUUAGUAAUUUGAUUUUUCUCUCUCCUUCGUUAGCAUGGCUAAGAGUUUGUCAAUUUUAUUUAUUUUUUUGAAGAACCAACUUUUUUGUUUUGUCAAUUUUUUCAAGUGUUUCUUUUGUUUCAAUUUCAUUGAUUUCAGCUCUGAUUUUAAUUAUUUCCUUUCUUCUACUGUUUUUGGUGUUAAUUUGUUCUUCAUUUUCUAGGGCUUUGAGAUGUAAUGUUAGGUAAUUUAUUUGUUGAUUUUUUCUUCUUUUAAGAAAUGAACUCCAUGCAAUCAACUUUCCUCUUAGUACUGCCUUCAUAGUGUCCCAGAGAUUUUGAUAUGUUGUAUCAAUGUUCUCAUUUACCUCUAAGAGUUUUUAAAUUUCUUUUUUGAUAUCUUUUGCAAACCAUUGUUCAUUCAGUAGCAUAUUAUUUAGUCUCCAGGUGUUGGAGUAGUUUUUAUUUUUUAUUUUAUCAUUGAUUUCUAAUUUCACUCAAUUGUGAUCUCAUAGAAUGCAGGGUAGUAUCUCUACUUUUUUGUAUUAAUAGUUGCUUUGUGGUGUAAUACAUGGUCUAUUUUAGAGAAGGAUCCAUGUGCUGCUGAGAAGAAAGUGUAUUCUCUCGUUGAAGGAUGAAAUAUUAUGUAUGUCUGUUAAGUCUAAGUUAUUGAUUGCAUUAUUGAGUUCUAUAGUUUCUUUUGUUCAGCUUUUGUUGAAAGAUCUAUCCAGUGGUGAAAAAGGUGUGUUAAAGUCACCCUGAAUUAUUGUGUUGUGGUGUAUUUGACUCUUGAACUUGAGAAAGUUUUUUUUUUUUUUUAUGAACAUAGAUGCUCCAUUGUUUGGGGCAUAUAAAUUUAUAAUUGCUAUGUCUUGUUGGUGUAUGGUUUCCUUGAGCAGUAUGAAAUGUCCUUCUUUAUUUCAUUAACUUUAGCUUAAAGUCUAAUUUAUUUGAUAUGAGGAUGGAAACCCCUGCUUGCUUCUGCAUUCCAUGUGAGUGAUAUGAUUUUUCCCAACCUUUUACCUUCAGUCUGUGUAUAUCUUUUCCUAUGUGAUGAGUCUCUUUGAGAUAUUGUUGGGUCUUUUUUCCCCCUUUUUUUCAUCUAAUAGGCUAGCCAAUGUCUAUUGACUGGUGAGUUUAGGCCAUUAACAUUCAGGGUUAUUAUUGAGACAUGAUUUGUAUUCCCAGCCAUUUUUAUUACUUAACUUGACUUGGAUUCUCCUUUGCUUAGUUUUUCCUUUAGUGUAAUACCUCCCUCUGAUGAUUUUCAUUGUUGUUUUUCAUUUCUUCUUCAUAGAAUAUUUUGCCAAGGAUGUUCUGUAGUACAAGUUUUCUAGCUGUAAAUUCUUUUAAUUUUUACUUAUCAUGGAAAGUUUUUAUUGCAUCAUCAAAUCUAAAGCUUAAUUUUGCUGAAUACAAAAUUCUUGGUUGGCAUCCAUUUUCUUUCAAAGAUUGAUAUGUUAUUCCAGGAUAUUCUAGCUUUCAGGGUCUGCGUUGAAAAACCUGCACAUAAUUUGUUUCCCCCUAUAUAUAAUCUCAUUCCUUUCUCUCAUGGCUUUUAAUAUUCUCUCCUUAUUCUGUAUAUUAGACAUUUUCAUUAUAAUAUGCCUUGGUGUGGAUCUGUUGUGGUUUUGUAUAUUUGGUGUCGUAUUAUAAGCCUCUUGAAUUUGGUUUUCCAAUUCUUUCUUCAUGUUUGGAAAAUUUUCUGAUAUUAUUUCAUUGAAUAGGUUGUUUAUUCCUUUGGUUUAGAACUCUAUCCUUCCUCUAUCCCAAUAACUCUUAAAUUUGGUCUUUUUAUGAUAUCCCAUAUUUCUUGAAUGUUCUAAUCAUGACUUUUUACCAUUUUCACUGUGUGCUCUACAUUCUUUUCAAGAUUAUAUAUUUUGUCUAUUGUCUGAGGUCCUGUCUUCAAAGAGGUCUAAUCUGUUGGUGUUGAUUUCAAUUGAACUUUUAAUUUGGUUUAUUGCUUCUUUAAUUUCAAAAAUUUCUGUUUGGUUUUUCUUUAGAACCUCUAUCUCCCUAUUGGAGUAAUCUUUUGCUUUCUGUAUUUGUUUAUAUAGAUUUUGUCGAAAUGAUCUUUUGAUGCCUGUAUUUGCUCUCUUAUAUCAUUCUUUAAUUCACAGAACAUUUUAAUUAUGUACAUCCUACGCUCCUUCUGUCAUUUCAUCUGCUGUGCUGGCCAUGGAUUCUAAUAAUGUGAUAUUUUGAUUUGUUGGGGGCACUUUGUUCCCUUGUCUUUUCACAUUGAUUGUGUGUCUUCCCUUCUAGAACUGUGGAUCCAAGGUAUUACCAUUUUUACCUUAUAGGCUUAUAGUUCCCCUGUAGGGUUCCAGUACCUCUCCUUUGAGGGUUAGGACAAUGUUAACAGAUUCCAAUAUAAACAAUAUAUCACCUAAAAACAAAUAGUUGCUAAUAGACAUUUAUAGUUUGGUCACAAUGUACAGAAAUAGUGAAUUCAAUUAUUAUCUACAAUAUAAUCAGUAGGUUUGUAAAAGGGUUUAUAGUUUCUGGUGGUGGACAAAGAACCUGGGGGUGAGGUGUAGGAAGAUAUGCCAAGGAUGGAGGAGGUAAGGAUAUAGAGUUGUUAUAUCUUAGGAAGUGUGAAAGAGAAAUCUAAAGAAGAAAGUUAGCAGCAGGAGAAUAGAGAGGACAUAAUUUUGAGUAGACAAGUAAGAGGGAAGACAGAAGAGUACACAAAACAAACACCCAUAUAUUUUAAGAAAAAUAAAAAAUGUUAAAUUAGUAAAACCUGGAAAAAAAGAAAAAAUAACCACAACAACAAAAAAGAAAAUAUACAACACAACUGAAAUAUACUAUUCAGUUGUCUCAGACCUCAGUAUCCUAAUUCAUGGAAAGUACUUGGUUUCACAUAUGUUGGGGAUAUGAAGGCUGGAGAAUAAAGAGGGAGAAGAAACAAAAAAAAAUCUCAAAAGAAGAAACAAGGGUUGUUUUGGUUGGAGAUCAAUAUCUUUUCUGCUUCCUUUUUUUUAUCUAAUUGGUGGGGUUGUUUGUUGUUAGCUGGUAUCUCUGCCCACAGGAUGGUGAAGGUAACCAGGGAGGGAGGGUUUUUCCUGGAUAGAGAGCACCUGGAAAUGGGGUCUGGCACCAGUCAGUCCCUGAAGGGAAACUGCACCUCAGGGAUCUCUUUUUGGGCCUGUUCCUGUGAUGUGAUUGCCUGGUCUUAUAUCCUUAUCUCACCUGAAGACCUCCCAGUUCCCGGUCUCUGUUGGUCUCUAAUCUAUAUAAUUCUCACCCUCUCCUUUACUUCUUCCUAAUAAGGAACCUUUCUCUCUGGGGCUCUUAUGUGUGGCACUUUGGGUGCCCUCUGCACCUGCCCUGCUGACAGCUGUUUUUUUUUUGUUGGGCAGGCACUGUGCCAAGUUAGCAGCUGCUGGAGAGAAGGGGAAGUUAGAAACUGGGUACCUGUCCAGCCAGAGUUCCAAACUGGGAGUUGCCCUUACUAAAGAUGGUGAUGAAGGUGAUCCAAGAUGGAGGUGUUUGCUUUCAGCCAUGAGCUGUUGGGUUGGGUGAGGGGAGCCGGGCGAUGGUGUUGGACCAUGAGUUCAGAGACUGGGUCUCUGGCAUGCAGCAUGUGCUGUGGCUGUCUAGAGAGCCUGUGUGUAGUUCCCGGGUGUAGGCGGACUAUAGCACAUAGGGGACUAUCUCCUUUGCUGCACAGUCCCAAUAUGGAGGUGAUGGGGGUGCCCCAGGUUGGUUGAUGGGGGUCCACACAGGAGUGGCGGCUGGGGAUCCUGUGCGUGGGUAGCCUCCAGGUGUCCUGUGUGGGAGCUGCAUCCUGAAUUUCUACUCAGAUGGGUGGCCGAAUGUUCUGUGGGAGUGCUGAUGCUGGUGGUCCCGCUCAGGUACCAGGUAGUCCUACGUGGGCAAAUAAUUGGGAAACCUACUCUGAUGCCCAGUCCUGGAAUCCUGCAUGGUCAUGGUGGCUGUGAUUCCUGUGCGGAAGCAGGAAUAUCCCUCGAAGAGAAGCAGUAUUCUCACUUGUUGAGUCCCAAGUCAUGGAGCGACACAGAAUGCUGCCUCCUUCUGGCCAGCCACCUUAGAUCGGCCUACCCAGGGUUAUUACUGUUUCUCCUAUGAUUCUUUGAUCUACGUAUUAUUCAUCACAAGUAUUAUGAUUAGGAGUUUUGCAACUUGAACACAUUUCAAGAAUUUUUUAAAAAAAGAAACAUUGUGAAAACUAUUCUGUAUGUCAUCACACAUCUCUCAAGCAUCAGGUCACUGCAGAACACAUGGAGAAAACUACUGCUUCCUUGUAUUCACUAAGCAGGACUCACAGAGGUGUGCCUUGGGCAGAUGUGGGUGGGGCCUGUCCUGUAAUGGUGGAAAUUUUACUUAACAAGGUGGCCAUGGAUGGUGGAGCUAGAAUUUGCACACCAAGUAAAGAAAAUUCCUGCCUUUCAAUCUUUUUUUUUCACUUUGCCAAUAUCACCACCCACUGAUGUAAUGAGAGUCACCAAAUAUAAUUAGACUUAGGAUAGAGGUACAGAUUGACUUUUUAUAUUUGAAAUCAAGUGUUCAUAUUUUAAUUUCUCCCUGAGGGUUUGGCACACCAUACAUCAGACCAUCUGUUUGAAAUUAUACUUCAUAAUGGGGUUAAAAAAUAUCUUUUAAGAAAGGCCAAAUAAAGAGUUGUAUACAUUGUAGAUGGGAUCCAUAAUAAUUAGCUUCUUUAUUCUCAUAUUAAAAUUUACAUUAAUAUUGUGGGAAAGACAUUUUAAUGUAUGAUAUGAAUUGAAAUACAUUUUUAAUUUUUUAAAAGAUGUAUUACUAGAAUAUUUCUCUAAUAUGUAAUGAUCAUUAAAGACUAAAGUUCCUAGAGAAUUUAUCAAAAUUAGCUGAACUACAUUAGGCAAUAUAAACUAUAUCAUUACAUUUAUUUUUUGUGCAAAUUUUAUUUUGCACCUAAACUUUCAAUUUUUAAUCUUAAAAUUUUUAUUAUAGCCAAUUCAAUAUAAGGGUGCAAUGCAUUUUUAUUUCUGAUCUAUCAUGUUUUGAAACACAGUCAUGAAUUCUCUGCCAAGGGUGAGCCAGACAAAUGUUCUUUAUCUGUUUUAAAGUAUAAUUAAAAGUAUUGAUUCCCAAACUAUUGCAUUCAUAUAAGAAUUAAAAUAUAUCAUAAUUAUACAUUUAGUAUGAAAUAUAGAAAGCUAAUUAUAUUAAUUAAAAUCAAAAUACUAAUUUUACAUUAAUAGGAAACAUCCAUAUUAAUUUAUUUUAGGACUUUCAAGCUUUUAAAAUACAUAUUAUUUUGCUAUUUCCUCACAGUAUCACUAUGAAUGCAGCUUGGGCCAUUUCACUCUUCUCAAUGUAUAGAAAGGAAUUGGCUUAAAAGAGUGAAGUGUUACAUGGCCUGUCUAAAACCACUGUGUUUUAGAAGCUGGUAGGGUUCACCAGUUUCUAUUUAAAUAUUUCCUCAUUCUGUAGUUAGCCGCUAGAUUCUGUUUUUUCUUCACACAAUAGCCAGAAUGAAAUUUGCAAAAAUCUUAAUCAGAUCCUAUCACUCACAUGAUUAAGCCUUGGUACCAAGUGACCAUUGUUUUUUUUUUUUCAGGAUCCAGUCUCAAAUCCUUCAUAGGAUGGUGGUGGUCCACCAGUGUCCAGCCUCUACUGUUUCCACCUUUAUCGCAUGCUGUGGCUGUUCCUUGCUCACCAGGCUUCAGCUACAUGGGGCUUCUCUUUGUUCUUGCUAUGUGUGACCAAGGACUCUGCCCUUGCUGCCCACUCUGCCUGGCAUGCUGAUCCUUUAUCUUCACCAUUAAGCACUGAGUGAUCACAGAGGUUUUGGUGUCAAUGCUACUCACUCAAAGAAGCCUUCCUCUAAUCCACCGCACCACAUCAAUUCCUCUUGCUUCGACAAACCUUUAAUUACUCAUUAAUUGAAAAUGACAUGUUUUCCUUUGUGGUAGUUUCUUUGGCACCUGCCACUGCUCUGUUAGUCUAUUGGAGUCAGAAUCAUGCCUCUUUGGUUCAUUGCUACCCUCCAGAGCUGGUCAAGUGUUUGGCACAUAGUAGCAGCUCAGGGAACACAUAAGUUCUAAGAGAAUGAAUGAAUCCAUUUGGUGGUACAUAGUUCUUUUCCCCUUUAUUAAAUGAGGGAAUUAUCAGAAUUUUCUCCUUCCUGGGAAUGUGCAUAUAGAAAUGACUUCUGAUACUUGAAUGAUUUAGGCAACUGUUAAAACAUUAGUAGAACAGUUGUUUUUUUUUUUUAAUAAAAUGAGUUAGAAGCUAGAAUCUCCUCCCUUUGAGGUUUAAUUAGAGGAUAGCUUAAUUAGCAUGAGUUAAUGCAAGUUCUGUUGCUAAGUGAGGGCUAUGAUUUAUAAACAAAGACUUGGACUUAAGAUAUGAUUUGUAGAACAAAGACUUGGACUUAAGAUAUCCUUUGGUUUUUAUGUUUGAUUCUUUGUGAUUCAUUCAACUCUUUGCUUGUCCUUGGAUAGGGAAAGUGCUUUGGAAUUCUGCUCUUAAUUCUGAUUCCUUUUUUCUCUAUCAUGAUGUACAGUCUGCCCAGCUAUAACAAGGCAUAUAUAUUUCUAAAAAUCACUGCGCUCUGCAAAACCACACAAUAGAAACCAUAAGGCAGGGAAUGUGACUAGGAAUGCGAUACUAAAAAUUUUGUCAGUGACACCUUAAAAAAAAAAAGAAACUAAUAAAAAUGGUAGUGGAGUUUUCCAUGCAUUAAAUGGUUAAGAAAUACAUAAAAACUGCAAUGAAUUUGACAUUUUACCUUGAAAAAGACCUACAGUUGACUUGUGGGUGUGGGCGUCAAAAGCCAUGCAGCUGCUAAGUUAUCAUAAAGUGAGCGCAGAAUGAUUGUGGCUCAUGAUGUGCACAGUGGACUGAGGUCUGUUUGAAAUGUGUGUAUUUUGUGUGUUUCUAUGCAACUUGGGUCAGCAGGGUACAAUAUUUUUCUCAUGAAUGAAGUUGGGCAGAAGCAAAUGUGAGAUUUGUGUCAUGCUCAAGUUGUUCCCUGAUUUAUCAAUUGCACUGGAACAAAUUUGUACUUUUAAGAGAAGUAUAACAGCAGAUCUGACUCAAGUGAGUCCACAAAGAAAAGAAUGUUGAUUGUGUGUAGUAACUGAGUAUUUUUAUUGGUAAAAAAUGUAUAUAAUGUAAAAUUCCCAUUUUAGCCAUUUGUACCAAGUUAGCCUAAUUCUUUUCUAAGACCAACAAUUUUUUUCCUUUCCAAAGCUUUCAGAAUAUCACAUUCUAAAGUGUCAGUAUAAAAUUUUGAUUUUUUUCUGAUGUUGAUAAAAGUAACUGAUUUGGGAGUUAAAAAUUGAUUAAGGACUUAACAAAAAAGAUUGCUUCACAAUUGAUAAGUGAAUGUUUCCAGUAAUACUAUUAGGUCAUGUGCUAAAUGUAAAAAUUGCAUUUGCUCUUACAAUCUACUCAUCAUGUCCAACAGAUGUUUAUCCAGCUGAAAAAUUAUGACAAAUGUAUAUGGAAAAUAACAACAGCAUAACAUUAAAGGUGUUAAGUAUAGUAGGCACUAUUGGAAUCCAAGGAAGGGAGAGAAUGAUGGUCUGGUGAGGAAGAAUUCCAGAAGGUGUGGCUAUAGCUGAGCCUUAGAAAGGCCCUUGGCUUCCAAUGGAGACCUUAGAGAGUAUUUGAAGCAGAAGCGAGGACAUGAUCAAAGGUGCAGAGGAAGGGGGAUGUGUAGGCAUUUUUAGAGGAUAAUGAUUUAUUUCUAGAUGAGACUCUGAUAUUUUCUUCAGGACAAAUUCCCCCUCAUAAGUUAGAACUAAAGAAAAUUCAUCUUUUGUGUCACUUUCUAUGAGUACGCCCCAUGUGAUGGAUCGCAUUUAACCCUGAGUAAUCCAUGCGACAGAGUAAUAGAAUUUGAUUUAUGGCAACAUAGAAGUCUCUUCUUCUCUUCUUUCCUGUUAGUAAUUUAUGUUCCUCAUAAUAAAACUAUGCAUCUUUGGUUUUAUCAUAGAAUUACAUAUUCUUAUAGAAAGUGCUCAAUUUAGUAGCAGCAAUAAGUACGGCAUGCUUAAAAAUGGCAACAAGAAUAACAGAAUUCAUACAAAACAAAAAGAGAAUAGCUAAAUCAAUUUUAUAAGGAGGAUCUAAGCCCUUGCAGAACCAACUACUCUGAGUCAGUCUGUCUUUUGAUCCAUAGUCUCCAUCGGUAAAAUGAUCUAUUUAUCUAGAAUUAUAAAAACAGUGGGUGAUUUGGCUUAUUUUUAUCUCUGAAAACCUCAUAUGGCAAAAUUAAAACUCAUUCAUUAUCUUGUAAACUUGAAGGUUUUUGUCCUUUUAUGAAAACAGUAAUAUAAAGAAUAUGGCAGAGAUUGAGAACAUGAAAUAAUUUUGAAUAGGUAUAAUGCUCCUAUUAAUUAUUAUCUGAAUUAUUUUGCUUUCGAUAGUAUAUUAGGGUCAUCAUUCUUCAUCGAAAGCAACUUGGUUUAGGGGAAAUCAUAAAAUUUUGGAAUUAAAUCAUCCACUACUCAAAAUCUGUUACCUUUUGGUCUCUGAAGUUGGAUACAUCAUUUACAUCUCACUGAUCCUUAGUUCCCUGGUCUCUAACAAUAGAUAAAUAACAGAAUCUAUUUCAUGGGGUUGUCACUGGGAUGAAAUGAACACAUAUGACGCUCACGCUAGCACUUAGGGACCAACAGCUAUUACUAGUUAUUUUUUUGUCCUAAAUACAUUUUUGAAAGUUCUUCCCUGUGUCUUUCAUAGCAUGAGAAGCUGAUACAUGAACUGGAAGAGGAGAGACACUUGCGUCUUCAAAGUGAGAAGCGGUUGCGGGAGGUGACCCUUGAGUCAGAGCGCAACAGAGUUCAGAUGCGCGGUCUGCAGCGGCAGUUCUCCAGGUACUGUUCUUGACUGAGAGG